GAGUUGGACCAACUGAAAGAUAGAAUGGAGAAAGUUCUAAAUGUUUUCUGUGAUGUGGACACUACUGAGUUUGUCAUUGUAACCAUCCCAACGGUAGCACCAUUCUCUUACCUGUUCAUAAAGAUCAUUAGUUUACAUGUGGUUACUGAGACACUUAAUUAGCUUUAUUCUUCUACCCCAUUAAGGAUAAAUUUGAAUAGGACUUGGUCUCUCCUUCUGGCAUAUUCACUUGGCUAUUACCUUUCCUUUUAGGUCAUGGCAAUAAAUGAGUCUUCGGGAUUACAUGCAUCUUUAAGAAAAGAAAAUGUGCCAGUUCACAGGCUUAUUGUUAUACAAUUGUGUUUGUUGCAUUCAACUGAGUUAUGUCUAAGCUGACAGGUGUCAGGGCUGCAGAGGUUACAAACCCUAUGGUAUCCUCCAUAAGAAUAUUAUAAUCUUUGUUUACGGUACCAUUUUAAUUCAUCACAAUUUAUUGUGUUUGAUCAAAUUUAGGGACAAGAUGAACAAGACCCAAGAGGCUAUCAAAUCCCUCAAUUCCUAAAGACAUUGUUGGAAAUACAUACAUAUUCCAUCUCAAGCUCAGUGAGUUCAAUUUCUCGGGUAAUCAUAAGUCCUUCACUAUUGCAAGGAUCUUCGAUCCCACUGAUAGGAUACCAGGACCUUUUUUUGCUCCACAUGUACAUCAAUAAAAAUAAUAUAUUUACUUGACUCCUUAUAUAACAAAAAUAGUAAUAUGUUCUACUGUUUCUCAAUAGGGUGGUGCCCACAACCCUGAUGAUGAUAAGCAUGGAAAGAAAUGUGCUUCUUCCAAGUUCCAUUUUGGUGUCUCCUCUGGCUGUAAUCCCCCUGAGGGUGGUGACGAACCCAAGGAACCAUCUGAUGCUGAGGGAACCAUACCAAACAGUGAGCAAUAGGAAUCAAUUUCUGAGGACGUUUGUGACGUCGCCCAAGGUUCACCAGAAGGGAAAUCCACUGAAGAAGGCCCGAAAUGCAUAGAUCUUUGAAAGAGAUGAUAUGAGGAACUAAGCCAAUGUGUUGACAUAUGCUUUGUCUUUUUUCACUCGGUUUAUGUUAGGACAGAAGGUCCCCUAUCUAAUUUACAAUUCUGUUGCAUUUGUUUUCGUUUCCAGUUGCUAGACGUUUGAAGUUUUUUAAUGAGAAAAAGACAAAAAUAGCAUUAAAUCAAGUUUAUGUUCCCAAACUAGCACUCAAGGUCAAAAGUUACAAAAAUAGCACUUAAUGUUUUAUCAAAAGUCACAAAGUUAGGGUUUAGAAUUAAAGGGUGGGGUUUAGGAUUUAGGGUUUAGGGUUUAGGGUUUAGGGUUUAGAGUUUAGGGUUUAGGGUUUAGAGUUUAGGGUUUAGGGUUUAGGGUUUAGGGUUUAGAGUUUAGGGUUUAGAGUUGAGAAAUGAGGUUUUGGGGAUAAGAUUUCAAAUUUUGAAAAAUAAAAAAAUUAAAAUUUUCAAAGGAUAAACUUAAAAAUGUGCUAUUUUGGUCAUUUUAGUUUUUGAGUGCUAUUUUUGUGAUAUAAACUUAUAAAUGUGCUAUUUUGGAGAUUUGACGUUUUUUAAUAUUACUCUUUUCUUAUUUUAUAAUGAACCAUUCUCAUGCAAGACAGGACCCAAUACAUAGAUGAAACAUAUAAUCAAUUUGCUCUUGGUUAUGUCGUCAUUAUAAGCCAACUCUUAAUCAAAUGCCUCUGCGUAAAAGGAAAACUAAGCAAAUAAUGACAGACAUUGAUAACAUAUUUUGCAUAAAAAAUCUUCGAACAAGGAAUGUGAUUCAUACAAAGGACCAGAAAUCCCACCAUGGAAAUAUAUAAAAGUUUCCCAAAUUCCUAAGAAUAGCAAUAUCUACGAUAGUUUUCUAAUUUUCCAUACAGUUUACUUAUUCUACCUUACUUUCAGACUUUGACGAAACAGAACAUCAGAUAUUCAGUAACUUGAUUUCGCUCAUAUGCUCAAGAUUUAUUAAAAUGUGUAAGAAAAUUUAGUCAACCUACAAAUAACCUUCAUGGAAAACAGAAAACAUACAAAAGUUCCUUCUAUACUGUUACGUUUAAGUAAGGCCCUCUUUACUACCUCCGCCAGCUUCAAUCCUCUCACUAAUCAACCGAACAAUCAUGGACUGGGUCUCCUCCUUCAGACAUGAGAACUCUGAAGAAUCAAGCAACUGCAUGAAGCUAUUGCUUUCUCUGUUUUCAUUGGCUUUGUUUUGCGAUUUCAGCAUUUACUCUCCCCACUCCAUCUCCAAUGUUGUUUAACUACUGCAGCCAAACAGAAAAAUACAAAAACAGGGCCAGGAACCUCGGGGCUUCUCAUCCAAAAUUGCUUGACUAAGACGUUCUCUAAUUAUGGACCUCCGUCAUCUUCUUUCAAAUAAAAUGUGUCGACCAGAUCCACAUUAAAAUCAUCACAUGUAACAACCAAUUAUAGAAAAAAUAAAUAUAUUAUAUUAUAUUACAUUACAUAACUAUGUAACCACCGAUUAAGCUCCAAAACUAUCUUUCAUAAACAGGAAACUCUUAAAGAAAAUCAUAUUUAGUAGAAAUAUGCUAACCAAUUUAUUUAUGCAAACAUGUUAAUGGAUAGCUGACCAUUGUAGAUUCCCAUUUACUUACUAAUAUAGUUGUAAUGGUUUUUUCCUUUACUUUCGCCGCAUGUACACAAAAAUAAGUUUGUUCAUUGAAUUAUUUUCCUACUAUAUAAAUAAUUGUUACUCAAACAUUACGAAAACCCAUUUGAGUUGAACAAUAGAUGUUGUCAAUGAUCCGAAUAUUAUAAAACAUAGCCAACCGUCAACCAAAAGAACCUCUUUGAUGUUAAGCGUUCAUGACCAUCAACAAAUUUUAAUUACGGAUAUAGGAAGCUAUACUUUAUAACAUUAGCAUAACAUAAAAUAGAUCCAAAAAGUAAUAUCACAAAUAAACAACAAUCCGCCAUACGGGCGGACAAACCCCUAGUUAUUUAUAAUUGUUAUCAACAGUUAACAAACACACAAUUCACAAACAUAUCUUAUUUGCGGAUGGUAACAACAAAGCUAAUCAAACCUUUUAUAAAACAAUUAGUCUAAACACCUUAUUGAUAAUUGAAUAAACACAAGAGAAAUGGCUUGAAAUAUCAUAAUUUGGCUAUCACUUUACAAAAACACUCUAGUAUUUAGGUUUAUGUUUACUGGUUAUUGUUUAGGGUUCAGUAUUUAAGGGGAUUAUAAAAUUCUUUAAGUGUUUUAUAAAUUAUUAUUAAAUAUUUAUAAAUGAUUUAGAAAAUUUAAUGUAUUAAAAAAUUUGUGGUAUAAAACUACAUUUUAAAGAUACUAAAACCAUAUCUUAUCUAUCAAAAUGGAAAUGUUUCAUGUGUCAUUUUUAAAGUGAACAGUAUUUGAGAAAAAAUCUUAUAAAACAACCAAAUCCUAGAAUUUUAGGGGGUGAUUGGUAGUUGCUGUAGGUGUUGUCCACAGUCCUAUUUAUUUCUAAAGCACCAAAUUCAGAGCAAUCAAACUUUAAAUUUUUUUUUGAAACCACAGCUCUUGAAAUAACCUACAGCUGUACAAAUGCUCUGCGGAGCCAAAUAUCCAAAGCAAUUUUUUAGUGCUUUCCAUAAAAUUCUACAGCAGUAAAAUCUAAAGCCACAGCAAAAAGUCUACAGAUUUUUUUCUACAGCAAAAAUUUUAAAGCUACAGCCCUUACCAAUCAGACCCAUAGAAAAUAUUUAUUUUAAUUAUUAUAUUCUAUAUAUUUCUGAAUUUAGUACAAUACAAAUACUUUUUAAUAAACAUAUCAAUUUUUCUAAACCUUACAAAUAUUCACAUGUAACAUUAUUGAUAUUCCUAUAACAGCUAAAUUUUCUUAAAAUUUUUAUCAUAAACUUAUAUCAACUGAUAUAAUUUAUUAGGCCUGGGCGUUCGGGUCUUCGGGUCGGGUUCGGGCCGGUUCUUUUCGGGUCCGGGUCGUUUCGGAUCCUAAAUAUUUAGAUUCAAUAGGUACUUAAAAAAUUUCGGUUUGGGAUCGGGUCGGUUCUUCUCGGGUCCGGGUCGGUUCGGGUAUAUAAUUAAAAUACCCAUAAAAUACCCGUAAUUUUUCGGGUCCAUAUCGGGUCCGGGUCGGGUUCGGAUAUUUAGGAUCUGAAAAGGACAUGAUAUACCCAAUUCCAUCAACUUUAGUUGAAUAUUUGUCAUAUAUAUCUAAAAUUUUACAAAACGACUUAAAUGAAACUAUUAAUAAUUAAAAUAAAAUAUUUUAAAACUCUAAAUUUUACAUUUUAAAGCUUUAUAUUACUUUAAAAAUGUUAAAAAAUAAUAACAAAUGUUGUUAACAAAAGAUAUUUCAACUAAAUCAUAAAAUAAUAUAUAUAAAAUAGAACACAAAAACAUCAUAGUUUUAGAUAUACAUGUUUUUAAGUCGGGUACAAAUCGGUUCUUAUCGGGUCGGGUCUAUUCGGGUCGGUUCUUUUCGGGUCCGGGUCUAUUCGGGUCGGUUCCUUUUCGGUUCCGGUUCUUUCGGAUAAAAAAAAUUUAGACCCAAAAGGUACUUGUAAAUUUUCGGUCCGGUUCCGGGUCGGGUAUUUUUGGGUCGGUUCCGGUUCGGGUCUUCGGGUCCAGGUUAAAAUGCCCAGGCCUAUAAUUUAUAUUCCAUGAAAAAAGUCAUGUUAUUUUAGGUAUUUAUUUAAACAUCAUAAAUUUUCAGAUUUAAUACAAUACAAAUAUUUCUAUAGAAAGCCAAAAGAAUAUAUAUACAUAUAUUUUCUAAAAUUAUUGAAGCUGUUGUAAAUGAAGUGUUGGGGAAAUACUUCUGUUAUCAUUACUGUCGACCAGAAGGUCCAUAUAUAUACAAGGUAUUAGACCGUCAUAAGGUCAUGUUUAUCCUAACAAGAUAAGGAUAAGGAUAAACACUAUGUUACAGAUAUACAUGGAAUAUAUACUAGAUAAACACAUAGUCUCUGGUUGUCUUUAUCAUGUCCCGGAUUGGGCCUGCAGUACGGGCUGGUCCAUGGUCGAUCAUCAUUUGGUUUAUAACACUCACCCUAGAUCGACACAUCCUGUACAGGUUCGUUGCAUGCUUAAUGCUGAUGUUGCCUCAUUAAAACCUCUCUUGACAAACCCAAAACCCAAUGUGGUAAAAGGGAAAACAAGACAGGAAAAAGAGUACAACACAUGAACUCCCCCUGAUGAAUGCAUCACUGUAGUAGACGCAUUCCCAUCUGGUAUCCGAGUCUUCUUGAACGUUGAAGUUGCCUAUGACUUGGUGAAGAUGAUCAGCUGGAUUCUCCUUGAAUGAACUUGUAAGUCUUGGACGUUGGUAUGUCUUUUGGAACUCCAUUAAGAUGUGGUCAGGAUGUACAUCUUUGCUGCUGAUCACUCCAUGUCUUGGUUUAACUGAUGGUGCUUCAAGGGUGCUCAGAUGGACUUCAUAAUCUGCAAUAAAACUUUACUUGCAGGUCUUUUUUCAUGUCCCACGGAUUAUCUUUGGUUAUAUGGCUUUCCCAAAACGUGGACAUUCAAUAUAUAUUGAGUCAUAGACCCAGAACACAUACGAACAACUUUACUUCAUAUCUUUCGUUCAUUCGGACUUAUAUCUCUUCGUAUGUGCCAAUGGCUUUAUCCAUUGUAACCAAUCAUUCUUUAUUUUCUUUUGUCGAUCCAUGUUGAGCUAUAGACCUUGUCUAUAUUCGUUCAUAAUCAUGAGUGUCUAAGGUCAUACCAUCAAUAAUUAUUUGCUGCAAUGAAACUCAUCACACAAUGAAUUCGCAGUCAUACACUCAUGUCCUUUGUACAUGGUUAUCGAUCUUUUCUUGCUUUAGCAAUGCUUAUAAUCAUUAAGCCACGACCAGACAUCCUUCUGGUCACUAUCCUGGUUUAUGGUUCUCACUUAGACAUGCUGACUUAAUCAUACACACACACACGGCUAUGAUUUUUCUACAGACUUUCCAUAUGUAAAACAUAGCCUGUUUAAUCAAUCGAUAACUUGUAUUAUUGAACCUUUGAACCAUUAAACCUUUUUCUCUCAGUUGGUCUUUAUUAUGAUCACAAGGAAUUAUAAUAUUUUCUGUAUGGACUGACUGCACUAAGUAAAUACUUAGUCUUUCAUAUUACUUACAGCUGCUGUAUAUUACAAUCCAUAAACAACUUAGGAACAAAGCUUGUUCUAUGAGAAUUUCUUUCUCAUAUUUCUAUGGUACGUUGAUACCUUUAUCCAGUGAUCCAUUUGCUGCUUACUACACCAUUAUUUCUUUAGUAAAUAUCCAGACAAAAUCAAACUUGAUUUUCUGUAGUAGCAUCCACCAUAUAGGAGCAUAUCUCUUUAUAAAUUGUUCCUUGGUCCUUGUGAGUAUCCUUGUGUAAUCAAGCUAUACUUGAACGUUAUUUAGAAGGAACAUGGACACACUAUACCAUGUGGUCAUGUCCUUUAAUCUCACGGAAUUUCUUAUCUCACAAGAUCCAUUCACUGGUUUCUUUCUUAGAUGGCUUUUCUGUAUGUACAUGGUUACUACGCCCAUCUGUCUUAUAAUUACUUUGAAUUCUUUGAACACCCCACGUCCCUAUAUAGGUUUUAUGAGUACUCUACGUGGGUUCAUGAUCCUCAGGUUAUAUCCUUCAAAUCCCAAGUACUACAAUCUUUUAUGAGCUCUUAUGUAUGUAAAUACAUCUUUGGUGUUAACACUCUUUAUCUUUAGUUUCAUACUGUUCCAGACAUGAUCUAAUUAGAUUUUGAGAUCUUAUUAUCCAAGACCUUUAUACCUUGCAGUUUGGCGUCCCAAACUACAUGGUCUGGUACCUUAGAUGUGUGGUUGCGCAACCUUAUUUCUCUGUCUGAACUGGUUUCUCUUAUGAACUCGGAUUUGUACGAUUCUGAGCACCUUUCAUUACUUUCCGAGGUUCCUUAUUAUUUGGAACUUAUUUGUCUAUCUCUAAUAGACAUUGUAGCAACUUGAUUGUGUCUCUUAGACAUCUAAUUCGUGGUGCUUAAGCUGGUAUGACAUAGUCAUUUUUUCUUUUCGGGUCAGUGUGUCUGGCAUAUAUUUCUGCUAGCUUUUAUAUCUUUUGAUCAUAUUCUUUUAGAACGUCUAGAUCAUAAUCUUUGGUCUGAGGAUCUUGCCAAGACAACUAUGGUUGAUACCAUUAUAUUUCUCUUUUACUCUUUACUCUUUAUCAGCCUGAUAACUUUCUCCUUUCAAAGUUGGAUAAUCAGAUUACUAUCUUUUGUAAUCUGUGUUCUUGGCCACUUGAUUAAAUCAUCCAUGUUUGGCACAAGAUACAUUUUAGUUUCGUGGAGGAAUUCUUAUUUAUCUAAUAUAUAUUCCCAAUCCUCAUCUGAGGUUCCAUCUUAAAUGGCACACAUAUAUGUGGUGGAAUAUUCGUAUUUUCUUAAGAUGGUUUGUGUAUAUGUCUGGUUUAUGACCCUUAAUCAUUCAGAGGUGGGAAUGUCUAUGCUUACAUGUAUGGCCUGAUGUAAAUCAAUAUUUAUAUACAUAAUGUCCUUAAGCUUUAGGCUGGACGUGGGUGAUGUACCAUUAGUGAGAGCUUUAAAGCUUUCCAGCCGUGUAUAUUAUGGUUGUAAACCAUGGAAUCCGAAUUUAUGAUAUGAUCAUGGACUGUGGGUUUUAGUCCUCUCUCCCCCUCAUGAACAUACUCAUAAUUUCGUAGUGCUUAGGACAGUGGAGCCUUAAUUAUUUUAGUGAUUUUCCCUUUUGUGUACUUAUAACACAUUGUGAGAUUUUAUGGGAUCACUUUUGUGCCUUAAUUAAUUUUUCAUCAUGUUUUGGAUCAAGAUGGCUAAUCUGGUCAUGCCAUAAGUGUUUAUUUCGUGGUGAACCAUACUGGUUACCAUGGCUUUAUGCCUCUUUCAUACUGAUCCUUUGCAUAGAAUAAAUCAGUAGAAAAUAUGGGUAUAGGCAUUCACAAUGCUUUUAGGCGAUUUUUCAAAAAUCUGAAAGGAAUCGUAUUUUCUUUGCUCACUGGUUCAAUGUAGAAUGUUGUAAAUCUUUGUAACUCAAUGGGUCUGAAUAAUGUCGUGUCUUUUGCCAUUGUCAGUACCAAUUAAUUGAUUUCAAGUGAUUGUAGGAAGGUAAAGUUGAACCUAUACAAUCAAGAUGAAGUUAAAUCUAUGCGAGAAAUCAAUCUAUCAGUGAACUAACUCAUUAGUCUACACCCAACAAUUCAUUUUAUGUGAUUGCAGGAAGGUAAAGUUAAACCUAUACAAUCAAGGUAAAGUUAAACCAUGCAUGAAAUCAACUAUCAGUGGACUGAUUAUCCUUUUAUUAAGGUUUUGUUUGUUAUUUAAUCAAGAAUCAUCAAGCAAGACGAAGCAAGAUAAUAUAUAAAAACAAAAUCGUUUUUAUUAUUUCAAUAACAUAAAUGAAUAACAAAUAAAUCAAAUCAGAUAUGAAAACAUAAAAUCAGAAUGUCGGAAAAUUAUUCAAAACAGGUCUUAAUCAAGUAAUCUUUUUGAAAUUUUUCAUGCUUCAUAUCAAUGCCACACACGGACCAAAAGAAAUUUUUUUCUCUAAAUGAUGCAUUUUCUUAAAACCAUACGGUUUAAGGUGUAGAUCAAUGUAUUUUUCAGAUUUAAGGUCCUCUUAUUUCAAACACAAGGUUUCAAGGCCUUUAGGGAUUCUAUCUUAGAUGAUCAGGAAAAUGUUCCAUAUUUUCUUCAUCCCAUUGGAUCGGAUCAUUUAGUAUAAUGAUUUUUUUUUUUUCAGUUCAGAUCAGAUUGCUUGAAAACUAUGAAUGAUCUAUAUCCCUAACAGUCGAGAUUUCAUGUUCAGUAUGCAAUAUUAGUAUGCAAACAAUAUGCAAUCAAGCAAACCAAUUCAAUCAUGAAAUCAGGUUAGGGUUUUCGAAAAAUAUACCAUAUAUUUAUUAUUAUAUUUAUUAUUAUUUUUUUUUUUUCGAAAAAUAAUCAAAUCAGAAAUUAUUGUGACUUAAAAAAAAUAAAUCAGGAAGAUUUGAUUUAUUCAAGCAAUUUAUUAUAUACUUUUCGAUUUAAAAAUAAAUAUAUUUUCUCAGAUAUAUCUCUGAUAUUUCGAUUUUAAAUAUUAAAAAAAAUAUUUUUUUCAAUCCUAAUCAAGUUCUAGUCGUUAUCAAUCAUCAGGAAAACAAAUUUCUCAGACAAGAACAGGAGGUAAAACCUCGGAUUAAUUUAUGAAACCAUGAUCAGAUUUUCAAAAAAAAUUAUGUAACAUGCAGUCCUUAACAGUUCUAGUUGAUUCAGAUCAGAUAAGAACAUUAAACAGGACAAUAAUGAUAAGUUUAAGCAAGUAACAGUCGGUUUCUUUCAACAUAUAGCAGUCAGAUUUUUAAAAAAAAUUGUUUAACUUUCAAUCCUAAACAGUUCUAAUGUGAAACUAUCAUCAGGAAAAGUUUUAAACAAUUUUAAAAUCAGUUUCAGAUUAAGAACAGGUUCAAAACAAGUUCAGGUUCGAGAUUUUAAAGAGUUUAUGGUUUCUGGUUUUAUUUUAUUUGCAGAGACAUGUUGCUAAAUAUAGCUACAUGGCUGCGGAUGGGGGUAUUUAAUACUUUUAUGGGUUUUAGAUGAGUUUUCGAUGAUACCUGAAAACUUUUGAUGGGUUGAUCGGUCUAUCAGUUAGAGAUCUUCCUGGUUAGCUGAUGGAUUGCUCGAAAUUAUUGUUUUUGUUGCUGCUUGUUGGAAUAGGAGACUGGUACAUGGUUGAGAGAGAUUUUGGUUUCUGGAACAAAUUUUCCGCCUGUAUUGUAGCUGAGCGUGGGGGCGCGUCCGAACUCUGAUUGAUGCGGGGUUAGCGGCGUUGGCUUCGUCUCGUCAAAAGCUUUAAUUUGGUAUCUGGCUCGUCGUCUGGAUCCACCGGAGUUGAGGGAUAGAGCUGUUUGAAGUUUGUCGGGAAUUAGGGUUUUUACUGCUCGGAUUUAUUUCUGGUUUUUAGGGUUAGGGUUUAUGAGAGCAACGUCGUGCUGAUAACGUGUUGUAAAUGAAGUGUUGGGGAAAUACUUCUGUUAUCAUUACUGUCGACCAGAAGGUCCAUAUAUAUACAAGGUAUUAGACCGUCAUAAGGUCAUGUUUAUCCUAACAAGAUAAUGAUAAGGAUAAACACUACGUUACAGAUAUACAUGGAAUAUAUACUAGAUAAACACAGUCUCUGGUUGUCUUUAUCAUGUCCCGGAUUGGGCAUGCUGUACGGGCUCGUCCAUGGUCGAUCAUCAUUUGGUUCAUAACGGAAGCUGAAUUUUCUAUGUAUAGAUUUUCUACACUGUUAACUAGAAACUCGAAACGUCUGGUAAAGAAUCUUCAAUACGUUUUAAUGGUGUCCAUACUACUUUUUGUUUGAAUAAUAGAGAAUAAACAUUUGUUUGAUGUAAAAAGAUUAAAAAAAAAACAUUUCGCUUAAUCUUCAAAGUUCAAACUAUAAAAUCACCUUAUCCCUAAAAUGUAAAGCACCUCCUCCAUUUAUAAAACAUCAGUAAAUACUUGCAAUCAAGGAAACAAUCCAUUUAGUUUUAAUAGUUCAUCCGAAGAUAAUAACAUAUCUCAAAGAUGUGCUGUUGAUGGAGAGAAUGAAACUAAUACUAGCUGUUGAAACUGUAAGUACAGAUUUAUCAUAAACUAUACUGUUAUCCUUCAGUUUUCUAUAGUAGACUUGUAGUGUUUUGGAGUCAAACCAAAAAACGCAGGUCUGGAGUCAAACGAGAAAACGCCGGUCUUACGGGCACUUAAGUUAUCUUUUUUCUUUUCUUCCCUAACACCUUCCUUUUACUAAUUUUCAACUGAUGAUCUAACCAAAUAGAGAGAAGAACAUUUUCAAACCAGAAAAGCUAUGAUAAGUUUUUUUAAAAUGUAGCAUAAACAUGAAACUUGUCAACUGCACUGGAGAAGACGAGAAACAUAUCAUAUAAAAGUAAAUGAGAAAAGAAAAACAGAAAGAUGGGUCUCUGAGUUUAUGAGGGAGGAGGAAUGGAAUUGAUCUGUUUCUUCUUCCACUAUUGUUCUUCAAACUCGUGCAUGUGAUCUAGAAGAUAGUUAGCUGCAAGUUCUUCAUUCUUGUUGCACGCAAAGAACACCUCCAAGACCAUCGCACGAUCAAACCCCAUCGCUUCCAGCUGUGUACCCAGACAAACAAUAUCAAAAUCAAAUUUUCAAUACAAGACAGAAGAAGAAAAUCAGAUUUGAACACAAACGACUAGAAGAUGAAGAGCCUCCAUUGAAAUUGCCUACAAAUUCAAACAAAAGAGAGGAACAAACCCGUUCAAUGGCUUCACGCUCUUCAGGUGUGACGGUAACAGCUUGUGGCAUGGCUGCUUCCAACUGUUCCAUGGCGUUCCUGCAGGUUGUAUUUGUAAAAGUAAAUGAAAAAUCAGUCUUCGGGACAAACAAAUAAAUGAAAAUGUAUGUGAGAAUAAACUCACUCUUCUCCCUCGACCGGUUCAUUUAUCAAGCGUAGGAAGUCGGCCUGGUGCUCUUGAAUUAGACGCACAAGCUGCGGGUUUUGUUUACCGAGCUCCUGAAGCAUAGGCUGCAUAACAAAACGAUGUGAGCGGAAUAUGAUUGUGUGAUUAAAGCCUAUCAGGAACUGAACAGGAAUAGAUUAAAGUGUACCUGUAAAAUUUGUGGGUUCGCUUGUACCAUAGCUCGCAGGGCUUGGAACUGUAGCAUUGGUAAACAAAUUGUCAUUAUCAUAAGAGGAACGGAUUGAGGACUCACUUUACUCAAAACGGAGAGGAAUGUGAAGAUACCUGUUGACUGUUACGCAGGAAAUCAAGAUUACCAGCUCCAGCACCAGCGUCUGCUGCGGGCAUGCCCUGAGUGAAGACAGAUAAGAGUGAACUCAUAUAACAAAUCCAAACAAAUGGAAAAUAUAUUAAAAUAGGUUAAUUAUAUGCUACUGUGAGACUUAAAAAAAAACUCUACCUGAGGGAACAGGUCUAAUGGAUUUGCGUUUGGACCACCAGUUGCAGAAACUGGAGCAGCUUCUUGUGCUAGAGGAUUUGCUGCCUGUCCACCAGUAGCUGGGGCUUGAGGGGCUGGCGGGAUUUCAGCUUGAGAAGGGAUUCCCUGAAGUGUAUCAAAACCAAACAUCAACAGAUGGAUCAGAGGAUACUGUACUUAGGACAAACGAAAAGGUAAGUGAAAAAUAAUAAAGUGGAAUGAAGCAUACAGAGUAGAGAUAUUCAACAGCCCUUUCAGGGUUGUUAAAGGCGGCUCUCAGGGCUCGGACAACAGUGUCACGGUCCCAACUACCUCCACCCAUGUCAAGAAUUUGCUGGACAGUGGACUCCAGAGUAUUCCCAGCAACAAGGUUUGACGCUGCUUGACCAUACACAUCUGUUUGCGUCCUGUUCAAUUCCCCAGAAAAUAAAAGGAAACACAAGAUAUUUGAUAACCAAACAAUGGAAGACUAAAUACGAAAAAGAAUAUUUAGCAGUUAUGAUAUAAGUGCUUACGAAGCAGCAGCAGCACUAGGUGCUGCAACGGUUGCAGCUACACUUGUAGGCUCUGGACUGCAAAACGCAAGCAAUAAUACAAAGCGGCGCAUAUAGAGGGAUUCAUCAACAGAUUGGGUUAAACCAAAGCGAGAGGAAGGCAUGGAACUUACACUGAGACAGUUGGAGCAGCCACCUGUGGUGUAGCUACUGUCUGUGCAGGCUGAGCCUAAAAGAGCAAAGCAAUUCAAUUCAAUUAGCCGGAACAGAUUUUCUUUUUCACUUGCAAUUAGAGAGUCUUGAACACAAAAGUAAACCAUAGCCAAAUACAUAAAAAGAACUUUAUUAACCUGAGGUGCUGGUGCAGGCGCAGAGGCAGUUGAUGCCCCGCUUGAAGAAACCUUGGCCUAAGUCAAAAAAAAAAAAAAACAAUCGUACAACGAGUUAUCAUCCAGAAACUACUAGAACUACCAAAAACAUUAAAAAAAAAAAAAAUGAAAAAAGAUCAGACCUUAGACAACAUGAUGACAAUGAAACUGUUCUCGACAACGUUGUUCUCUUCCAAUGUAGUCUCAUCCUUGAGAACUUUUCCUUGGUGGAUUAGCAUCUGCUGAGCCGCCGGGUAUUGCGCACCUUGAUGAGUUUCUAUUCUUCUCUUAGUAUCAGAGAUCUGUCACAACCCCAAUUGUUAACCAAACGUACAUAUUGAGUCUUAUAUUGUAUGAAUCUAUAAAAACUUAUAAAGAAAAGAAACCCAGAAGGAUCCUAACUCUAAGUAAACUUUAGAGCAAACUUAGAUUCAAGUAAGAUCACGAAGACAAAGAUACUAUACACACUCAAGCCAUUAGUAUCAUGACUCACAAAGAAACCCUAAUUUUGAAUUCAAACGGAACCACGAAUCGCCACAAACGAAUUCUCAUCCCGAAACAACAGCUGAAUUUUAAAUCAGAGUCGUGAGAUUCACUAUUCCAAACCCAGUUCCACCAAGAUAAGAAUCAGACCCUCAUGAUUACAGGAACCCAAUCAGACCUAAUACCUAAUAAACAGUUAACGCGAGAGAGAUUCUCGAAUUGAGGAAUUAGGGUUACCGUAUCAGCCGGAUUCACUUCGAUCUCGAAGUUGGUCCCCUUGAGAGUCUUGACGAAGAUCUUCAUCGUUUGUUUAGGAGAAAACUUGAGAGAAGAGAGAAGCAAAAUUUAGAGAGAGACCGCUUUUGGGGCUCUCGAGUCGGCUUAUAUAUAUCCAACUAUUAACAAUUGUAAUUACUGAUCGCCUGCUCGCAAGCCUAUACUAGCUUUGGUGUGCAAAGAUCGUGUGGAGACUAAGAAACAGUCAUGAUUUCUGAUCCGUUGGAUUGUUAAGUGAGUAUGGAAUUAAGUGUAUGUGCGUACAGAUGAUUAUAGUCUCCUCAUAGAAUCAACUGAGUUACUGCUUGGGUUUGGGAUUUUUAGAUAUUGGCAUGCGAAAUUUACUCCGCAAAGUAAAUCGUAGGAAACAAAAUUCUUAUAAUAGCCUUAAAUAUUUUAUCAUUAAAUAACUUUUAUAAAAAAUAAUUAAAUUUAAACACACAUAUGUCUUUAAGAUUUAUUGGUCUGAAAUUUAGGUUUACUUUUUUUGGCUUGGAGUUUUUUUGGCUUGGAGUUUCCUUAAAACAUAAAUCAACUAUUGUUAAAAAAUAUAUAGAGAUACAAUACUAAAAAUAAAAUAAUUAAAUCUUGAGUAUAUCCAGAAUACCAUAUAAUAUAUUUUUAUGAUAACAUUUGUAUAUAAUAUUUAUAACACUUUUUGGAUUCCAAUAUACAAAUUAAUUUCUAAAGUGGGUAGUGUAGAUCCUAAAAUCUACACUGAGUAUUUUGUAAUGAUUGAAAGUUUAAUCUGGGGAAGAAAAUAUCACGUGGGCAACGAUAUUUUUAGAACACAACGAUGUAAUCAGAUUCCAGUAGGCAAAGAUGAAUUUUAUUGAUUAACAAGAUCGAAUACAACAAGAGAAAUGUGAUCCGACGUUACAAACGAGGUCGAUAAGAGAAAAGACUUAAAGCAAUGUGAAAUGAGGCCGAUGAGUGUAUAUAGCUCUCUCUAGGGUUUUCUCUGUGUCUUUCUUUGUGCCCAUCGAUCCCUUCUUAUAGUGGAUUGGUCUCUGAUUUCUCUUAACUUCUCCGCGAUCUCCGGACUUCGAUACUAGUCUUGUCAGAGGAGCUCUAUCUGAGUUGGGCUUUGCCUUCUCAACGGGCCUCGUGAUAAUUUCCGAUCUGAUUCGAUUCGGCUUCCAUCGCUUCUCUUCUUAGCCUUUCCUUUGCUCGGCCUUUCUAGGCCCAUUGCCAAGUUAGGACGAACUGAUUUUGGGUCCAACAUGUAGGAUGCUAUUUUUAACAAGGAAAUUUAAUGGGUAAAAUCACAUUUUUAAAAAAAUGUAUCACAUAUUACUUCACCUCAAGAGUACACUAUUUAAGAUCUUUGAGAUGAUGUAACUCAAUAGGGUCGAGGAGCUACUUCCCCAUGAGAGCUAUCUUAUAGCACCAAACCGAAUUUGAAAACCGAAUUUGAAAUCUCGAAUCUUGUACAAUAAUCCCAACAAAACUAAACCAAGACAAAAUAAUACCCGAUAAAACAUAUAUCUGGAUCAGAACUGUAACCUGACCCGAUAUUUGAAUUUAAAAGACCCGCAAAGAAGAAGAUCUUUGUUUUCGCCUUCAAUAAAUGCUCCAGAUGUACAUAUUCCUCCAGAGCCAUCACAACCCGGAAAUAAAAAGAUAACCAAAGCAGAUAAGAAAACGAAGAAAUUGGUAAAUGAAUCUCCAGGGAAGAAACAACCAAAGAACAAGAAACAUGUCAUGCACUGUGGAAUUUGUGGAAUUGAUUAUCACAACUCUAGAUCUCACACGAAGAAUCAGAUUUGUGUUAAGAAAAAAUUGUAUUUACAUUGAAUAAUCAAGUUCUUUUGCAGGCUUCUUAAGGUCCUCCUCCUCAUGUUUCUUCUUCAGCUUCUCAAGGUCCUCUUCCUCAAGUUUCUUCCCCAGCCUCUCAAAAAGCUUCUGGGGUUGUCACUCCAGCUGAUUCUGGAUGUCAUGUUAUUUUCGGCUAUGCUGACAUGUGUUAAUGGCCGUGUCUUAUGCAGCCUCGGCUUUUGUUAGACGGCCAUUUUCUAGUCUUUUGUUGGAUGAUCAUGUUUUCUACGCUUUUGUUGUGAUUUUUUCUAGACUUAUUUGUCGGCUUUUGUUGGAUGGUGGUUUGUAUGUUAACAUACACUAGACUUUGAUCCGCGCGGAUGCUUGUUUUAUUUUUAUAAAUCAAAUAUAAUUGAUUAUCUUUUUCAAAUGUAUUUAUACGAUGCUAGUAUCCAUUCGGAUUCGUGAACUAUUUGGGUUCGGUUCAGAUCUAUUCAGAUUUCGAGUUUUUGAGUUUGAAGAUUUCAACCAUGUAUUUAUAAAUUUUGGUUCAGGUUCGGUCCGGAUCUUCACGGGCUCGGUUCAGAUUCAGAUAACCCGUUUAAAUUAUUUUUUAAAAUUUUAAAAUUCAUAUAGACUUUAAUUUUCUCAAAAUCUAAAAAAAAUUAAUAUAUAAAAUAUCAUAAGGCCUUUAAUCACACACAUUAUGCUUGGAUAUUCCUAGUAUGUGCAGUUAAAUCGUAUCUAUAGGAAAUUUUAUCCAAAAAGAAAUUUAAAAAUAAUGGUGAGUCGCGUAGAAGAUACUAUGAAAAAAUUAUUGAAUAAAGAUUGUUGAUAGGAAUAUUCGUAUAUAUGAUUUACACUUUGUUAAUUGCACACCUGAAAAUAGGAAUUAUGUUUUGAAUGUCCUUGAUUGCAUGUAUCUAUAAAUCGGUUUCACAUUUUGUUUCAGAAUGUACUUUGACAAACCGGAUUUUUUUUCUUAUGAUAAGUCAUAUUUUAAUCUAUACAAACCGAAAGGACAUAUGAUUUUCUGAGUUAAAAAUUAAAGUAUUAACAUGAUAAAGACAUCCUUGUGAGGACGAUGGUAAGUAAACGGCAUGAAAACAUUUUAAUCAAAGGACAAUAAGGUGUUCUCGUUUUGAAUUGCAUUUUAGCUGACUGAAUAUUUGAUAAUUUUAUUGUUUAGGUUGAACAUACAUAUAUGCAAUGUUCAAGAAAUAGCUAAACGGGCGCAACGCAUGCCUAGCUCCAAAUCAAUUAAUCGCAUAUAGGUAUAUAUAUUAGUUAUGUGCUUGUUUAGUGUUGUUGUGACAUAGCAUAGUGAUUAGAAGUGUUUGUUAAAUACAUACAUAUCCGGGUUCAAGGUGAGUAUGCGCUUAUUUUGUCAAUUUUUUUUAAAAAAAUAGGUUAAAUGAUGUAUGAAAUGACAAAAUUAAUCUUAUCAUCAAUCCGUCACGGAUAUAGUCCGAUUUGCAUGCGAUUAGCCGGCUGUCUAACAUGUGUUUUCGAACAGGUUGGAGCAGUCAACGGCAUGAAGCAUUGAUUAGAUAUGUGGAGAUUUUCCAAAUUUUGUAAAAAAAAAUUACACGAUAGGUUAAAGUCAUUAAUGAUGAUCGAUUAAAUAAGUAAAUUAAAUUAAAGUGGUUUGAUAAUUUAAUACGAAUGGUUUAAGUCAGUGGCAUGAAAUAUGGUAAUUAGUAUGGAAAAUUCAGGAUUAAGUACAAAAUAUACUUUAUUUUUAAUAGUUUAAAUUUUGUUAAAACAAACAUAAUUUAUCUUGGAAUGAAUUUGUAAAAACACUUGCAUUUUCAAAUCAAAUUUCAUGUGGAUAUUUUGUCCACCCGCACUUACAAAAUUCGAAACCCGAUCCGAUCAUUUUGGUUCUAAUCGACACACUCCCAACCCAAAAACUAAACCAAAAGAUGCCGAAGAAGAAUCUUUCCGGCGAUGGCACCGCCGCUCCCAUCGACGCCUGGUGGUGGCUAUCACACAAAGGAACGACCACCUCUUUCCUCUGCAUCUCCCUCUUCGCAUUACUGAUCCGAUCCGCCGUCUCGAUGUUCCCCUACUCCGGCGCCGGAACUCCACCCAAGUUCGGAGACUUCGAAGCUCAGAGGCACUGGAUGGAGAUAACCACAAACCUCCCAGCCACCGAUUGGUACAGAAACGGCACUCAGAACGAUCUCACUUACUGGGGACUCGAUUACCCUCCUUUAACUGCUUACCAGAGUUACAUCCACGGCAUCCUCCUCCGAUUCUUCAAUCCCGAGUCCGUUUCUCUUUUCAGCUCCCGUGGCCACGAAUCUUACAUUGGGUAAUGAUGAUCUGCAUAUCAAAUCAUGCUUGAUCUGAUAAAAGGUUGAAACUUUUGUGCAGAAAGUCUUAUAAUGAUGAUCUACAGAUCAACUCAUGCUUCAUCUGAUGCCAUAAAGUCUCCUUCUUUUGUUGAUUGUUGUGUGUUUUAGAGUUAAAUCUGGUUUCUUUUGUGCAGAAAGUUAUUGAUGAGGUGGACGGUUUUGUCGUCUGAUGCUCUCAUAUUCUUCCCAUCUGCUCUCUUUUUCGUGUUGGUGUACCAUAGGAACCGUGCCAAGAGCCAAGUGGCUUGGCAUAUUGCGAUGAUUCUGUUGAACCCUUGUUUAAUUCUCAUUGAUCAUGGUCAUUUUCAGGUUUUUUUUUUUUAAUGACUUUUCAGGUUUUGUAUGAAGUGUUGUCUCUGUUUUGAUUCUCAUUAGUUUGUUUGUUUGUUUGUUUGUUUUUAGUACAAUUGUAUCAGUUUGGGACUUACAGUGGGUGCUAUUGCUGCCGUACUCUGUGGGAGCGAGGUUCUUACUUGUGUUUUGUUCACUCUUGCUCUUAGCCAUAAACAGGUAACGUUUGGGUACUCUAGUUGAAUGUUGGUAUAGCGUUGCCCUGUUUUACAAAGACGUGAUCUCACUUGUAAUGGCUUUUAUGAAUCUUAUAGACCAAUGACGUGAUAGUUCAGUUACGUUGCAAACUGCUGUUUUGUUCUUUGUCAAUCUUCUUGUUGUUGGCUUGUUUAUUUCUUGAGAAUCUGUUGAAGCUUUACCAUCUCUCUGAUUUUUUUUUUUUGACUUCUUAGCUUGCAUGGCGUGUUUGAUUAUCUUUGUGUUGUGUAAUGAUGGAGACAUGGUGUUGAAUUAAGAUGGUGAUGAUGUUUGAGUAUAAAUGUGUGAUAUAUGAUGUCAAAGUCUGUAAUAGUUUUAAGGGAGUAGUGUAGUUUGCCCAUACAUCUUUGCAUGUUUCUAUACAUACAGUUUUGUUAGUCUAAGGACGGUUCUUGAUACUUUGAUUUAACAAUCAUCUGAUCAUUGGAUAUGUUUCUUUGUUUAUGUCUGCAGAUGAGUGCAUACUUUGCUCCUGCCUUUUUCAGCCAUCUACUUGGUAAAUGCCUAAGACGGAAAAAUCCUAUACUUUCUUUGCUGAAGCUUGGAAUUGCAGUCAUUGUGACAUUCGUUAUUGUUUGGUGGCCGUAUUUGCAUUCUGUAGACGACUUUUUAAUGGUAAAUACACAUUUGAUCAUUUUCAAACUGUGAAAUUGUACUUCUUGCUUCCUCCUCUGAUGUAAACUGCACAUAGCUGAUUGGUGAAUCAAAAUGCUGAUGACGCAGGUUCUCUCCCGUCUUGCUCCAUUUGAGAGGGGAAUAUACGAGGAUUACGUUGCAAAUUUCUGGUGCACCACUUCCAUUCUCAUAAAAUGGAAAAAACUAUUCACAACACCUUCUCUCAAGUCUAUAAGCUUAGCCGCAACUGUAUUAGCGUCUCUCCCUUCAAUGGUUCAUCAAAUCUUUUCACCAAGCAACGAAGGUUUCCUCUAUGGCUUGCUCAAUAGUUCAAUGGCUUUCUACUUGUUUUCUUUCCAAGGUAUAUAUAUACAUUUCAUCUUCAAUCUCCACCCCACAACCUUUUAGUAUCUAACAUUCUUCUUUUGAAUCUGCAGUGCAUGAGAAAUCAAUCCUGAUGCCUUUUCUAGCCGCAACACUGCUAGCUCUCAAAAUCCCUGACCAUUUCAAUCAUUUAACCUAUUACGCUCUCUUCUCGAUGUUCCCUCUUCUCUGCCGUGACAAUCUCUUGCUUCCUUACUUAACCUUACAUUUGCUCUUUACCCUCAUCUAUCAUUCCCAGUUACCGAAAACUAAAGCUUCAUCGUUCUCCUUUACAAGCUUCCCUGGUUAUGUUUUCUUACUUAGAACCCACUUCUUCAUCUCCCUAGUUCUCCAUGUCGUUUACCUGACCAUUCAACCUCCUCAAAAGUACCCUUUCCUAUUCGAAGCACUGAUCAUGAUUCUAUGCUUCUCAUUUUUUGUUAUGUUUGCCUUUUACAUAAACUAUACGCAGUGGAAUUUCUCGAGUCGUUUCAGGUCUGCGGAUAAAGAAAAGAAACAAAUCUGAAGAUUAGAAGACAAAACUCUUCGAGUCAGGUUGUCUAACAAAUCGGUGGUUUAGUCAUCAGACUUUUGUAAUGCGCAUAAUCUGUAGCAUACGGUAGAUUAUAUAUAUUGAGGUAAAGAUUGAGUCUUUUAUGAAAAGAAAUAAACUUUUUUAUAAGUUUAUAAGUUUUGUAUUUUUUUUUCCUAGCAAACAGAUUAAUAUGUUCAUGGUGUCUCCUUAAUGACGGCCAGGAUCGAACUUAAUAUAUCAUCAAUCAAAUAAUGAGCGUACAAAAUUACAUAAAAUGUGGACACUUUUAAUCUACGGCCAGGAUGAAACUUUUCGUAUAGAAAUGUGGUUUGAAUAGUGGAUUUUAAAUUUAAAAAGUAGUGAUUACCAUUUUAGUUAUACAUUCAAAGUACCGGGGGCAUUGCCUCCGUGCAAGCGCGGAGUUGUGGACAAAGUUUUUGUUUCAUCUCAAUAUUUUCUAGGGUUAUUGUAGUUGUGAAUUUUGCGUUUUGAGUUGUUUUUCAAAUUUUUUUAUCGUUAUAGGGUUGGAGUUGUGAUUAUGAAUUGUGUAUGCAUUGUUCUCCACUUAUGAAGUACUAAACUGUGUUAGUAAUGUGAUUGAUAUAGUUCGUGAUGUUGUUUGUUGUGUCACCGAGACUUAUUGUUUGUUUGUCUUUUUAAUUUGUUUCUUGUAUUAUUAAGAGUACAUAAAUUAUAUUAAAGUUGUUGAGAGUACCUUUCUUUCUGGAUAUUUUUUCUCCAAUUUAGUUUGUAAGUUUUGUGUAUUAAGUAAUAAUUUUUAUUAUCCUUAUUAUGUUUGUUAUAUGUUUCUUUUUUAUUUUUAAACUUGUUGCUCUUACCGGACAUUUAAAACAAAUACAUGAAGACUUGUAGAAAUAACUAUAAAAUGAGUGACAGUUCUGAGUAUUUGGGCAUUAAUGAGUUUUAAACGAAUUUAUGUAUUUCUCAUAAGAAGACAAUAACAUUGACCUGUUGACAUUGGACAUGUAAGCUGUUUUUAUAAGACAAGAGGAGUGAGCAGGUGGAGAUGUUGUUGCCGCCUUUGUGUCUGUCGGGAUUUUAUCUUGUAUCUUCUGGUUUGGUUGUGUUUGUUUCUCUUUUAUUUGAUGGGUAAUAUGUAAACAAAAAUCAUUGUUAGUUGUAUUUAUCAGAGUUCGUAAUUUACUCUGCUUUUUUGUUUAGGUAAUUUCACUGAUCUUGGUUGUCGUCUUCGUCUUCUUCUUUGCGAAAGUAAGUUUGUAAAUUGUUAAAUAGUUGGCCGUGUAGUUUGUAUUUGUUUAGCUGACUCGAUGUAUGUGUCGUUGAGUUUUAGUUGAGGUGAUUGUUUUGGUAUAUUUGUUUUGAAGUUUAUUUCUAAGAUUAGACAAAAAAGAGAGGUGAUCAUUAAUGAUUUGUCUUUUUUGGAAUUCUAAUUUUUGGUGUUUUGAUUGUUUGGGAUGUUGUGGUUUCUUUUAAGCUGUAAAAUAAAUGUUUGUGUAAAAUUAAUUUGAUAAGUAAGGGAGAUAAAUAGACGACCACAUACUUUGGGUAUGAAAUAUUUUUGAUUAUUGAUAUUAGCACAAUAUAGAUAAUAAUAUAAAGGGAAUUGUGUGUUGAUUGUUUCUUACGGAUCAAUGAGAAGACGGAUAACGACUCGGGUUGUUUCUUUGAUAAGGCCAGAGUCCUGGAUAGAACGGAUUUGUCCAACCACAUCUGCGAGUUUAAAUAUCAGUUAUGAUAUCAAAACAUAAUAUAAACCCAGAUGCAAUAUGAUAAUAUACCUGGGAGUUCUAGGUUUGUGUUCGCAAUCACUUGAAAAUUGUCAAACAAUCUAAUUAUGAGUGGAGAUUGAUCUUAGGAGCAUCUGUGAUGACUUCAUCGAUAAUAGUUGGUGAGAUGAAACGAAUGAGGAAGGAAUGAUCAGUUAUCUUGUACAUGCUUGAGCACCUAAUCAACCUCAAAACGAUUGACUUACACAAUGGGACCGGCUUUCAAAGAUGGCUUGUAAUGAUUAGCACGUCCGGCGGUAAUAAACUCAUGAAUCACAGAAUCUGCAAUUAAUAUUAUUCAACAAAGAAUCAGGAAAUCAAUUAAAAAUAAUCUAUAUUAUUUUCCUUCCCUAGGCCCGGCCCACAGAGAAAGCCGAAGAAACAAGAGUUUCCGAUCUUCAUAAAUAUAUAUUAGUUUCGGCCAUCAAUGUACAAAGUAUCCUUUAGUUUAGUGGUAUAAAUGUUUGUGUUUUUAUUUUAAUAACCGGGGUUCGAACCAUAGACUUGACACUUUUUAAAAGUGGAACCCACAAAAUACUGACGUGGCACGCUUAUAAGAGAAAAAAAAAUCAAUCAUUAUAAUAUAGAUUUGCAGCAGUUUGUGAGAAAUAUGUCAGAGCAUCGGCAGUGUGCUUACACCGUUUCUUAUGCAUUAAAUAAUACAAAUUAAUUUGAAAGAUUCUAACAUCGGCAGUGUGCGUAUGUUACACCGUUUCUUAUGCAUUAAAUAAUACAAAUUAAUUAGAAAGAGGAAAGAAAAAGAAGUAAAAGAAGAAAGAGGUUGUCACUAGCUUUUUCCCACAGAGACGUUAAACAUUUCUUCAUAGACGAUUUAACAUGUGUCAAUAUAUUAUUUGAUUAAUUUUGUUUGCAGUGUUAAAAUUAAUAAGACAAUUAAGCUAUAUACAUAAUAUCAAUAUUAUAUUUGGGAAGAAACUUAUAUGGUCUGGUGACCAAUGAUGAUGCUCUUAGAAAUGUAUGUCUCGCACCAAAAGUGGGGUUAGAUGUAAGGAAGUAAAUAAUACAGUAAUCCCUCUGUUUUUUAAAGAUGGAUGUUUUAGAGAAAUAUUUUAUUUCCAAAAGAUGUAUUUUUCAUGUUUUUAAAACAUAUUUUGUCAACUAAUAAUGAAAAAUUAUGUGUUUCAAAAAUAUUAAUUACAUUUCUUUUAAUCCUAUUGGUUUAAAAAUAUAAGAAAUAUAAAGUUACAAAAAACUAUGCAUUAAUAACUAAGUUUUAAUAUGGUUUCUUAAUAAGUGUAAAAAUCCUAGAACAUUCAUCUUUAAAAAACAGAGGGAGUAGUAUAUUUUAUUGGUAAAUGAGUCUUGUAUUCAUUGCCAAAUAAUUUUUAUUAUUGAGUUGUUAACCAUGAUUCCUACGAAGUUGAUCCGAUUAAAGUCUCAAAUUUUCAGUGUUUCGUCUUGCCUUGGUAUUUCCGGGAUAACGAGCCGCUCCCGUUUCCCUAAAUGGAGUUGACGUAGACAACAACCAUAAGCUUCUCCAUUGGAUUGUAAGUUUUAGUUGAUAAUGAGUUAAACGAUUGAUGCAAUCAUGUUCAAAUUAUCCUUUCAUGUCUAUUAAUCUUCAAAUGACUGGAACUCAUUCUCCAAAGAUUGUGUUUUCUCCUUUCAUGUGUUUUUCAAUAGUUUUUUGUUUGUUGCUAAAAGUGUUUUCAAUAGUUGCUAGUAAGUUUUUUCUUCACUAGAAAAAGAAGUAACAACCUUUUUUCACUAAAUUGUAAAUACUCAUUGAUGAAAAUGAAAUUACAAGUUGUUUAAGUCUCAAAAACAUGGAAAAAGAUUUAAAUAACUAAACAUUAGGAUUUUACAUUGUAAACAUUUAAAUCCUAAGCUUUCUGGUCAACAAUCACAAAAGCGGAUAGGAAAACCGACAUCAUUUUGCAUGAAUCAUAUGCCCGACGAUGCUUUAAAGUACGGACCUUGGUUUCCGGACAACAUACGAGACUUUCGGCACGAACCCAGCGCAGGUCGACGACACAUCAUGAUCCGCACCCAAUGAAUUCCUAGAAGUAACAACUUGAACACUAAUCAGUUUGGUGCGUUUACGCCACGACGUAAGCCUAUUAUCUGAUAGUUUAUGCUUGUUUAUAGACGUGACAUUGAAAGCUAGGCAUAUCUAAUAUUUUGUAAACUUACUUCCGCAAGCCCAUUGUUUAUUUCAUCGUCGACUUUUGUGAUAAAUGGUAAAUCAAAGAACAAGAUACCUACGGAAAAUCAAAGAACGAGUCUAUAUUGACAAUCUUUCGUUGUUUAACUGAAAAGUCUAUUGGUUGCUCAAAAAAGAAAAAAAAAACUAAAAAGUCUAUUGACAAGCUUAUUCCAAUAUUAAAUCUUUUUCUUUUAGCAACGCUUAUUUCAAUAUUAAAUCAUGUUUUAUUUCUUUAAACAGAUUUCAUAUGAGAGAUCUCAGUGGCUAGUCUUGCUGAGUAUUAUAUUAUAGCUCUUUUGCUUCUCAGGUAUACUUCCCAGAUUCGCAAUCUUUUCCCAAUACAUAAAUAAUUAUCUGAGUAGCUCCAAUGCCUUGGCUUUUCUUAUUUGCGGCAAGAUCUUCUUUCUAAUAGAGAAAGUAUAUUUUUAUAUGCACGCAUGGUUUCCUGAUUUCAUCUACAAAAGAAAACUAGUAUAUUCAUAUAGUAACAAGAUAAUUCUUGAUUUACAAAGAUUUGGUUUACUAGAUUGGCUAAGACAUUGGUGUUAUCAUGGUAUAGACACUGUUUAUUUUUAAUUUCAAAUGAUCAACACUGAGCAGUGUGUAUCACGAUUGAUACAUUUCUAACAAUCUUAUAUGACAGAUGAAAAUUGAUAGAAUAUUAUGUCAGAUAUCACAUCAAAUUGUACAAAUAUCAGAUCGUACGUUCAGAGAAUAUAAAUUUACUAGGUGAUAAGCCGCGCGCAUGCGCGGAAUGAGUUUUUAUAAUAAUGUUUAUUUAUUAAAUAGUUUUAACAUUUUGCAAUACUACAAUUUUUAUCGAUUAUAUAAUAACGAAUACAAAUGUUGGUCUAUUAAAUAUAUCAUCGUUGUUGAAUAGUGAACGUAUUACAUCUCAUUUUAAUUAUUUUUAAGACUUCAUAUGCACAAAAAAAAUUAAGUUUUGUGGCUGACACAAAUCUCCAAAACCAAAUAGGCAACAUCGAUUAUAUAAUGACGAAAGGGGAUUAGGUUUUCUGCUCUAGAUUUGUUUACUAUUGACUCUCCAUAAUUGAUUUUAUUUUCUACCUUUAUAAAAUUGUGUUGUCGUUCCCGUCUUUGUUUCAUUGAUAUGAGUUAAGUUUUUUUUAACUUUUUCUAUGAAUUCGGUGAAUUACAUAAGUGUCAAUUAAAAAUAAUAGACAUAUGUAAAAAUUAGUUUCACUCCAGAUACAUAUCUAAGAAUCAAAAUUUUGAAAAAAAUAACCGAAAAACUAUAUUAAUAUAUUAGUGUUCAAAUCUAAUAUAUCAAACUGUUAUAGAAUAUAUGUGCAGACUCGAAAUAUAAAUGUCUGUCAAGUAUAUAUUUAUCAGCUCGGUCUAAAAAUCAUCUAAUUCAAGAACAACAAAACAAAUUACUUAUUUGAUCAAUUCAGGUAAUAUCUGAAUUCGAACGGGUAAUAUUCGAACCCGAAUAAAUAUCCAAAAAUAACCAAACAUAUGUAUACUUAACCCUAUAUUUAUAGUUUACUUCUCUCAUUUUAUUCAAAAUAUUUAUAUUAAUAAUGAUUAUUUCUCAAAAUUAGAUAAUAUACAUAUAAUUAUGGACAAAAUCAUUUUCUACUCACUUAAAAUACAUAUCAAACUCUUGUUUCUUGCAUUAACAAAAGUUGCAUCUAAAUUUUCAAAACAACAACAAAAUUUGUGUCUUUCUAAUCUAUUAAUAGUUUAGUCUUUUAAAAAUUAGAAAACCAGUUAAGUUAAAAUAUAGUUUAAAUAUAAAAAACUUAAACAAUGAAUAAUUUAUUUAUUUUUUUCAAAAUUUAAAUAUCUGAACCCAACCCAAAAUAUCUGAACCCGAACAUAAAAUACCCGAAUCCGACUCGAAAUAUAAAAAUACCCGAAUGGGUUCUAUAACUUUAAACUGAAAUACCGGAUACGAACCCGAACUUGUAUCCGAACACCUACCCCUACGAUAUAUGAUUAUUUGUAUUUUGGUUGAACAAAAAAAGUUAAACCAUUGAUCACAAAAGUUUCAAUGUAGGACUUUUACCAUUUUUCGUAAUUUAUAGUCGUUUUAAAAAAUUCAAAAUAUAAAAUAUAAGAAAAAAUCUAAAUUUUUUAUUAUAUGAUAAAUGUGAUUGCUUAACUUUUUUAAUAGUAUAAAAUUAAACAAAAAAGAGAGAUGUUAGAAAAAUUGUUAUCAAAUAUGUAUUAUUCAUAAUCAUUAAUUUUCAUAUACUCCCUCCGUUCCUAAAAGAUGUAUGUUAUGGAACAUCGAUUAUAUAAUGACGAAAGGGGAUUAGGUUUUCUGCUCUAGAUUUGUUUACUAUUGACUCUCCAUAAUUGAUUUUAUUUUCUACCUUUAUAAAAUUGUGUUGUCGUUCCCGUCUUUGUUUCAUUGAUAUGAGUUAAGUUUUUUUUAACUUUUUCUAUGAAUUCGGUGAAUUACAUAAGUGUCAAUUAAAAAUAAUAGACAUAUGUAAAAAUUAGUUUCACUCCAGAUACAUAUCUAAGAAUCAAAAUUUUGAAAAAAAUAACCGAAAAACUAUAUUAAUAUAAUGCAUAUUUAAUGAAUUUUCUUAAUAUAUGUGAAAAGUCUACAAUAUGCAUCUUUUAAACACAGAAGGAGUGUCUGUCAAGUAUAUAUUUAUCAGCUCGGUCUAAAAAUCAUCUAAUUCAAGAACAACAAAACAAAUUACUUAUUUGAUCAAUUCAGGUAAUAUCUGAAUUCGAACGGGUAAUAUUCGAACCCGAAUAAAUAUCCAAAAAUAACCAAACAUAUUGAUGACACGUGGCUACGAAAAUAUGUUGUAAUGCUCCAGGAUUAAUAUAUAGGGGAUUUUCUUAGAAAAUUUAAAUCUUAUAGAAGCAAUCCAAAAAAUGGUAAUAAAAAUAUAUUUACAAGCCAACUCAGACAAAAUUACGCAAUUCGAAAAUUUCCUAAAGUAGCUUCGUUCAACUCAUCAUCCCGGCACAUUCUGCUAGCUCGCAUUUAAGGAGUUGAGUUUCGUUUUGCUAUUUCACCAUUAAUGAAAACUAGGUGUUUGCCCGCAAUUUUGCGAGUAAUUAUAUUAUAUGGAGAAAUAUAUGUUAUGUUUACAUAGUUAUAAUUUUUGAAUAAUAAUUAAAAUUUUAAAAUUUUAAUGUUUAAUUUCAAAUAGUUAGAUAAUCAAAAAAUUUAGUAUAUAUUUUUAGAAGAUCUGUGAGAUUUAAAAUUGUUUAACAACGUAAACCUUAGUCAUUACAAAUAUUUCUCUUACAGAAAAGUAAUAUAAUAAUUAAUUCAGAUAAUUGGUUGUAGAAUUACUUUAUAUUUUAUUUUAACACGUGAAAAAUCGGAAAUACUCUAGCUUUUAAGAAAUAAAAAGAAAGGUUUUUUUGGUGUAAGACCAAUACAAUUAUCGAAUGUUUUUAUCAUGAAGAUACGUUUUUGUGUGGACUUUAGAAAACAUAAAAAGUUCUAAUAAUUAUUCACCUAAAAAUCUAAUUUUAUAUAAGGAUAUAUAACCAUUAAAUUUCUUUCAAUAAAAAAAUAUUAAAGUAUUUUAUUUAAUUAUAUAUAAAUAAUUGAUAAAGAAAAAGAAAUUGAUAAAACAUAUAUAUUAUUUCUCAAAUUCUACAAUUAGUUACCAUAAAUCAUUAUUUGUAAUAUUACUUGUGUUAUUUGGUAAUUUAUAUUAAUUAGUUCUAUAGUUACCUUUUAUUUUUAGAUUUGAUUAAAAUAAAUAACUAAUAAACAUCAACAACCAAUCAAAUUAUAACUAUUUUUUAAAACUUAACUUAUUAACAAUACAUAAGAAAAAUCGCUUAAGUGACUUUUCAAUUAAUAUAUAGUAUAACUAGGUGUUUUCCUGCACCAUGUGCAGUAAGAAAUUUUUUAAAUCUAACUUAUAUUUAAAAAUAAAUUUUAUUAAAUAUUAUACAUUUUACUAUUUCCUUACUAAUAUUUAAUAUAGAUUUGAAUAUAUUAAAAGGGAUCUUCUCCUAUAACAAGGUAAUCUUUGCUUCUCUCGUCUAUCCACAAUAUCGUAUCGUAAGAUCCGCACGAUAUAGGUAGAUUGAUCCUCUCGAGGGUUAAAAGAUUUAAAAUGUAAAGACGUUCAUGAGGUAAAGUCGCCAUCAAAAGCCAGCUUCUACAAGUCGCCAUACAAUGAAUAUUAUUUGAAAAGUAGUCGCCAGUUUUGUAGAGCUUUUCUUCUCUAUCUUCAGGAUUGAACAAGAGACAGUAACUUUUUUCCUCGGGGAGUAAAAUCAUCCAAGGGAUCUUAUUGUUUGGCUUAGACUGUCUCGAACCAGUUUGCCAAGAUGAGCAAACCGAUUUAGCUCUUUCGAAAUCGGUAAAGCUAAGGCGUUCAAAAAUCAGUUGCAUCAGAUCUAGAGGAAGCUCGGACCAGCAACGAGGAGGAGAUUGGGCUAAGGCUAACAACGGUGGUGAAGCCAUCUCACGAAAAUGCCUUUAGUUUGGGAGAAAAUAUUAGAUUUUUAGUUUUCACUCUAUCAGAGCGGUUCGAUGUCGCGGGAAGAAGCUGGUCGCGGCCGUGUGUCGACGAAACUAUCCAAGGGGAUUUCGCAAGCAACGGCCGCAGCAUAUGGAGGCUGCGAAGUGAAACGUUAAACCGCGGGUGUAUUUCGCGGGUGAAGGCAGGCCGCGGCCGUGUAACGUUGAAUCCGACCAGUGCAUUUCGGGGGUGCAGGCCGCAUGAAGAGUUGGUCGCGGUGGAAGAUCAACAAUCGCAGGCUCAUGUCGGGGGCUAGAGAUGGUUGCGGCCGUGGUCCGAGACUAAGCAUUUUACUAUUUUAUCCUUGUGUUUCUAUGCCAUUAUAAUAAACCUAAUCUGAGGGAAUUAUCUUGUUAUCUAUCUAAUCAAAAGUCACUUUUGGGUGAAAGAUCUAAUUUUGAUCAUAUUCUUUUUUUUGUUUUUUUGAUUGUUUUGAUCAUUAAUCAUGUUUAGACUUAGAUCAACUAAUGAUUUAGUAUCUACCAUAAUAAUGAGUGAGUAGUCAUAUUUGGAUUCAUGGGUUAGGAUGAUAUGUUUAGAGUGUUUAGAGUGGAUUAAUAUGUUUCCUUGCUUGAUUAAGUGAUCUUAAUGCUAAUCUAGAGUUGGCCAUUUCAGAUUAGAAACCUAGACAUUUCAUUGCCUGAAAGGUGUUCGAUGAAAUGUCUGAGCCAACUCAACAUGCUCUUAACUUACCCUACCAAAGACAUUUGAUGUUAGGGGAGUUUUGAUAGUUGUAUGAUCUGUUCUUAAUGAUUGCUUGACUGACACAAACCAAAGAUAUUUGAUGUUUGAUCAAUGAGAGUAAAUGAGCAUUUAUCUCGAUAAAGAACUUGCUUAGAAUUGUUAUCUAGACUUAGGGAAAUGUGUUGAUUGAAACCUUGCCUUUUUAGAUUGAAUCUUAAUCAUUUGACAUCAAAUUCCUAUACCCAUGUGUCCUCCUUUAUCUAUUUGAUUGAAAGUUGCUAGUUAGUAGUGUUAGAACCUUGUUAGCUUGAUUGAAUCACCUUAUCACUUGAUUGCAGUUAGAUUAAGUUUGAACCUGCAUUCUCUUUGCAUCAAAAUACUUAGAAAUAGAUUGACAGCUUAAUUACUAUAAUGAUUUGAUUAUUGGACCUUUGAAAAGUCCAUUUCAUUGCAUUCAUGGGUGAGAACUACCAAGAAGAUGAUUGGAGUGAACUGAAAGCACCAAAAGUGAAGCUAAACCUCUCCCCCUUGGUGUAAGGUAUGCAUUUCUUGGACCUAAUUAGACAUAUCCUGUCAUUGUGAGUAGUGAACUGAAUGAAAAUGAAUUGUCUAAAUUUUUGAAUGAACUUAAAAAGUAUAGAAAGGCAAUAGGCUACUCACUAGAUGAUAUUAAAGGGAUAUCACCUUCUUUAUGCAUGCAUAGGAUACAUCUAGAGGAUGAAUCUAUGACUUCUAUAGAACAUCAAAGAAGAUUCAACCCCAACUUAAAAGAUGUUGUUAAGAAAGAGAUUCUAAAACUCCUUGAUGCAGGUGUAAUCUAUUCUAUUUCAGAUAGCAAAUGAGUGUCUUCUGUGCAUAUUAUCCCAAAGAAGGGUGGAAUAACUGUGGUUAAAGAUGAUAAGAAUGAACUAGUUACAACAAGAACAAUAACGGGACUUUUGCAUAUUGUUCUUGAUAUGGCUGGCAAAUCCCUAAAGUAUGUCCAUUUGUUUACUUAUAUUUACAUUAUAUGGCUGGCAAAUCCCUAAAAUAAAAUCGAAUCUAAUUUAAACCAAACUUAACGAAUUCAAUUGUUUUUAAUGGAUUUGUUUAUGGAUUUAUGCAACACGGUUCCAAAUCAAUUACGGUGACAAUGAUCUUGCCAACAAAGGUGGUGUCACCGAUGAUGAUUCUCGCGUUCAAGGAGAUGGUUUUAUCUUGGUUGCGUGUCUCGAGAGGGUUGCUGAAGAAGGCGUCCGAGCUUGGGCUAGCCCUAAGGGUGACCGCCAGUUCCAUCUAGGUUGUUCAGGUUUUGUGUCUAUUGAAAUCGAUUGAAAUUUUCUCCUGAUUGUCUGAAAAUCAUAUAAUUUCAAUUUGAAUCAUCUAGAUCUAACAUUGGUUUGAUUUGAUUUUUUGAAUUAUUGUCCCGUUACAUUCUGGCUUGUGUAAUGGGACUCUAACGAGAAGGACAAUAACGAAACACUAUGCUCACUGAAUUUUGCUACCAGAGUUGGAGGGAUAGAGUUGGGGCGGCGCAAAGAAGCACCUAGACAAUACUGAAAUCUUGAUAUAUGAGAAAAUGGUAAUCUAGAUUCAAGUUUACAUUUCCACAUAUGCGUAUAUUGAAUCAUUAAGUGUUUAUUUGGGUUGUGUUAAUUUUUGUAGGUUGAAAAAUGGAAGAAAGAUAUUAAAGAAAAAGACGAAAAUAUAAGAAAAAUUAAGGAGACCAAUCGACCAUGUUAGGUUUACAAGCAAAGAUCAAGGAACAAAACACCAAGAACAAAACCCUUCAAGAAAAUGUAAAUAUAUUUACCAUAACCACAAGAGGAACAUACGUUAGCUACAUCUUUUCUGAAACCAUCACAUAUCACUUUAUUUGAUAGGUUGAGGAACUUGAAUCGCAUCUGCUGGUAGAGAGGAAGCUGGCUUAAGAACAUGUAGUCACCAAGUUUGAUGAAAAGCCACCGAACAACAGAAGGGGGAUGAAAGCAACACAUCAAAGAAACUUACCACUUGCAAACAUACUGUUGGGAAGUUACAAGAGCUCCAGUGAAACCUCAGCUUCGAAACAAAAUGAAAACCAGUUUACUAUAUGUUUAUUAACAAGAUAACUAGGUGAUAACCCGCGCGCAUGCGCAGAAUGAGUUUUUAUAAUAAUGUUUAUUUAUUAAAUAGUUUUAACAUUUUGCAAUACUACAAUUUUUAUCGAUUAUAUAAUAACGAAUACAAAUGUUGGUCUAUUAAAUAUAUCAUCGUUGUUGAAUAGUGAACGUAUUACAUCUCAUUUUAAUUAUUUUUAAGACUUCAUAUGCACAAAAAAAAUUAAGUUUUGUGGCUGACACAAAUCUCCAAAACCAAAUAGGCAACAUCGAUUAUAUAAUGACGAAAGGGGAUUAGGUUUUCUGCUCUAGAUUUGUUUACUAUUGACUCUCCAUAAUUGAUUUUAUUUUCUACCUUUAUAAAAUUGUGUUGUCGUUCCCGUCUUUGUUUCAUUGAUAUGAGUUAAGUUUUUUUUAACUUUUUCUAUGAAUUCGGUGAAUUACAUAAGUGUCAAUUAAAAAUAAUAGACAUAUGUAAAAAUUAGUUUCACUCCAGAUACAUAUCUAAGAAUCAAAAUUUUGAAAAAAAUAACCGAAAAACUAUAUUAAUAUAUUAGUGUUCAAAUCUAAUAUAUCAAACUGUUAUAGAAUAUAUGUGCAGACUCGAAAUAUAAAUGUCUGUCAAGUAUAUAUUUAUCAGCUCGGUCUAAAAAUCAUCUAAUUCAAGAACAACAAAACAAAUUACUUAUUUGAUCAAUUCAGGUAAUAUCUGAAUUCGAACGGGUAAUAUUCGAACCCGAAUAAAUAUCCAAAAAUAACCAAACAUAUGUAUACUUAACCCUAUAUUUAUAGUUUACUUCUCUCAUUUUAUUCAAAAUAUUUAUAUUAAUAAUGAUUAUUUCUCAAAAUUAGAUAAUAUACAUAUAAUUAUGGACAAAAUCAUUUUCUACUCACUUAAAAUACAUAUCAAACUCUUGUUUCUUGCAUUAACAAAAGUUGCAUCUAAAUUUUCAAAACAACAACAAAAUUUGUGUCUUUCUAAUCUAUUAAUAGUUUAGUCUUUUAAAAAUUAGAAAACCAGUUAAGUUAAAAUAUAGUUUAAAUAUAAAAAACUUAAACAAUGAAUAAUUUAUUUAUUUUUUUCAAAAUUUAAAUAUCUGAACCCAACCCAAAAUAUCUGAACCCGAACAUAAAAUACCCGAAUCCGACUCGAAAUAUAAAAAUACCCGAAUGGGUUCUAUAACUUUAAACUGAAAUACCGGAUACGAACCCGAACUUGUAUCCGAACACCUACCCCUACGAUAUAUGAUUAUUUGUAUUUUGGUUGAACAAAAAAAGUUAAACCAUUGAUCACAAAAGUUUCAAUGUAGGACUUUUACCAUUUUUCGUAAUUUAUAGUCGUUUUAAAAAAUUCAAAAUAUAAAAUAUAAGAAAAAAUCUAAAUUUUUUAUUAUAUGAUAAAUGUGAUUGCUUAACUUUUUUAAUAGUAUAAAAUUAAACAAAAAAGAGAGAUGUUAGAAAAAUUGUUAUCAAAUAUGUAUUAUUCAUAAUCAUUAAUUUUCAUAUACUCCCUCCGUUCCUAAAAGAUGUAUGUUAUGGAAAAAAAAUUGUUUCAAAAAGAUACAUUUUUUAUUUUUUCAAUGUAUGAUUUUAAUGAAAAAUUGUAAGUUUCAAAAAAAUUAAUGGUGUUUAUUGAAUUUCUAUUGGCUAAAAUUAUGAAAAAUUGUUAUUCACAAAAAAUAAUGCAUAUUUAAUGAAUUUUCUUAAUAUAUGUGAAAAGUCUACAAUAUGCAUCUUUUAAACACAGAAGGAGUAUAUGUUAACCAUAUUAGGUAAUUCCGUAGCUUUUAUUUAAGGAAAGAAAAAAUAUUAUUUUGUACACUACUAAUUAAUUUGAUAGUUAGUUUAAUAAAAACCAUAGUAUAUGUUUAUAUGGAUCAACUUAUUUUUCUAACAAUUUUAAGAAUCAUUCUCGUGAUGACACGUGGCUACGAAAAUAUGUUGUAAUGCUCCAGGAUUAAUAUAUAGGGGAUUUUCUUAGAAAAUUUAAAUCUUAUAGAAGCAAUCCAAAAAAUGGUAAUAAAAAUAUAUUUACAAGCCAACUCAGACAAAAUUACGCAAUUCGAAAAUUUCCUAAAGUAGCUUCGUUCAACUCAUCAUCCCGGCACAUUCUGCUAGCUCGCAUUUAAGGAGUUGAGUUUCGUUUUGCUAUUUCACCAUUAAUGAAAACUAGGUGUUUGCCCGCAAUUUUGCGAGUAAUUAUAUUAUAUGGAGAAAUAUAUGUUAUGUUUACAUAGUUAUAAUUUUUGAAUAAUAAUUAAAAUUUUAAAAUUUUAAUGUUUAAUUUCAAAUAGUUAGAUAAUCAAAAAAUUUAGUAUAUAUUUUUAGAAGAUCUGUGAGAUUUAAAAUUGUUUAACAACGUAAACCUUAGUCAUUACAAAUAUUUCUCUUACAGAAAAGUAAUAUAAUAAUUAAUUCAGAUAAUUGGUUGUAGAAUUACUUUAUAUUUUAUUUUAACACGUGAAAAAUCGGAAAUACUCUAGCUUUUAAGAAAUAAAAAGAAAGGUUUUUUUGGUGUAAGACCAAUACAAUUAUCGAAUGUUUUUAUCAUGAAGAUACGUUUUUGUGUGGACUUUAGAAAACAUAAAAAGUUCUAAUAAUUAUUCACCUAAAAAUCUAAUUUUAUAUAAGGAUAUAUAACCAUUAAAUUUCUUUCAAUAAAAAAAUAUUAAAGUAUUUUAUUUAAUUAUAUAUAAAUAAUUGAUAAAGAAAAAGAAAUUGAUAAAACAUAUAUAUUAUUUCUCAAAUUCUACAAUUAGUUACCAUAAAUCAUUAUUUGUAAUAUUACUUGUGUUAUUUGGUAAUUUAUAUUAAUUAGUUCUAUAGUUACCUUUUAUUUUUAGAUUUGAUUAAAAUAAAUAACUAAUAAACAUCAACAACCAAUCAAAUUAUAACUAUUUUUUAAAACUUAACUUAUUAACAAUACAUAAGAAAAAUCGCUUAAGUGACUUUUCAAUUAAUAUAUAGUAUAACUAGGUGUUUUCCUGCACCAUGUGCAGUAAGAAAUUUUUUAAAUCUAACUUAUAUUUAAAAAUAAAUUUUAUUAAAUAUUAUACAUUUUACUAUUUCCUUACUAAUAUUUAAUAUAGAUUUGAAUAUAUUAAAUCAAUUUGUAUAAAACUAAUAAAAAUGAUAUAAAAUUGUAUAAUUAUCAAAAAUUUAGCCUAAACAAUAUUUAUAAAAUUUGUAGGUAUAUAAAAAACUAAUGAUCUUACGAUUAGAUAUUUAAAUUUUUAAAAAAUUGUAGAAAUUUUUGAAAGAUUUAGUAAUACAAAUUGUAUAAUUAUGAAAAAUAAUAAUAUUUCGAAAUUUGAAAUAUUAUAUAUGAAUAUAUUUAUUUUAUAGAUGUUGUAUGAGCUGUUACCUUAUUUAAAAAAAGUUUUCGAAAAAGAAAUAUCAAUAUUAAAUGUAAUAUAUGAAUCAUUACCAUAUUAUAAUAAGUUUGGCAAAAAUAUAAAUCAACAUUAAAUGAAAUUAUACAUGUCAUAUUUUUCCAGAAGCCAUGUCAUCAAUUUCAAUAGCCAUGUCAUAUUUGUUUCGUGAAAUUAAUUGUAGAGAGGACAUGAGGCAAAAUCACUUCGCAAAUAUAGUCUAGGGGAUGUCAUAUUUUUCCAGAAACCAUGUCAUCAAUUUCAUUAGCCAUGUCAUAUUUGUUUCGUGAAAUUGAUCGUAGAGAGGACAUGUGGCAAAAUCACUUCGCAAAUAUAGUCUAGGAGAUUUAUCUCUUUAAAACCAAGGAUAAAUUUGGUUAAUGUAAACAUGAAAAUAUGUAUUAGGAAAAUGACAGUCUAUGUAAUUUCUCUCAUAAUUUUGUCAAAUCACAAAUCACACUUUCUCACUCAUUUUCUAUUUAGUGUUUAACAUGAAAUUUAAAUGAGUUAAACAAACAAUUUCUUCUUUUAAAACAAUCUUAUUUUAAUUAAAUCUGAUUAGCUAAUAAGAAAAAAUAAUUUUAAAAAUUUUUAAUAACAAAAUGUUGUUAUUUUAGGCAUACAUACUUAAUAUUAAUGUGAGAUCCAAUAUUAUAUCCAAAUAAAAUAUUUUUUAUUUCUAUAAAAUUGGUUAAAAUUUUAUUAUUGUAUAUUUUAUUAUUGUACAUUUUAAAAGUUUAUUAUACCGCAAAGUAUACAUCUCAUUAUUUUUAAAUAAUUUAUCUUACUUGUAAUUUACAUUAUAUUUUCUAUCUUUGACUUUAAUAAUUGUAGAACAUGUCAUUUUAUUGAUCUUUCUUACUCAAUUUAUCACAAUGUUUUAAAAACACAUAAAACUAAUUAAUUCACAUUUAUAGUAACACAAAAAUACAAGCAUCUCGACAAAUAGAUAAAAUUAAAUACAUAAGAGUAUAAAAGAACCAAGAACACAACAAACAUAUUUUAUUAUCCUUCCCUCUUUUUUUUUUGAUUUAUGUCUUCUUUAUUUUCUUACUAUUCAAAACAAGCAUGGUAAUUUUAUUAUAAUCAAAGCUAUAUGAAUUAUAUUAAUUGAGUAAUAACUCUAGGAAAAACAUGUGUAGAAUACUAUGAUUAAUUUAAUUUUAAAUAACUUACUAUAUAAUAAUUUUAGAUAAAUUACCAUAUAAUAUAAUUUUAAGUAACCUACCAUAUAAUAAUUUUAGUUAAUAUGUUUAUAUUAAUGGAUGAAUUAAAUAACAUUUCUUGAUUAAUAUAAUUUUAAAUGACUUACCAUAAAUUUUUAUGUUUAAAAUAUAAAAAUAUUUUAAUCAUUUCAAAAAGUGAUAACUUAUCUAUGAUAUCACAUUGUCAUUGGAAAAUGAUGAGAUUUUUUAAAAAGUUAUAUAUUUGAAUGUUUUGCAUUCAUUUGAAACAUUUUAAAAUAUAUAUAUAAUUAAUUUAUUAGGUUUACAUUAAUUAGUUUACUAGAAUCUAUGAUUUAUUGUAUUCACUACUAAUAUAAAUAUAUUAAAAACCAUUUUUAUAAUUGUUUAUGUAGUAUCAUAUGUAUUUAAAUGUAUAUUAUCAAUUUAUAUAAUGUAAUCUAUGAUAUUUAAUUUUUCUAUAAAUAAAUUAUAUUAAUUCAUCUAUAUUUAAGAUGUUUAAUUGUAUGUUUGGAAACAUAUAUUAGAUUAGGUAAUUCUAGGAUUAGUUUCUUUUAAAGAAUUUAAUUAAAUAAAUUAAAAAUUAAAAAUCAUCAACCAAUCAAAUUAUAACAAUUAAUUGAAAAACUCUUUUAUGAGCGACACGUCAGCGGAAGUGAUUUUUCAAUUAAUAUAUAUGAUGAUUGUAUCUCAACACUUUUGAACAAAAGAAAUAUAUGGUUUCUGGACAAACCCGUUCCAUCAUUAUAAAUACAUCAUCUUCCUUCUAUUUCUCAGUCAUCUUAAGAUCUUUUUCUCUUCGAAUCUCUGAAGAAAUAAAAAUAAAAAGAAAACCAAAAAUGUUGCUUACAUUAUUAAAAUCUCUCCUCGUGAUAUUCAUGACCUCGAUACUGAGAGUUCUAUACGACACCAUAUCAUGCUACUGGCUAACACCUAGGCGAAUCAAGAAGAUCAUGGCAGGGCAAGGGGUAACCGGUCCUAAACCACGUCCACUAACCGGAAACAUCCUUGAAAUCUCGGCUAUGGUGUCGCAAUCCGUUUCUAAAGAUUGUGAUUCUGUUCACCAUGACAUCGUAGGCCGCCUUCUUCCGCAUUACGUCACCUGGUCCAAACAAUACGGUAUGCCCCAGAAUGUUAACACAAAAUUGUUUUUGGUUGUGUGGUAAACAUAGGUUUUGUUACAAAGUUGUUCUUAGAUAAAAACUGAAUUCUCUUUGCGAUAUCAAAAUGACGGAAAUAUCCUUUAGUAGGUUUGUUCUUGAUUAAUCGUUGAUAUAUUUUUUUUGUAAUGUUCUUGUAUAUUGUUUUGGUGAACCAGGGAAAAGAUUUAUAGUGUGGAACGGGACGGAUCCUCGGCUUUGCUUAACGGAAACAGAAUUGAUAAAAGAGUUGCUGAUGAAGCAUAACGGUGUAAGCGGAAGAUCGUGGCUACAGCAACAAGGGACCAAAAGUUUUAUUGGUCGUGGUCUCCUUAUGGCUAAUGGCCAAGAUUGGCACCACCAACGCCACCUUGCUGCGCCGGCAUUUAACGGGGAAAGGCUCAAGGCACGUAACAAAUUAAACCUCAUGCAAAAGUAACAUAGUGUUAAAUGACCAAAACACCCUUGUGAUAUAUGCAGGGCUACGCAAGGCACAUGGUUGAGUGUACGACUAGGCUAGUGGAGAGGCUGAGGAAAGAAGUUGGGAAAGGAGGAGGUGAGGUGGAGAUAGGGGAGGAGAUGCACCAGCUCACGGCGGAUAUUAUAUCGAGGACGGAGUUCGGAAGUAGCUUUGAGAAAGGCAAAGAGCUUUUCAACCACCUCACCGUCCUCCAACGCCGUUGCGCUCAAGCCACCCGCCACCUCUGUUUUCCCGGUAGCCGGUGAGUUUUCUUCCUCGACGAGUAAUAAAAAUGUCUAGAUUUUGAAAGUGAACGGCAAACGGUUUAUUAAUCUAUUAGUAUUACCAAAAACGUAUAUACCAUUAAAAUAAGCAAAAUAGUUAUAUAUAUAUAUUUUAAAUAAGCAAAAUAGUUAUAUUACAAAAUGGUACCAUUGUCUUUGAAAAUGAUUGAAGACAUUAUUUAAGUAAAAUAUAUUUAAUAAACAAGCAAAAUCUUUUUUUUUAAUUAUCUUAUAGCCAUAUAUAUAUUAUCUUAUAGCCACAUAUAUAUAUAUGUAUGUACACAUAUAUGGUAAACCUUUUUUGAAGUUGCUGAUAAAUUUUUUGUCUAGUCCCCCUCAUCUACUGUACCAUACGGUGCUUAUAGAUUUCGAAAAUUAGUGUGUGUUUUGGUGUGUCAUUGCCGGGUUUCAAGCAAUAUGUUUUUCUCUGUCUAGCACAAGCAUCACUCUUUACUCUGUAUCAUGUUUUCAAAUGUAUAUUGCUUUUUCGUAGACCUUAAGCACAGUUAAACGUUGACUUAACAUGAAAUAUUCGUAUCUAUCUAGGUUUCUUCCGAGCAAAUACAACAGAGAAAUAAAGUCUCUGAAAAAGGAAGUGGAACGUUUGUUGAUAGAGAUCAUACAAAGCAGGCGAGACUGUGCUGAGAUGGGCCGGAGCAGUACUCACGGCGAUGACCUUCUUGGCCUUCUCUUGAACGAAAUGGAUAGUCACAAGAACAAAAAUAACGAUAACAAUAAUCUUCAGUUGAUAAUGGAUGAAUGCAAGACGUUCUUCUUUGCUGGUCACGAAACUACCGCACUCCUUCUCACAUGGACAAUGAUGCUCCUUGCCGAUAACCCCACGUGGCAGGAAAAGGUUCGUGAUGAGAUUAGAGAGGUAUGUGGCUGCGACGGUCUUCCCUCGGUUGAUCAACUAUCCAAACUUACCUCGGUACGUACGUUCACCGUUAGACACAUGAUAUACCACUCAUAAGUUCUAAAAUCCUCUCUUACAAAGUUAUAGACUUUUGUUUAGAUUUAUCGAGUCAACACAUGAAUUAAGUUAUUCCUAGGUUUGAAUGGUAGCUAGCAUCGAACGUGACAUACUAGUGAGCCCCCGGUCUCGAUUGUUUUUGUUUACUAGUCACGAGUUCUAGUUCCUAGUAGCGCCAAUAAAAGGAAAAACACUGAUUCAUAAAACGAUUAAAUUCCUUAAAUUUAUCCAAAAAUAUUAUUUAUAUAGCGAUAUUUCCGAUUCAGAAAUAGAACGUUAAGUUAAAUUAGUUUCUAGUGACCACUUAUCUAUGUUUCAAAACUAAUCAUUUUCUAACACAUUGUUUAAUUAGAUUUCAAGGACUCGAAGGCCACUAACUAUAUAUAUAUAUAUAAAGAUGAUAUUUGUUGUUUGCUCCAAAUGAUAAAGUAUAAAACGAUAUCUUGUUUCAACUAAUUAUUAUAUUUGAAGUAGUAUAGAAUUACCUUUUUGAUGAAUGGGUGCGUGUGGGGUAUUAACAUUCAACACAGUAUAGGCAAUGCCACUAACUUCGUAGUGCAUCUUCCAUAACUAAGCUUAUAACAUAGGCAUCAAGUCGACACAAAUAACCCUAUUGACUAUCUUUUAAUUUCGUCUUCAUGCUUAUUAUCUUCAAUACUAAACUAAAACUCAAACAAUAGAAUGUCUAGGUUUGUUGAUUCUGAUGGUAUAUUUAUUUUGGAAUCAUCGGUUACAUGUUUAUACUAAGUACUUAAUUAAGAUCGUACUUCUUAGAAGUAGUUAUAAUAACUAGAUAUGAUUAACAUUAAUUAAAGCUAGAUUUGAAAUUCGUUAAGAUAGAGAGACUGGUACACAUUUUUUUCAGGAAUAAAUAAAUGGUUAAAUGAUACAUUUCAGUAGUUUAAUCAUUAGCACUAAGACAUGCUUUGCAUAAAAUAUUAUACAACAAAUCUAUCUAAAACAUGUAUUAACUAAUGAUUAGAUUUUGACAGCUUCAUUGAUACUCUUCUUUUCUUUCCAAAGGAAAAGUCAAUUCUCAAACUAAAAGAUGUUUGAGAAAGAGUCAAGAAGCACUUCGCAUGAUCGCAAGAUAUGAUUCUUAUAUAAAUUAAUAGAAUAUACUGCUAAUAUUUUGUCUUUUUCUUCUCUUUUAACAGUUAAACAAAGUGAUAAACGAGUCAUUAAGACUUUACCCUCCAGCUACUCUUCUACCAAGGAUGGCAUUUGAAGAUAUAAAACUAGGUGAUCUAAUAAUUCCCAAAGGUUUAUCAAUAUGGAUACCCGUCCUCGCAAUCCAUCACAGCGAAGAAUUAUGGGGUAAAGACGCAAAUGAAUUCAACCCUGAACGCUUUGGAGGCAAACCAUUUGCGCCUGGCCGCCACUUCAUCCCAUUUGCAGCUGGUCCUCGAAACUGCAUCGGACAAUCAUUUGCGAUGAUGGAAGCAAAAAUAAUAUUAGCAACGCUAAUUUCAAAGUUUAACUUCGCAAUAUCAAAGAACUAUAGACAUGCGCCAAUAGUUGUGCUUACUAUAAAACCUAAGUAUGGAGUUCAAGUGAUAUUGAAGCCAUUUGACUCAUGAAGCUUUAAGAUUAAAAGAGUCAUUUGAAAUGCUUUGAUCAUACACUUGGGAAAAUAUUUUGGGGGUUGUUAACUUUUGAGUAACAUGAGGGAUUUUGAUUUGAAUAAAUAUCGUACGAGUAUGAGAGAAAACUAUGUUAAAGCUUUAGCAAAAAAAAAAUUAUGUUAAUCUUUUCCUCAAAUUUAUUUUUUUAUUUUGUGUUUAUCCGUUUUACAAGCGACAUUGCUCAAAAGUGGACAAAAAUUACCUACAAACUGCAUAUUUGUUUUUUAUUUUUCUCAUGUGUUCAGAAUAUAACAUUUGUCUCUCAGAGCUCUCAAAAGAAAUUAUUUAGCAAACAUUUAAAAAUGAUUUACUGUAGAAAUUAAUAGGGAUAGCAUUCCAGCAUUAAAAAAAUUCGGUAAGCCAGACAUAUAGCAGACUAAGGUCGAAAAGGAGAUUUGGAACUGAUAUAUGUUAGAAUAUUACCGGUAAGUGGUAACGAACGCUUCUAUAUUUUGAUGUUUUUGUUUAUUCAGUAAAGACUAAUUAUACAAAUCUUAGUAAUAAAUUAUACACAGAAAGAGACACAAAAGGCUGCGACGGUUGUCUUUGUGUAAGGUCAUAUUAUGUUCUUUCAGACUGCAGAUUGUAUCGAUAACUUUUUGGCAUAUGGCCAAAAGCAAUCGUCCAUCGAUCACCUUUAUUUGCUUUAAAAGUGAAGUUUGAAUUGAAUAUUAAUAAAAGUCAUUAUGUUAUAUUGAGAUGGGUUUAAUCUAGAUAAGCCUUAAAAUAAUAAACAAACAUAAACAACAAAUAUAAUAAACAAAGAAACAAAAAGAAUGAUUAGGACAACGCGGCUUUAUAGUCUAGCGGUUAGGAAAUUUUAGUUUAAAUAAAACAAAAGACAAAAGAAUGAUUAGGGAUGGGGGAAAGAGAGUUCAUCUUUUAUUUUGUUGGUUAAGUUUGGUGGCGGCCAUUGCACUUACAAUGACUAAGGUUGAUUCUUGCUUCUUUAUCUUAGUUUUUUAUUGAUAUAAUGUGGUAGAAGUAACCCUUGAAAAUGAUUCAAAAUAACAAACAAAUUGCAACUUGUAGGUAUAUUUGUGCGUUAUGGGUUAUUUAGAUUGAUAGUCAAAUUUUUAUAUAUUAAAACAUAAGUCACAACUUUGAUUAUGUGAUUUUUUUUUAAAAUGGAUAUAUUCUUAGAAAGUCAUGUUUCAUUUAAUCUUUAAUCUUAUCAUUUAAAUUUUGGGUCUACCAUAAAUUUUUAAUGGGCUCUCAAUAAUUGAAUUUAAACAAUAAAUGAUCCAUUGGAUUUAUAAAUAAUAUAAAUUAAAUAGAUAUAAUUUAAUGUUGUAAUACUAUACCUCCACAUGUUAAUAAUUUAAAUAUUUGUCGAUGUUUACUUUUAAAAUUAUAAAGAUUUUUUUUAAAUAACAAAAAUCAUAUUAUCUAACAAUGAUUAAUCUUUACUACCUUAAACCAAUGAAAACGAAUUUUAAACUAUAUAGUUUAUUUUAAAAAUUAAACAAAAAGUAAAUGUUUAAUUAGUUACUCGAUAAUAUAAAUCUAUGAAGCGAAAAGUUUAAUUUUUUAAAAACUUUCUAAAUUUGUAAAAUGUUACAAUAUUUUUGAAUAUGACAAUAAAAAAAUAUUUUACUAAUCUUUAUAUAUAUAGUUACGAUUUUAAUAAUAAAAUAAUAAUCCGAAAAUAUAUAUAUAGAAAAAGAUACAAAUACAUGUGAAAGUUUGAAACAAUCUAUUCAGUGAAAAAAAUAUACCGUAAACUUAUUAUGUUUUAAAAAUUGAUAGACACAUAUAUAUUAUAAUAUAUACCAGUUUAGAAUUGAAAACAAAAUGUUUAUAUAAAAAUAAAUGAAAACAAAAAUCCGUGCGGUUGCGCGGAUCGAGAUCUAGUUUGGUUUAUAAUUGAAUAACUUAUUUGGUGAAAUUUAAAAUAAACAAUUUUCCUGUAAAAGCUCCUUUCGGUUAAUUAUAAUAAAAAGAACCUUAUUUAACCAAAUCAGAUGACUCGUACAUGAUUUUACAUCAGAGUUCGAUUUAAGAAAAUAUGAUUUCUGCAAAUUAGUAGAAGCAAGGUUUUUAAAAGAACAACAACACAAUUAGGAAAUUGGCUGAUAGCAACAGCAAGGGAGUCAAAAGAAACUUUGAGAUCACAUUGAUCAAUUUCUAAAGAGUUAUUCUUGGGUUCACCUCUAGGGUGAACCUUCACCAACCAAUAGAAAAUUGUCAUUUUAAAUCUAGUAUCUUUUAAUUAAGAAAACCAAAUAACUUGGCAAAUUAUAUUAUUUUUUCAAAAUAAAAUUUAAAAAUAAAUAAAAAUAAUAUAUAAAAAACGAAUUCAAAUAAGAAAAAAUGUUGUCAACAAAACACUAAACCCUAAACUAUAAUACUAAACUCAAAUCCUAAACCCUAAAUCUUUGGGUAAACUCUAAAUCUUUGGGUAAACCCCUAAACCCUUGGAAAAGCACUAAACAUGUUGUCAACAAAAUACUAAAUCCUAAACUCUAAUCCUAAACCCUAAACCCUUGGAAAAACCUUAAACCCUUGGGUAAACCCUAAACCCUUGGGUAAAUCCUAAACCCUUAGGUAAACCCUAAACCCUUGGAAAAACACUAAACAUUUGGAUAAAUUCUAAAUUAUAAAUCUUAAACACUAAACUCUAAAUUUUAAAAAUAAAUAUUUUUUUUUUAAAUAAUUUUUUUUAGAACUAUUGUUAUUUUUAUUUAUUUAAUUUUUUAUUUUUUAUUUUAAAAGCAUAAUAUAAUUUGGCAAGUUAUUUUGUUUCCUUAAUUAAAAGAUACUAGAUCUAAAAUGACAAUUUUCUAUUGGUAGGUGAACCUAAAGGUGCACCCUAGGAGUGAACCCAAGAAAAAGUCAUUUCUAAACUACGAUUAGGAUCCACGGAUUGAUUGACGGACAUUAUCUUGAUUCUUAUACUUUCUAUUAAUUUUUAAUUAAUAAAAUAUUAUUUUAUAACUAAGUUAAUUAUUUUUGCUAGCUGUUCAACGAAUCGUAUAUUUUUUCAGACUAUUUUGGUGUUCGAGAAAGAGGUGAAUCAAAUCCAUAUGCAUGAUUCAAUUCAGACGACACCAUGGGGGGAGGGGGAGGAGGAAUGGAACAUGAGUCCCAGGGGCGGACGUACGUUGAUGGGUAUGGGCCCCCGACUGAUUAUAUAAUUUUUGUGUUUAACGUUCGUGCUCUUUGGUCAAACAUCUCAGUUGUUUAAGUGUGCUCCGUUUCUAGCUUUUGUGUGAAAGGUUUGAUUUUCCUCGCCAGAAACUUUUAAUAUAACAUUUUGUUUCCUGCCAUAUUAGUUGCUCGCGGUCCCAUCAAAUGAAACGUAAUAUAUUAUCUCUGUGUGUUUAAUUUGUUUUGCAUGAUUUUUUCGCUUCUUGCUCUUUGAAACUAUUUCAUACUUUUAUUCAAUUAUUUUUAUACUAGAGUCGAUAGAGAAUAAAUUUUUAAAACAACCUAAGUAUUUUUUCAUGAACAAAAAGAUGAUUCACAAAAAUAAAAAAUAAUUAUACUUUAAAAUAAAUAUUUAAUUACUAUUUGGCUAAUAUAUAAUACUCCAUCCGUUUCACAAAGAUAUAUUUUCUAGUGUUUUUACACAUAUUAAAAAAACACAUUAAAUCACUGUAUUAAAUGUAUCGUUUUCUGUAAUUUUCAAGUUUCAAUAACUUUUAACCAAUAAUAAUUCAAUAACGUCAAUUAAUUUUAUUGAAGUUUACAAUUUUUUUUGUAGAAAACAUAAAACUUCUAUUUUUAUGAAACAAUUUUUUUUUCUAAAACAUCUAUUUUAAUGAAACAGAAAUAAUAUUAUCUAAAACAUUAAUAUUAAAUUACAUAACAUAUUUAUAAUAUUGUACCCCCAAUUAAAAGAAGGGGUUCUUCAAAAAAUGACUCAAAAUUUCAAGCCAAACACAAAAAUAAUCUAUGUUUUUUUGAAACUUUGUUUUGUCAUAUUCACCCUAGAAGUUCUAGUUAUUCACGAAAAUGCCAUUAUUUUUUUUUUUGAAAAUAACGCUUUUACUUUAUCAUCCUCAUCUUCACCAAAUAUUUACAACUUUGCCAUUGACAUCAAUACCUCAACCACCAUGAACUACCAAAUUGAGAGUGUUAAUGCCCUAAAGUUUCGAUUUUUUCUCAUCAUUUCUCAUUUCCUAUCCACACAAACCACAUAUCUUACACUUUCUCUCAAAAUUUAUCAAAAAAACUGAAGAUUUUGAUUACAAAUUAUGUGAGGUUCAUAAGCUCACGAUUCUUGGUGAUUAACGAGUAGGUAGCUGUUGUGGUUAAGUUCUGGGUGAUUGGAGAAACCACGCAAGUCAUCUCACGAGUUCAAGGAAUGAAAUCGCGAACUACAUUUUAUUUUUCAGAUCUGUUCGAUGAAGAAGGCUUCUUUAGAGUCUUCUUCAUCGAGAAGACUUCUAUAGAAGUCUUCUGGUCAAUGCAUAUGUUAGUUUUGCAAUUGACAUUUUGUGUGCUUUUAAUAGAAGACUUCCGUAGAAGUCUUCUAACUUUCUUUUGUAAACAAAAAAUUUCGAAAUUCCCAGAGAAGACUUCUUUAGAAUAAACAGGUUACUUUUAAAUUUGACCGAAGUUGGUCAGAAAUUUGACUUUUUGUAGUCUUCCUGGAGAAAACUUCUACAGAAGUCUUCUGAAAGUCUUCCCUAAGUCUUCUCAAUGCCGGAAGAUGUCUGUGUGGGUUACUUUUGCAAUUAAAAAAUAAUAGUAAAACAUUUAAUAUCAAUGAGAAGACUUCUAAAAUAACAGUCAUUUGACUAUGUAUGCGGGACUGACCGUUGGUGGCUUUGAAUCCCAUCCGCUCUGCGGCCUUUUUAUAUAUAUAACAAAUGUUCUUUUAGCAUUCUAUGAGUUUUAGUUUAUACUUCUGCCAAGUGUUGAGGGAAAGACACGAGUAGUCACUUCGUAUCUUAACUCUUAAUUUGUCGUUCCGUUCAUUUGCUCUUUUGAGGGUAUUCGAAAACGUUUCGGAGUUUUACGAAGUUUCGUGAGCGUUUUAGAUGUGGACGAUGAGACAUGUUUUAAGAUCUCGUAUCAGUUUCAAUAUCAUGUCUUGAGAUGUUAAUUAACCAGUAGGACUGGGUUUAGGGCAAGACCUAGGUUUACUUUCGGCUCUAAGGCUAUGCGACGACUAAUCAGCUUUCAUUUUGCCCGUUGGCGAUUUCUACAUGAUUCUUUCCGAUUAAAGUCUGCGACUGGGCGCCGGCUUAUAUGACUUGUGUGGGAAGAAUCGAGCACUUUCCAGAGAACAUCUUGUGUGCUGACCAAAAUUUCAGAUUUUCUUGUAUAGCGCGCUAUGGUAUCCUUGCCGGAUGUAAGAGAACCUUUAGUUUUUAUAAAAGGUUUGACUAGUUCUUUUUUAGAGAACGUGUUGGACUUGUCCGUCGGGGCCAGUCGACGGGCAUUUUAUAUUUUAGAGUCACAGAUGGACUGUGUAUUUGGAUAAUAUCUUUCGAGAAAUAUUUGCGACGUCUCGCUUUUUCGAAGAUAUGUCUUUUGCUGUGAGAUGGCUACGAUCCUCGUUUUUAUAGAAGAUGCAUUUUUCCGGUCUUGCUUGACCAUGAGUAUGUGUGAAUUAUGUAGGAAUUAGUUUUCGUCCAAGGACUGCUUGGACGGUAUGCCCUUAUCUUGAGCGUUUCUUAGGCCAACCUUAGAUUACUGUGACUUAUUGCUUGUGAAUCGUGAGAUUGGAAGAAGUUAGAAUUUAUUGAAAAAGUUUCAAAAAUAUCGAGUACAUUCAUGGAUAUUUCGGAUUUUGUGGGAGUAUACGAGUAUACGAGUAUACGUACCCACCCCCCUUCUUUAACGAGGGGGAUAGCUGAACUUGUCGAUAUGACAAGCUGCCUACGUACCUCUUUCGAGGAUCAAACCAUCUCGUAAUUCUGCUUGUUGUUGUGGGUGUUCCUACUCGCUAGAUGGGAUCGUUCCGGUUACUUCAACCGUUGGGGCUUCAGUUGGAUCGACGAUCGUUUCAGGAGUUUGGAUUCUACUGGCAAGGCGAUGGACUUGGGGACUAUGUCGCUAUCUGGAGUCAUUGCCUGGUCGGGUGAUUCUGGAUCACUUUUUAUGGGGCCUCGGAAGCGUUUUGUGCUUUCUUAGCCCGCUUCGGGUUGACCGCUGGGGUGUUCCGAGUUUGUUGCAGGUUAUGCUCGGCCAAGAAGCAGAGCCUAGACUGUUUCUUGCAUCCCCAGAUUACCGCUGUUCCGUUUGGAGUUAGGAACUUGAUGCCAAGGUGGUAAGUCGACGGUACCGCUUUCAUGGCAUUGAUCCAAGGAGUUCCCAUGAUGACAUUGUAGAUGGCCGGGUUAUCGACUACCGCAAAGUCAACGAUUUUCGUCACCUCUUUAUCCAUCACUAGGAGUUUGAUUUAUCCGAGGGUCAUUGACGUUGCACCUGAGAAACCGGUAAGAGGUUUUGGUUAUGGGACGACUUCUUCGAGUUCAAUGUUCAUCCUCCGGAGGAUAUCGCGGAAGAUGACGUUGACUGUGCUUCCCGUGUCGAUAAGGAUCCUUCCCACUUCCAGGUCUCGGAUUACCAGAUCGAUAACCAAUGGGUUGCAGUGAGGUUUGUCGAUUCUGAUAGUUUCCCGCUCUUCGUAGACGACCGUAUCUUUAGGGACGUUGUCGGUUGGGGACCGAGCCAAGCAGCUUGAACUUGUCUCAGCCUUCCGUCCAUAAGCUUUGAUCGACGAUAUCGAAUCGCGAUAGAAUUGCGAUCCCCCGAUGAUCAUGCUCAGCCUUCCGUUUUUCUCGGAUGGACGUCGGCACCUCCGUUCGAGUGAUCGGACUGGUUGCUUAUGUCCAGAUCAAUCCGCUCGAUAUCGCCUCCUUCGUUGCUCCCGGCGGGAGAUGGAAGGUUCUCCGCGGUCGGUUGCGCGCCUGGCGGGACUGUUUCGUCAGGGUUCUGACCUGAAGAAUCCUUGUCUGCCCGUGUGGCCCGAUCGCUCGGAGUCUCGAAAUCGAGUCUUCCGCCGCUGCGGUAUCUUGUGGCCCUGCGCGGGUUUUUACUCUUGGCCUGCGCCGUUAAGGUUUCCACCUAUUUUUCGAGAGAGGCCACGAGCUUUCCUUGUUCGUCCGACUUUUUCUGAGCGGAGGGGAACAUUUCUUUCAUCUGGUCCAGUAUCACGGCGUUCGUAGUGACCGUGGAUACGUUUCCAGCUAGAGUUCUGAAAGCGUUGGCAUUGACGGAAGUCCCGUCGUGCGUUUGCUUGUCUUUGUCAGCGUUAGUCGUCAUACCUGAGUGAGCGUGCGCGGUUGCGUGAGAGAUAGAUCCGUACCCCCCGCAUUCUAGCGCCAAACUGUGGAAACCGGAAUUCACACCGUCGAAAUUUGUUAAUCGGAGGAAACCCAAGCUAACCUAGCCAUCCCUGAAGGUCCAGGUUAUCUGCUGGGCCACGCACAACACAAUCAAUAUGAAAGAGUAUAAAGUAAUAAAUCGUAAAAGAGCGAAAAGAUAACAAAUAGGUCUUAUUUCUAAAUUCGCGUUUGAGCGUGAACAACAGGUAAGAUCCUAGGCCACGAGAGCUGUCGGUACGUUCGCUAGUCUAGCCACCUAAGUUCUAACCUAGUCGAGUCGCAGCUCGAUAAUAAAAAACGGAAAAUGCCUAAAUUGCUCUAAGUAUUAAGUUUGCUCUGAGAAAGCUCCCUCUUGCUCCUCGCCUUAAGCCCUCCUUAUAUACUCUCUUUAGAUCGGUUUGCACCUUUUCCUGGGCCGGAUUCGUCGCGAGAUGGACUUUUCCAUUUUUCGUCACCCUUCAUGAUUAUCUUCGGAAACUUGACAUUUAUCUUUUCCCGCGAAUAAAAAAUAGACCUUCAUAUCAGGUUUGGGCUCAAUCCCGUUAUAAAAUCGUAAGUGGGCCGUUUAUCCGCGGUUCAGGCCGCUUUUGGGCCGUUUUUGGACUUAGACAUUUUUACGAUUUUUCCUAAGAAACAACCGUUGGUUUUUCUGAAAGGAUUCCAAUUCCCCGUAUAGUUAAGGCAACUGGUGUUCAAGCUAACCAUAGCCGUUUUAUACGGCAGGCAGGAAUCUGUUUCGACGACCAAGUUUUUUAUAACUUUUCCCGAAGUCUUUCUUUGAUAAUCCUAAGCGAGACGAGACAUUGGUAUUGCGUCCAAGGGCCCGAGGAUUGUGUUACGGGAACUUAGACGAGGAUGCACGGUUUCGGAACAGGAGGUCGGUCCUCGCCCAUGGGCGAGGUGACCUCAGCGCGGAUCGUCCUCGCCCAUGGGCGAGGUGACCGCGGUGCGGGUCGUCCUCGCCCAUGGAUGAGGUGACCUCGGUGCGGGUCGUGCUGAGAAGGUCCUCGCCCUAGGGCGAGGUUGUCGGUCCGUGCUUACGAUUGAGACCUCAUCCAGACUGAUCCUCUUCUCGACGUUCCUCGGUUCGCAUCCGCGAAAAACUGUCUUUUACUUGAUUAACCGUUUUCCGGGAAUGUCUAAUUUUCAAGGAUCGAUCGAGAGUUGGUUUUUCGGGAACUUUCAUUGAUUCCGCCGUGACCGGUUUUGACCCCAACAAAGACUUCUUUUUAAGUCUUCUGUGAGUCUUCCAGACCCAAAAAUCAAUUAACUAUGCAAAAAAUAUUUUCUUAAACUUAAAAAAAAAACUUAGAAAGUGUUUAAAUCAAGUUAUUAAAUAGUUACUAAACAUAUGUGGGUCAAUUUGAAAAAGAAAAAAAAUGAAGGUAAGAUUUCAGAAUUUAAUCCUUAAGAUACAUACAAUACUAUAGCAUAUGUUACCAAACCUUAAACCAAUGACUCAUGAGCCAAUAUACAUUCACUCAUCUAUGUUGAAAAUAAUUCAAUUUCAGAUGAACUAAAUUUACAUCAUUGAGAAAUGUUUAUUAUUACAUUAUUUCAAUUUUUAACCCAUGAAAAUAUUUUUUUAUAAAAUUUUUAAAUUAUUUUUAAGAUCUAAUCCAUAAGAAAACUUUCUCUGGAAGAUUUCUGAAAGACUUAUGGAAGACUCCUGGAAGACUUAUGGAAGACUUUGAUUUAGACGGGAAACCUAAAUUCUUCCAAAAUUUAGGCGGGAACCAUAAAUUCUACUAAAAUUUAGGCGGGAUGUGUCUGAAGACUUCUUUUUAAGUCUUAUGUGAGUCUUUGAGGCCCUAAAAUCAAUUAACUAUGCAAAAAACACUUUCUUAAACUUAAAAAAAAAAACUUAGAAAGUGUUUAAAUCAAAUUAUUAAAUAGUUACUAAACAUAUAUGGGUCAAUUUGAAAAAAAAAAUGAAGGUAAGAUUUCAGAAUCUAACCCUAAAGAUACAUACAAUACUAUAACAUAUGUUACCAAACCCUAAACAAUUGACUCAUGAGCCAAUAUACAUUCACUCAUCUAUGUUGAAAAUAAUUCAAUUUCAGAUGAACUAAAUUGACAUCAUUGAAAAAUGUUUAUUAUUACAUGAUUUCAAUUUUUUACCCAUCAAAAUAUUUUUUAUAAAAUUAUAAAAUUAUUUUUAAGAUCUACUGAACGAAAAGACUUACAAAGAAGUCGUCAUUGAGAAGAAUUACAAAGAAGUCUUCUCCAACGGAGGGUUAUAAUGGUAAAAUUGAAAACAUGUUUUUUGUUUGUUCAUAAGGGAGCUAUUGUAAUUUCACUAGGUUUUUGGGUUACUUUUGCAUUUGAUUGAAUUUGAGGUACAUUUUUGUAUUCACUUUUGGCAAAUUCUCUUUAAAACAAUUUCUAGAUCCGCCGCUGAACUCGACUCCAUAUUGGGGUGGAAACACUCCACUUCUGGUGGGAAACACUCAACUUCUUAGCCUUCUGCAGUAGAGUUAUUGAUUGAACGAAUGUUUAGGGUAUCUCCGCCAAUCUGAAACAGUGCGCUACCCUUGUAUGCUUACAUCCUUGUCUCCGACCAAAAAUUUUAGGGUGAGUGUUGCCAUCAAACAGCCCACUUAUUAAUCUUUCUUAUAAAUUGAAAGGAUGUUAUAAUUUCGUCUGGUCAAAUGCGAAUAGUGCUGCGCAAAUUUUCUAUUACGCAAUAUAUUCCGAUGCAAGUUCGUUAGACAUUAUUUGAAAAGUAAUUUGCCACAUGUGUUUUGUACAUUCACUUUUACAAAAAAAUAUGACAUAACUACUUAAACUGAUGACAUAGAUUAUGGCUAAAUAUAACAUGAUCAAUUACAUUUAAUGUUGAUCUAUAUUUUUGGUAAACUCUUUAGAAUAUAGUAAUAGCACAUACAUUAUAUUUAAUGUUGAUUUAUAGUUUUGGUAAACUUCUUAGAAAAUGAUAAUAAUUCAUACAUCAUCACUAAAAUAAAUAUAUUGAGAUAUGACAUUACAAAUUUUAAAAUAUUAUUUAAUUUUGUUUUUUAUAAUUAUACAAUUUUUAUUACUAACAUUUUCAAAAAUUUCUACAAUUUUUAAAGAAUUUUUAAGUUUUAAUCGUAAUAUCAUUUGUCUCUUUUAUAUAUCUACAAAUUUUAUAAAUACUUUUUAAUUUUAAUCUUUUAAUAAUCAUACAAAUUUUAUAUCAUUUUUUAUUAAUUUUAUACAAAUUUAUUUAAUAUAUUUAACCAAAAGAAAUAGAUUAAAAAUCUAUCUUAAAUUAUAAUUUAAAAAAAUAUGUAUUUUUUUAUUUUUAAUUAAAUCAAAUUUAUAUUAAAAUAUUGGUAAGCAAAUAAUAAAAUUUGCAAUAUUAAUUAAAAAUAUAGUUUAAAUUAAAAAAAUAUAUAUUAUUGCACAUGGUGCAGAAACACCUAGUACAUUGUUAGACUUCAAGAGAUUCGGUAAAACGAUCUCAUUUAAUUAUUUACUAAACCCUGAUCCGCGCGCCAGCGUGGAUAUGAAUUUUCAGUUUUUAAUUAUUUAUUUUAUUAAAUAAUGUAUUUGUAAUAUUCGUUCAUAUUAUAUUCAUUAAGUAAAUUUUUUUUUUUGCAUCUUAAACUAUCUAUUUUUUUACGAAUGUGUGAUAUCAUAUAAAAAUAAAAAAUGAGUAUAGAGUUAAUUAGAUAAUUUUAAAACAUAAUUUUUUCUUUCGUGUGCGAUAUCAUAUAAAUAAUGAUCCGUCCAGUUAACAAAAAUCAUGAUUAUUUUAAGUGUAAUUUUUUUCAUCCUUUCUCAUUUCCUAUCCACACAAACCACAUAUCUUACACUUUCUCUCAAAAUUUAUCAAAAAAACUGAAGAUUUUGAUUACAAAUUAUGUGAUAAAAAAUAUAAAUAAAAAUUAUAAAUUUAGCAAAUGACAACUGAAUUAUAUUAUGCUAAAAUUUUAUUUCUAACAAUUUAUCAAAUGACAUGACCCUGAUCCGCGCGACAUUCUUUAUGGCAUGUACUCAAUCCUUAAUCAAUUUAUCAUUUAAUUCUUUAUGGCAUGUACUCAAUCCAAUUACUUGUCGUUGUCGAGUGGGAAUGUUAUUUCAAUAGGGGUAUAAUCUUAAAAUACGCUACAUGAUAGACUAUCUAGAAUUUUUUUAAUGUAUAUAUGACAUGCACACGCGUGUUCAUCUAAACUGAAUAGUGAUACUGUGUCUUGUUUGACGAAGUUAAGCAAAGAUCCCCACUAUCAAAAGAGAAAAUCUUUGUGAUCAUAGAAGAUUUGGUGAAAAUAUCAAAAUACUAUUAUUAUUUCUAUACCUUUUUUUUUUUUGCUUAAAAUUAUUUUUCUAUACUUGAUAUGAGAAGUAUCCAAGUUUAGAAAAAAUAGCUAAGCAUAUAAUCGCAGUAUAGCUUAGUAGUUUGUAUAUCUGAACAAGGUAUAUAUUUUUUGUACGCACGGAUUGUGUAUAUUAAUGUUGAUUUUUGAAUGAUUUUUAGAAGAUACGUUAUACAUGACUUAAAGAAAUUCAGAUACCAAACACAAUAAAAAUGUUUUAAUAAGUGAUAUUAUGUAUUAAAUAAAAUAGAAUUAAUAAGCAAAUGGACGUCGAUAAUAUUUAUGCAGACAAAGUAGCAGUUGAUAUGAUAAAGAAGAUGAUGAAAUCAAAUCUAUUGAAAAGUAUAUAUAAAUAAAUGAUUGGCCAAAUAAAAAAAAAAAUAAUACACAAAAUAUCUUAAAAGUAUUCGGACCACUAGUUUAUAUACUAAAAAUGUAAACAACUAGGAUAGAAAUGGAUCGUUGCACCAACGGAAAAUCAAUAUAAAAUUGAUUAUGAAGAGACAUAGUCUCAUGUGCUAGAUGCAACCAUUUUCAAGUUCCUUGUCAAUCUGGCAAUAAAAGAAGAAUUUGAAUUAUACGAUCCACUGAAAAAUGAUAAUCUCUGAAAGAUAAAAUCCAUGAAGGAUUGAUGAUAUCAAAACUAUAUUUUAAGGAACUUUAGCAAUUCAGUCAAAUUUAAACAAAUUCGCUUUCAAGAGAUAUAUUAAGAGUAUUAUAUAUUUUGUAUUUCUUUGGUAUAGAAGUACCACACCUAAAGUGUUAUUUGAAUAAGUUACUAAUCUUUUAUGUGACCGAAAAAUGUGAUUUCAUAUGACAAUAAAGAAAUACAUAACAGAGUGUUCUGUCGGCUGUGCCCUCCUACUCUAUGUCCUACUUUAAACUUCCGGUUUCGUUGUGCAAGCGUAUUCAGACAGUAAUUACCAGAUACUGGUGGGACAAUACCGAAGGCGUGAAGAAGAUGGCGUGGAUCUCGUGGGAUAGAAUGGCGAAACCGAAGUCGGUAGGAGGACUUGGUAUGAGAGACUUUCUCAAGUUCAAUAAAGCCCUGUUAGCCAAGAUAAGCUGGAGGCUUCUCGAUAAGCCUGAUUGCCUUCUGGGGAAGAUCCUCAAGGGCAAGUACUUCCCGGAAAGUCACAUCCUGCUCGUGGAGGAGGCUUCCUCGAUAUCACAUGGAUGGCGGAGUAUACUUAUAGGUCGCAACUUGCUCUUAAAGAAUCUAGGCUGGGCAGUUGGAGAUGGUCUCUCUAUUAAUAUCUGGCAGGACCCCUGGCUCAGCAUGAGCAAACAAGAACGGCCGAUGGGUCCUCCUACGGAGCAAAGCGCUGAGCUAAGGGUGGCUGACUUGAUGAUCGCAGACACAAGGCAAUGGGACAAGGCCAAAAUCCGCCGUUUGCUCCCAGACUAUGAGGAAAGAAUCCUCUGCUUAAGGUCGAGCAUCUCUGGGGCUCCAGAUAAGCUGUUUUGGCUAGGUACUAAAUCAGGAGACUAUACUUCCAAAUCAGGGUAUUUUGCUGCCAUUGAUGGUGAGGAGGCAAUAUAAGAACUGGAAGCAAAUUUCAACUGGAAGAAACAUGUUUGAAACCUACAAUGUGCCCCAAAAGUGAAACAAUUUUCGUGGAGAUUACUCAAGCGAGCAAUACCUGUAGGAGAACGUCUGGUGGAGAGGCAUAUUGAUGCUGACCCAAAAUGCAAGCGCUGUGGUGAAAACGAAUCUAUCACUCAUCUAUUGUUCCAUUGUCAGUUCGCCCACAAGAUUUGGUUCCUAGCUCCUUUGGCUACUGAUGUGGAUCCUAGAGGAAUAAUAGAUUUAAUGGCCACAUGGCCCACACUCUGUUCCUUAACAUGUCUGCCACCGUCUGGUGUAACUAAUGGUACUCUUGUCCCCUGGAUCCUAUGGACAAUACGGAAAGCACGAAACAAACUCAUAUUUGAAGGUUUCUCCGCAUCUCCUGAAGAGACUCUUUCAUCAGCCAUUGGACUAGCCCGCGAAUGGGCUACUUCCUGCAAAACAGAGCCGCUUAAUCUUCCUGGAAGGAGCCACCAGAGACCUACAGCGCCGGAUGGUGCAGUGAUAGUACAGACCGAUGCGGCUUGGAGCGCAAUUAAUAAUGUCGCAGGUUUAGGUUGGGCAAUUGUGGCACCUGCCCCAACGCAAGCUUUCCAGGAACGGGUAGAGUUCGUCAACUCACCUUUAAUGGCAGAGGGCUUAGCCAUGAGAGAAGCGGUUUUUACCUGUCGCAGGUUGGAGCUCAAAGUCUUGCGGGUUGAAUCGGAUUCAGCCCAGCUGGUCAAGUGUGUCACCUCCUCUUUCCAAGUAGCAGAGCUCCAUAGUGUGGUGUCUGAUAUAUUAUAUGUGGUUGAUAUAUUAUAUGUGGUUGAUGAGUUUGAAUCUAUCUCUUUUGCUUGGAAUCCCUAGAGAGAAAAAUAAGUUUGUUGAUGGUCUGGCAAAGAAUGCCUUGUCUGUACUAGAACCAGUGGUAGUUGAGGAUGCUUUUACUGCUCCUAACUAACCUCCUAUCUUUUAAUUAAAUGGGUGUUUCAAAAAACAUAACAAUAACUUUUAUGAAAAACUCAUAUGUAGAUUUUUUAGACGUUUGUAUGUAAAAAUGUUUGGCUUGAAGUCCAAAUAGACCAAGAAACUAUUAUCUAUAUUAAAAAAAGAAUUCUGGACCAGAAUAAAAAUUCUAUAUAUUAUAAUAGAAAUCAAACUAGUUUAUUCUACUAAGCUCAAUUUCGUAAAAUGGUAUAUCUGAAGGGAAUGCAUAUCUUGAAGAUACUGCUUGGAAGAGAAAAAAUAUAAUAAUGUGUAUAGUUGUACUCUUUUUCUUUAUCAUAAUUUUUAUCCCAUUGAAAUUUUCUAAGACAACGUUUUAACGAAGCAACAUAGAACACACAAACGAUAGACACCCCAGAUAAAUAUUAUAUUUCAAAGAAAAAGUGUCUAUCACCAAUCUAAAGUCUUUGAAAUCAAGAGAAUCAGAGAAAAUGAUCAAGUUAUAGGAGGAUCCAUGCAGUGCAGAAGAAUGACGAAAUUUGUGUCGUACAAGUUGUUCAAGUGACAGCUUAGCUGACUUAUUCAAGAUGACGUUACCCACUGCUACGUCGAAGAAGCUAAUUUAUCUUACUGGAAUAUAUUAUCUCAAAGAUCUCUACGCCUGUACAUAUGUACGCGUUCCACUCUUUUUUCCUUAACCAUGAUUUUUUAUUGGUUUUUUUGGUAAAAUUUUUCACGAGGCAACAUCUAGACGUUUUGAAAGCACUUUGGUAUAAUGGACAUCAAGGAAAGAUGUUAUGAACAUUGUGGUGAUGUACAUUAUGGAAAGUUGCAGAUAUACUUAUUUCCCAAACUUUACUUAUUCUUAAAGUUAUACUUUAUCUCCAAACUAUUGUAUUCUUAUAUAAAAACUCAUUAUUUAUGAAUAAUAUGCACCAAUUCCUCUCUCCUCUUUUUGCUUACAACAAUUUUAGACCUACUACAUUUUUUUUGUUUGCAAAAUACUAUUUUUCGUUGGUGUGAAAUAUAUGUUUUAUUCAACUAAGACUCAGUUCUGUUCGUUUGGUUUGUUUAAACCUACUACACUUUCCUAUACUAUAUGUUCUAGUUACACACCAAUUUGAUUUAUAGAACUUUAAGAAAAAAUAUACAAAACUCUAUACUAUCUGACCAUAAACAAAUAAAUAUUGGAUGUAAUUGUAAUCUUGUAUCAUUGCGAUACAAAGCAUACUAUUUUUAUAGUUACCGAUGACAGAGAAGCACAAAAAGCAUUACCAAAAAACGUUAUAUACAGUAUACUAGGUGAUAACCCGCGCCCUGCGCGGAGUAAAUAGAUUUCAAAAUAUUAUCACUUUUAAUUUGUAGACAUAAUAAAAGUUAAAGUUAUAGCAAGAAAUACUAUAUGUUAUAAAGUAAGGGUUAGACGAAAUUUAGUAUGUCAAUCUAAAUUAAGCUGCGGAAUUUUUGUUUAAAAAUUGUAUAUUUGUUUGCAUAAAAUAAAUUAUAAAUAUAAAAUAAAACAAAACAUAAGCAAUAGACAAAUAAAAUAUAAAAGAAACAAUGUCUUGAAUGGUUUCAAAUCGGAAAUAGAGUUAAAGCCAUCCAUUUGAUUGCUUGAGAGAAUGUUUUGAUAUGAGCAAAGUCGAGAAGAAAGGUGUGGUGAGUUUUCUGAAUUAUAGAAGCCGUAUAUUUAUACUAAAAAGGAAUCGCCAUGUGGUCAUAUGGAUUCAAAAUAAUGGCUGUAACUAAAUCGAAUAUUACACAUAACUUGCGUUCCAAUCUUAGUCGAGAAUUAAUUUAAUAUUGUAAAUAGUUAAUGCAAACUUCCUUUUAUCAAUCGCAAUUGAACAAAUUCAAGAAAGUUCACGAUUAUUAAUUGAUUACAAUAAUUUGAACCUUAAUCUACGUUCCUUAUAUACAAAAGUCAAGUCCUCGCAAAUCACGUAUUAUUACCAUCAAUUUACCAAAUUUGUAAUUUAAAAAUAUAUCAAAGUUAUUAGAAGUUUCCUUUUUCCCAAUCAUCAAUCAAUUUCGUCCUUGCAAAUCACGUUUGAAUCAUGGGCAAUUUGCUCCGCCUUUAUUUGCAUUAUGCAAGCUGGCGUUAAAAUCUUAAUUACGAUAGAUCACCUAAGGUAAGUUUUUAUAAUUGUAUGCCAGAAAAUUGUAUUGUACCUUAGUUUCUACAAUCGCAAGGCGGAGAUCAUCUAACAAUUUAAUGAAACGGGGCAAGUAUAUACCAUAUGCAUGGUUCUUCUGUUUCACUAUUUUAAGAAAACAAAGUUUUCCUCUUGAUAUAUUUUUAAGAGAACAAAUAUUUUUUCGCAUUUUUAAGAAAAUCAAUCACUUGAGUACGUAUUGAUCAUCAAAUACUUUUUAUGAUUUUUCAGAAAACAAACUUUGAUUGAUAAUCGCACAUUAACUUUUUCGCAUCUAUAUUCAUUUUGAAUAAAAAAUUAGACCACUACGUAUGUCAGUAAUGUUUUUGUAUUGAAACAGAUUAAUGAAAAAACUUCAGUCAAGGUAAUUAACAUAAUUUUAAAAUCUUUGAUGUAAUACGUAGAACUUCGGUUAAGGUAACUAACGCAAGAAAUAAAUGAUAAGGUUUGAUGUAAUACGUAUCAACGUAUAUAUGUGACAAAUGUAGACAAAACUAAGGUAAUUAUAAUAUUUUGAUUAAUGGCAUGAUGUGUAAUUACUCUAGUUAACAAUGGGGUUUUAAAUAGAAUAGGUGAGGGAGCUUGUGGAGUUGCCACGUAAGAAAUGACACACUUGUAAUAAACACAUGAACUAAAGGUUAUUUAUUUUUAAUGCUCCUCAAAUAAUAAAAAAGGAUAUCUAAAAUUAAUAAUUUUGGGACUGUAAAUAUUUAUUAAUUUGCUAAAUUUUUAGUUUAAAGAACUUUUUUAGAUUUAUUUUAUAAAAUAUUACAAGAAGAAAAAUUGAAUCGGUGAAAUCAUAUACUAAUUAAAUUUUAUAAUUUCGUGUCUUUUAUAAAAUUAUUUAAAAAAAUUUAAGUAUCGAAGUUACAUAUCCUAGAAUAUAAAUACAAUUUAUGUAAUUCUAUAAAAUAAUCCUAAAAUAUUAAAAUGUACAAAAAUCAUAGAUGAAUUUUAUUUUUAAAAACAAACAAUACAACGUCCCCAUGUAUUUACAAUACAAAUUUGUACAAGAACAAUUUUAAUUUAUUAUUUUAAUAGAACCAUAUAUUUAUUUUAUAUUUUUUAAAUUUAUUAUUUUUUGGAUUAUGUCAUAUUAUAUAUUACUAACACCACUGUGGCCUCCUCCCCUCUCUCUCUUUAAAUUCUACUUGUCAUUGUUCUUUUUCAGUUUGUUUGCUUUGUCCUGAUCUAUUUUAUUUCCUUAUUUCAACAUAAAAGCCAGUUAAAAAAAUAUUUUAUAUUAGUUCAACUUAGAAUUAAUUUAUCAUGAAAGUCAUUUAAAAUCUAUUAAUUUAUUAUGUUUAUUAAUUUAUCGAGUAUUAAUUUAUAGAAUAUUUACUACAUCUAUUUAGUUGUUUUUAUGUGGUUUUAAGUUGCCAAUCAGAGACUCGCUAUAUUCUUUUGUUUAUAUUCUUCUUUUCGGUAUUGACAGAGGCUAGGCUCAGAUUUAUUAUCAUGGAUCCGAGAUUCGCUGUAGAUGCGCUCUGAAAAUAAGAUAUCCGGGGUCCGGAUCCAGAUCCGGAUAAUAAAAUCUCAGAUCUGUUAAACCGAUCUGCAUUCGGAUAUCCGGAUCCGUAUCCGUAUUUUACAAAAAUAUUAAAUUUUUAAUUUUAUUAAUAAUUACGAUUGAUAUAUUGAUACAUAUACAUAAAAUUAGUUUUAUAAUGUUAUAUUUUAAUUUAGCAUUUUAAAAAAUAUUUUUUAUUUAAUUAUUUAAUUAUUUUACGGUUCUGUAUUCAGCAAAUACUUUAACAUCUAGACGGAUAUCUGAUAUCCAUAUAUCCGGAAUCUACGAAUCCGAAUACGAUUCCGAAAACAAAUAUUAGAUCUACGGAUCUGGAUACUUCAAUUUUCCUAGAUAUCCAUAAUUGUCCCACCAAUAACAUAAGCGGACUCAAGUUAUAUGGAGAGGUGUUAGCUGGCACUGUAUUAGAACCUUCGUCUCUUUCUUUGUUUAAUUAGUUUUCGAAUUAACCAAAUCUUCCUUGUUUGUUGAGAGAACUUUUCUUUUUAUAAUUUAUGCACGAGUCUUCUCGAUCAAAUUUAAUUAUUUAUCUCUUAAAAAAUUUCUUUAAAAGAAUUAAGAGUAGUCAAGAUUGUCUAAUUUUGUUUGAUUUAACUCUAAUUCAAUAGAUUUGGAGCUAUCUAUGUUGGGACAAUGUUGUGUUCUAAAAAAUAGGUAGUUGUUGAUCUUUCAAACUUCUUUAAACAGUACCUGCAAUUUAAAAGAGAGAUCAAACUGUCUAUUUUCUUACAGUUCCCAGACAAAUGUUUUAUUCACUAAUUUAAUUCAAUUUUUUUUAGUUUACUGUAUUUUAAAAUACAAUUGACUUAACAAACAAGAAUAUUUACAUAUAUAUAAUUUUAAAAAUUUUAUAUUAUUUAUUUAUUAUUAGUUCUCGUAAAAUAGUAUUUCCUCUGUAUCACUUUAAGUGGUUUUUAAGGUUUCUGCACAUAGAUUAAGAAAACACAAAAUUCUAUAUAAUUUAUCUUGAUUACAUAAAAAUAUUAUUAAAUGAAACUAAUUCAACCAAUAAGAAAAAAUUUCAGUAUUUUGUAAUUGGUCAUAAAUUUCAAAUGAUAUUAAAUUUUACCUAGAAUAAAGAAAACAUCAAAAUUUUGAAACAAAAUUUUUUUCUCUAAACACCAUUAAAGUGAUACGGAGGGAGUAUAAACUUUUGUUAUGUUAUAUUUUUUACAAAAAUAAAAAAUAUAAAAAUCAUUUAAAGAUUAAAAAUUAUCUUUUGCAUUAACGAAGUGCAGAGAAUGCAUUUGGGAAAUUGCAAUAGAGCUCUCAUUUUAUGGGAUCUCACUGUUAAAACUAUUAUUUAUUAUAUAUAUAUAUUAAUGUAAUUACAUAUAUAAAUAAUAAAUGUAAAAUAAAAAUUUAAAAGAAAGAUAAGAACAUUUAUUUCAUAAAAAUAUAUAAAAUAGAUUUUGUGUUAUUAAUUUAGAUAUGAAUAAAUGUAAUAAUAAAAUUUUAAUAAAAAUACAUUAUUUUUGUUAUGUCAAUAAAACUCACAAUUUUGAUUUUUUAUUUCAAAUAAACAAUCAAAUUAAUUUUCUAAAAGAACUAAUACUAUUCCAAGAUCUACUGAAAAUUCAUUGCAAUCUGAGCUGCUUGUUAAAGAUCUAUUUAUUUCAAGAACAACCUCUUAGGACAUUAAUAAACUGUGGAAUUUGAUCCAUGAAGAAGAUGUUGGGAGGAUAUUAUCCAUUCCGCUAAGUAUGACGGGGAGUCCAAACUUUAUAUGCAGUGGACUUAUAGCAAAUCAAAAACAUAUACAGCUAAAUCCAUAUAUAACUUGAAAAGAAAGCUGGACAACAUAUCACCACACAAGCAAAUCAGGUUAUCCCUCUUCUCAUCUAAAUGACCUGAAAUAAAUAAUCCACCUCAACUAAAGAUAUUCUGGUGGAAAGUCUUUUAAGAAGAAUUUUUAAUAAAUGGGGACUGUCAAAUAUGUGGAGAAGCAAUAGAAAGGCUAACACAUAUGCUGGUGGAUUGUUGAAUUGUUAGGGAAAUAUGGUCUCUUCUCACUAGUGAAUAAUUGGCAACCAGAUAGUAAUCAUGAUAUGCUGCAUUUCAUUCAGAGCAUAGUUAAGAAAGUGAAUGAUACUCAUAACAAUCUUGCUAUGUUUCUUGGUUGGAGGAUUUGGUAAAUAAGGAACAAUUUGUUGUUGUUCGAAAACAAAAGGAAUCACAUUGUACAGGUAAUAAAUGCAUCACUCCUAAAUCAACAAAUCUGGGCAGAAGCUUUUCACCAUAAUGCUUAUAUGAGCCACCCCACUCCAAUUCCUCGACCAAACACUAUUUCUUAACUUCUUUCAUAAGAAGCAGCAUUUUACUGCAUUGUAGAUGUCUCUGGAAGUCGUUGCCGACUAACAAAAUUGGAAUAAGAUGAUUCUUAUACAGUAAAAAAGUACUUUCACUCCGAAGAAAAUCUGCAAUCAAUUCAACCAACCUGUAUUAUUAAAACUAAAGUACUUUUUGGUAUUGUUUGAAAACAUAGAUAUCAAUAUGAAUAAAAAUAAUUAGAAACAUGGAUAACUUUAUGAAAAAAAAUAUAGUGUCUUUUUAUAAUUACAUUAAUAUAAUUAUAUUAAUUAUUUUUCACAUUUCACUCAGUUUAACAAUUUCAUUAAUUAUAUUACCUUAACAAUAAAUCACAUCAUUAAUUAUAUUACCAUGAUAAUACUUGUACAGAUUUUUAUUUAGUAGUUAAUCAACGUUAAUUUUGUGCCAAUUAAAAAAUAAAAAAUGUAAAUAACUGGGUUUUGCAUAUGGUUAAACGUUCGGUUUAGUUGUUUUACUAUUUUUUUUAAUUUUAGUUUCAAUCGGUUGAAAAUUACGUAGCCAAAAACAUAAUUAAAAAACAUAUUUUUGUGAAUAAAAUAAUAACUUAAAUCAAAAUAAUCAAAAUAUAUUACAUUUAUUCCCACUUAAUUUUUCACUCCAUAUAAUUAUUUUACUAAAUAAAAAACUCUUUCUAUUUAUAUGAAACAUGUUCGAAUGUCUGGAUGAGUUCGGUUCUAGUGUAUAUGAACCUAAAAAUAUUUAAUAAUAAAUGUAUAUGAAACAUGUUCGAAUAUUUGUACAAAAAAUAACGAUAUUAUCCGAUUCGGUCCAUGUCUUUUGAAUACAAUUAGUUAUAUUACAAGCGUCUAAAAUAUAUAACACUAAUUAUGAAAAACAAAAAUCAAUAUAUAAAAAUGUAAAAAAUCAAUACCCACCCAGGUUAGUUAACUAUUAAAAGCAUAAGCAAUGGCCAUGCUAUUAGCCGUUCAACAAAUGAACACACUCUGUUACAAGAAUGUGGUCUUUCUAGGAGUGCAGAACUCAACAAGAGCCUGAAUCUCCAUCUAAGCAGAAGGAAGUAAACGCCUAACGUAAAUGGAGCAAUAGCCAUUCUCUAAGAUAUUUUGAAUCCAUCUAAUACUAGCUGUUGAUCCUAGCAGUUGUUCUUUUGAAUACAAUUAGUUAUAUUACAAGCAUCUAAAAUAUAUAAUACUAAUUAUGAAAAACAAAAAUCAAUAUAUAAAAAUGUAAAAAAUCAAUACCCGCCCAGGUUAGUUAACUAUUAUAAAAGCAUAAGCAAUGGCCAUGCUAUUAGCCGUUCAACAAAUGAACACACUCUGUUACAAGAAUGUGGUCUUUCUAGGAGUGCAGAACUCAACAAGAGCCUGAAUUUCCAUCUAAGCAGAAGGAAGUAAACGCCUAACGUAAAUCGAGCAAUAGCCAUUCUCCAAGAUAUUUUGAAUCCAUCUAAUACUAGCAGUUGCUCCUAUAAGGUUAUAGAUAAGAUAUACCUAGAGCAUUUGUUUAUCAUGUUGAUCAGCUAACGAAGAAAGUUAAGAUUAAUGAUUAAAACUACGUAAUCACCUGUCACAUUUAGCUGGCCUUUUAUGUAUUCUAAUAUUUUUAAAAAUGAAAUUGUUAACAGAAAAAAUAUUUUAAAUUCUCAAUAAAAUGAAAUUAUUUUUCUGACCCGCUCUGGCCUCUAAAAAUAUUUGAGCCGGUACUAUGUUGAAAGUUCUUUUCGGUCAGCUUGCGUCUGCAUAGUACAUAUGAUGGAAGGAUUUUUUGGUGGUACAUGCUCUCGGAGGUGUAGAAGCUUGCGGAAGAGUUGAUGAAAUUUGAGUCAUCACUGGCGGAUUCAGUGACGGUAAUGAGGUGAUGACGUAGCAGAACCAAUUCCGGGUGACAUUUCGAAGGGAGACACGUAUUGGAGAUAUAAAUUCUUAAAGCUACAAGUGUUAGUAAUUUUUUUUUUCUGUGUGCAACUACAAGUGGUAGCAAAUUAAUGUAACUUUCUUUCACGGCGUUGAUUGUUGGGCCUAUUAUGUACCACACGAUCUCAUCCUUAUGGGCUCUAUGAAAAGUUGACCCACGAAAAUAAGGAAGGAGCCUAAAGCAUCGGCUCAAGUGGAGACCGGACCAGUAACCAUACGUUUUCAUAAUACGAUAAGAUAAGAUAACCUUUCUGUCACGUGGCAUUUUCAUUGUGGUCAAGUAUCGAUAAGGGUAUCAACACCGUUCAUAAUCCUGUGGCUGUUAACGACGAUAUCAUGAAAUAUCCAUAAGGGUUCUCACUCUAUAUAGAUGACCAAAGCAAUAGACUAACAGUAAGAGUUAAGAGAAGGAAGAAGAAGUAGUCAUGGCUUACUCUAUGCUCUCCUCCGCCGCUGUUGUUACCUCCCCGGCUCAAGCCACCAUGGUCGCUCCAUUCACCGGCUUGAAGUCUUCCUCUGCAUUCCCAGUCACCCGCAAGGCCAACAACGACAUUACCUCCAUCGUUAGCAACGGAGGAAGAGUUAGCUGCAUGCAGGUAAAUGUCACUAGAGAGUUUACAGUUAGGCUUGUCUUUUAUUACACGCAACUGGUAGAUUCGAACAGAAUCCUAUUCAAAAGUACAUUUAGAAACCUAGGAUCGUUAAAAGGUCUAAACAGUAUGUACAAAAGUGAACUAAUAUUUCAUUAACUGGAAAUACGAUUCGUAGGUGUGGCCACCAAUUGGAAAGAAGAAGUUUGAGACCCUCUCUUACCUUCCUGACCUUACCGAAGUUGAAUUGGGUAAGGAAGUUGACUACCUUCUCCGCAACAAGUGGAUUCCUUGUGUUGAAUUCGAGUUGGAGGUAAUGAAGACAAAAUAUUUUUUGGAUCUAAACAUCUUUUAUCACAUGAUCUCAAUCCUGAUUUUAAAUGGAAUUCUCAUGUGUUUGUAGCACGGAUUUGUGUACCGUGAGCACGGAAGCACCCCCGGAUACUACGAUGGCCGUUACUGGACAAUGUGGAAGCUUCCCUUGUUCGGAUGCACUGACUCUGCUCAAGUGUUGAAGGAAGUUCAAGAAUGCAAAACUGAGUACCCUAAUGCCUUCAUCAGGAUCAUUGGAUUCGACAACAACCGUCAAGUCCAGUGCAUCAGUUUCAUCGCUUACAAGCCACCAAGCUUCACCGGUGCUUAAUUCGCUUUCAUAUAAUAAUAUCUUCUCAUUUCAUUUCCAAUAAGUCUGUUUCUUUUUUUUCUCUUUGGAUUUCUGUUUACGAGACUUUCUAUAUCGGAUUGUAAAAUGUCUGAUUUUAUGAACAUGUAAUUUCUAUAUUGCUUCUUCUUCGUGGUUACUACUUUCAGAUGGCUAUUAGGUUUUCAAUUUAUUGGGAUAAGAAAACAGUCAGAAUAAUAACUUUACAAAACUGGUUAGAUAAGAUAAUGGUAAUAUUUUUGGAAUAGGAAAACAUUACUACCUAGGAAAAAAAAAAUUCAUAUGGAGUUAAUUAGUUCAUUAGAGAUUCCAAUAACAAAUCAUUGCAUCAUUUUAUCGUCACGUUCCAUAGAUUUCAAGCAUAUAGUAUAUACAUGACAUCGGUGCAUUAUCAUUGGAAAUAAGAUACAUAUAGAUAUGGAUCUCUAUUCUUAUAUUUGUUAUAAUUGUUUUUUUUUUGGUAAAAUGUUAAGCUUACCAUUUUCUGAAAGAAGGAUACACUGUUGUUGUUAAACAACUUAUUACAAGAGAAAAACAGAGAAGCAGAAAAGAAAGACAAAGGAAACAGACUACACAACAACAAUCAAAAUAAGAGAAAACGACACUAAGGUGGAAAGAGACGUCUGAUGGAAAGGUAGAGCAGGAGGAGCGUGUCGUGGCCAUCAGCUGGAGGGGCUAAGGACAAGAGACGAUCCCUCAUAGAACGAUCAACAUACUUGGCGAUCGCCGCUGCGGUAGAGGAAACAUUCUUAAAGAUACGGACGUUCCUCUCUCUCCACAGGCUGUAGACUCCCUGAGCCUGGAGGAUCUUAAUGACAAAGUCCCAGCAGAUUGUAUCAAAAGCUUUGCGGAUGUCUAUUUUUAGCAUGCUGCUCCUGCUGCAAUUUUGGUUCUCAUACUUGCGGAUCAGCUCAGCUGCAAGAAGGACGUUUUCACCCAAGCUGCGCCCUUUAAGAAAAGCCGACUGAGCACGACUUAUCGAACUCUUGAGAAUCGGCUUGAGCCUGUUGGCGAUUAUCUUGGUGAUGAUCUUAUACACAAUGUUGCAGCAGCUUAUCGGCCGGUAGUCCCGAAGGCUACAAGCAGUAGUGGUCUUAGGAAUGAGAACAAUAGCUGUGGUGUUUAGGUCUUUCAGCAAUCGGCCAUUACGAAAAAACUCAGAAACCGCAGCAAUCACAUCCCCUCCAACAGUAUCCCACGAUGCUUUAAGGAACUCAAAAGAAUAGCCAUCGGGACCUGGGCUUUUGUUUAGGGGCAUGGAGAAGAUAGUACCUUUGAUCUCAGUUUCCAGGACAUCUCUCUUCAGGUAAGCUUUCUGUAGGUCCGAGCAUCUGAAGGAGAGCAAAUCUUCCAAAGCAUUUAGAGGAACUGGUGAGACAGGAAGCUCUGUGUGGCCAAGGAUAUCCUGGAAAUAAGAGACUGAGUGCGCCUUUAUAUCAUCGAUGGACCCCAGGAACUGGCCAGACUCAUCUAUCAGAUAAUGGAUGUGGUUGCUAUUAUUCCUUUGUGCUACUGUUUUAUGAAAGAAAGGUGUAUUCCUGUCUCCCACAUCAGCCCAGCGAACACGCGACCUCUGCCUGAAGAACUUUUGCUCAGCAUUGAGUAAGGUGUUAAGGAUAUCACGCUGACGGUGCUCCUCAGAGGCAGUAGCUGGGUCCGGGCAGGUGAGAAGACUUUGCUGCAGGUUCGCUACCCUCACAGACUGCUGCUUUACCCUUCCUGUGAUGCCACUAAAGUGCGUUUUAUUUAAGUUCCUCAGAUCUGUCUUAAGAAGCUUCAUUCGUCGGACCAAUUUAAACUGCUCAGAUCCUUGAACUUCAGCAUUUGACCACGCGUCUGAGACAACAGAAGAGUAGUCAGGAUGGCCAGUAAGAUGGUGAUAAAAUUUGAAAGGCUUGCGGAUACGUCUACUGAUUGAGGGAACCCUGAGAAGGCAAGGCGCAUGAUCAGACUGAUCUGGCUGAAGAAAGUCUGCGUAUGAAUCCGGAAAUGAAGCGGCCCACGAGUGGUUGAUAAGAGCAUGGUCAAUUCUUUUGGAGACAGGGUUGGAGCCACUGUUAUUCCACCAAGUGAAAGGGAGGCCUUUCGCUUGACAUUCGAAGAGCUCAGAGUCCUGCAAAGCUGCAACCAUAUCAUCAAUACCUGAUGGAUCAAUAACUGAGAGAGGGUAAUCAGAGUGCUGGCUUAGACGAAAGAUUUGGUUGAAGUCUCCCAGCACCGACCAAGGAGAGUUAACAACCGGAGUGGAAUCAUGUAUGUAGACCAUCUCUUCCCAUAAGUUUUUACGCUCGAGUACAGUGUUGAACCCAUAAACAAAAGAGACCGUGAAGUUCACAUUUUCCGCCAUAAGAUAAAUCCCACAAGUAACAACCUGAGCAGAAGACUUGUAGAUGAAGACUCGAACAGACGGGUCCCAAACAACAAUUAUUCGACCCGAGAGAUGAUGAUCAUAGUUGCCGAAAAAGCUCCAUCCUAUAGGGAGAGCAUUAUUAAUCCGUUGUGAAUUUCUUUCCUGAAUAUGUGUUUCCAAAAAAGCUCCAAGGAGCGGCCUCUGGAUAUUAAUCCAGUUUCUAACCAUGGUGUGGCGUCUGGGAUCGUUAAGCCCUCUCACAUUCCAUGCAAAAAAUUUCGACAUUUAUAAUUAUAUAGAUUUUGCGACCCUGCGGCCACAGCUCUGGCGGUUAACCAGCAAAAACGGGGCUUCAUGCUCAUCUGAGCCGUCUGCCUCAGCACUAGGGACCCCCGAGGAUGGACCUGACUCAUACGAAGAAGUAAUCAAGUCGUGCGCAGGUGGGAAUUUCUGAAUAGAGAUAUCCGGUGGGACAGUCUUAUCAGAUGAUUCAGGAAUGCCAUUCUCCCUAACCGGAGUUGUUACAGUGGUGUCCUCUGUAUGCUCCUCAGGAGGUAUUUCACCAUCUUCCAAACCCUGAGAGGAUGUGACACCCUUCUUCGCAUCACCAUCUACCGAUCGCUCCUUGUUGUGAGUACCAGCUUUACCUCCUCUCCUACGACGUCCUUGCCUAGACUGUUUCCUCCCCUUAUCCUCCUCAUUCGUUGGACUAGGAGAACGUCUUCUGCCUUCCUUGUUACUACGAGGCAGGGCACGACACUUGGUGUUGAGAUGACCAUAUUUACCACAAGCAUUACACUUUAGUGGGAGCCAAGGGUAAGAAAUAGUUAUCUCAUUUUCUUUCCCAUUUGAAAACCCAGAGAUCAUCUUUGAGGGGAGCUCCCGUGUGAGAUCCACACGCACAAAUAACUUUGCAACCUGAAAGUUUUCCUUCCGCUCUGUUUCCGGAGCCAAAGACACAGGUUUGCCUACUGCUGUGGCCAGCCGACUCAAACUCUCCUUGUUGAACAGCAAGUAAGGGACUCCCCUUAGCUCUACUGGAACCACCGCACUUGUAAUCGGAGCUUCCUCCGGAGUAAAAUCAUGCGACCAUGGAGCAACAAACAUCGGGAAUCCCGCAAUGUUCCAACAAGUCCUGGAGAGGAGGUGCUCCCUUGUCUUAGCAGACGUGACUUUUAAUAGAUACUCCCCAGCGCCCACCAUGUGGACAAAGAUUCGCGGCCCUGUCUUAGCCCAUACGGCAUUAACAACACCGAUUAUACGACCCAUGGAAGGCCAGUCCCCGUGGAAUCUAGCGAAGAUGUAAUCACGAAACUCCUCCUUAGCUGAUUCUAUAUUUUCAUCCGGGAUAAGAACGAAAGGUACUCCCGAUACGUGUUCAGAGGGUGUUCCUAGCUCUUCCAAAGUCGCAAAGUCCUUGACUAAACUGGCGUAGCUCUUAGUUCCAGAGUACUCCCCUAGGGUAGCAGCCUUCUGCAGGGCUCCAUGAGGGAUGUCUCUACUAACCACUUCCUGGAUUGGAAGGGAAACCUCUAUUGUAGCGUCAGGAGUUACCUCCUCCGAUACUGUAGGGGUAACGUCAAGCUCACAUGGCGUGAGAGGUGAUGAAUUGCCAAACUCAAGAACAGGAGCUAGCGGUAGUGGUAGGUGACCCAAACUCAGAUCUACAGAGACCUCAGGGGUCGACGGCGAAACCUCAGUCGUGGGUGCCACCGAAGCAGCAAUUACAGCAUCAGCGCUUGAAGCGCCGGCGAGAGACGACUGUUGUAACGACCGGACCGAAGUGGAGGGUUUCAACGCUCCUUGGAGACGGGCCAUCUUCGAAGAGCCCCGGAGGAGAUUACGAGUUUUUUUCUUCUUUUUCGGAGGCAUAUGGAUGUUAUAAUUGUUUUGAAAAGUUAACGAAACUUUCCACUUAUCAAAGUGAUUUUCUAGAAAAAACGUAUGCAUGUAAAUCUCUCACUCACACGGAUAGUUAAUCCCUGAAGAGAGGAUGACAGUUGACACACUUGAAUUCUAUGAUAGACGCGUUUGUGGACGCACCAUACCUAAGAUAAGCAUGAUGAUAAGAUUGGAGAUUUCCUUAUAUAUUCUCUAAAAAAUUCAAAUCAUUUUCGAAAUAAGACAGUUAUGGCAGGCAGUGGAGUUAAAACAAUUCUGUUAAAUUGGUGAAUUCUGUUGAUUUACCAAUUUUAACAGAAUUUUGUCAUAUUUAAUUUAUAUAGUAAUUCUAUUUUAAGAUAAUAUAAUCUACAAUUAUAAUUUAUCAAAUAGCAUAGAUUUUUAUAUUAAAAAUUAAUUAAUAUUAAUUUAUAAUAAUAUUAUAUUACUAAUUACAGAAUUAAUUAAUGCACUAUUUUCUAAAAAAUAUUUUUGAAAUUUCAGUAGGAUUUUAUUAGAUUUUUUCUCAACAUAUUUUGUCAUAACUAAAAACAAAAUUCAAAUUUAUAGUUAAAAUUAAUUUAUUAUUUAUAUUCUUAUUUAUAAUUAAUACUUUCUAUGAAUAUUAUUUAUUUCUCUAACAAAAAUAUAUUAAUAUUUGAUUGAUUAAUGUAAAUAAUUAAUUAAAUGAUUCUAGUAUGACUUGUCAACACUAGAAUUUAAAUAUAUUGACUAAAUUUUAUAUAUACCAUUUUUGAGUUGUUCUUAUUCGAUUAUUUAGUGUAUUAAAAUAGAUAUAAUAAAUAUGAAUAGAUUUUACGUGCAAAAUGAUAAAAUAACAUCAAUAUAUUUAGAAAAAAUAAGAAAAAUUACAUAUAAACUUCUUUGGGAAUAAAAAACUAUACAAUAUCAUUUUUGUUUUUCUUAGGACCAUAUAUUUAUAUAAAGUUUCUUAAAAAAUAUUUUCUUAUUAUCUUACUGAAUUGUGUUAUAUUUUACAUUGAUGUAACUCAAAACUGGUAAAAUUUAUUAACUUAUCUAGUAUUAUGUUUCAGAAAGAUGUAUAUUUUAAUAUUUUCACACUUGUUAAGAAAACAUAUCAGAUUUAAAUUACCAAUAUAUUAAUUUCUGUAAUUAAUUAUUCCCCACAACUUGUAACCAAUAAAACUUUAGUAAACACAAUUUUGUUUUUUGAAGUUUACAAUUUACAAUUUACAAUUUACAAUUAAUUUACGCAUUGAAAAUAUAAAAAAAUGUACUAACUGAAAUAUUUUUUUAAAAAAUAUUUAUCUUUUUGAGAUGGAGGGAAUAUUAAUUUAUAGAGUUUUAAAAAUGUACUAAAGAAAUCGUCGGUUAGUUUAUAUAAUCUGCGUUUUUCUUUUAUUAGGGCUAAACCCAGCCCAAACAAAGGAGGAAUGUCUAGCAAGUAUCCAAACAUGGGUUCGGGCCUCUGGGUUAAUGUUUGCUGGAUCUGGAUUCGGAUAUCCUAUAUAUCCCUAGUGAUAAUAAUUAAUAAGAGCCGCGGCUCUGAACAAAAUAUAAAACAAGGGCGGCCUUCUGCUUUUAGUUAACAAAGAAAAAACUCCGUAGAGAGAGAGAGAGAGAGAAUAGCGGUGCUGGAUCUAAGCGAUGUCGGAUCCUUACGAGAGGGCGAAGGGUGGAAGGUUAGCGUUUAAAGGAGGCGAUCUAGCCACCAUCAAAAAGAAGAAGAAGCAAUCGAAGAAGAAGAAGAAGGACAAGGAAAAGCUCGACGACGGCGCCGAUGUUGAGAAGAUGGACGCUCCAGCCACUUCCUCUGCUGCAGAUGGCAAAGACGAUAUCUACUCUAUCGACGCCGCGAAGAAGAGGAAGUACGACGAGCUUUUCCCCGUGGAGGCAAAGAAGUUCGGUUACGUUCCCAAAUCGAACUUCGAUUCGGUGGCGGAGGCUCUCGACGAUCGAGUCAAGAAGAAGGCCGACCGCUACUGUAAAUAGAAUCUUUUGCAUCUCCCUUUGUUUAAUUCCCUACUCUAUGCAUAAUUGUUAUCAUGUUUGAAGACUUUAUCCCUAUUUUGCUUCUGUUUGAGACUGGUUUAUUUGGAAUCCAAAUUAGUGGUAUUUGGUAUUCAUCCUUUGGGACAACUAGGUUUUGUGAAAUCUCUAGGUUUAGCAAGUAAAUAUUAAAGUGCUUUACAAACAACUCAUAUAUGUUUUAGUGUUAUGGUUCAAAUUUUUUGAAUCCAAUUUGUAAAUGGUUUUGCUUUUCGUUUCUUGGUAUUUUGUUUUCUUACAAGUCCUCAAUUGCUCAAUGCAUUUGCUUCCCUCUGCUAAAGGAUAUUACAGUGAGGCCACUGCAACGGAACUGCAGGAAGAAUCAGAGAGAUAAAUUCAGUUUAGUUAAGUUUAUAUUGUCUUUCUCCUUUAAGGUGAAAGGUCAGCCUGAGUUUAUAAUUAUUUUUCACACUACAUAUGUUCUUAGCAAAUGAUAGACACUUUAUUAUUUCUUGUGUUUCCCCUCAAAUAAUCAGUUUUUUAGCUCCUGUUACCUCGAGUAUUCCUCUGUCCUGCUUCUUCUGGUUCUGGACUAACCCUCUGAUACCUUGCUCUAGAAAGCCCCAUGUUCCAGAACUGCAUCCACCUAGGGCGCCUCCUCUCGGGAACGUCUUCUCUAAUAGGAUCACCCCUUUCCUGAGAAUCCGUAACGGUGGUGUUGACCGGAGGCAGAUCACGGCGGCAAAUUGGGCAUGAAUUGUGAAGCCUUAGCCAUGGAGUUAUACAGUUUUUAUGGUAAAUAUGUUUACAUGGUAGUUCGGUAGCUUCCCCUCCAGCAACGAAGUCCUCCAUGCACACCGUGCAUUGCGACAUGUCGUUGGUUAGAUGUUUCGAUGUAAUCGUUACGGUCGGUAGCGCGUCAAUGGUGGGUUCUGAUGCAGGUGGUGGUCCAGGCCUAUCGUCUUGUGUUAGCUGUUCGAUCAGCUGUUCUAAACCUGAUCCUCCAGUAAAGAAGUCAUGUGGGUUCAUACGCCUGGGAGGUAUUGGAUCAGUGGGCCGUAGUAUUACAUAUGUUCUUCUUGGUGGAGGUAAACUGCCAUUGUUACCAUUGUCAAGGCUGUGGCGUCGUCGAUGGUGCGGUAGGGGUGUUGUUGGCUCGUGUUCCACGUUUCUGGACCUUGCCCUGAGAAAUGGGUCUUCACCGAAUCUACCUAUUGUUGGAGGAUCAAACAUGAGGGACAGAGCUUCGAGAAGGCGUGUCUCAGGAGAAGCAUCAAACGGUGGAGCGGCGUGAGUGAAAGUCACCCGAGGCCGUCUCAUCUCGAUUUCCACAACAAAUUGCCUUAAGCAUCGAGGGCACGCGAUCUCUGAUGGGUUUGAUGAUGCAAUCCUGACCGUACGAUGACAGUGGUAGCACCAGUAGAGGCCAAAAGUCCUGAAUGCGCCAUUGGGUGCACCAUCGGUCCGUCUUAUUGGCACACUCAAUGACAUGAUUCGAAGAAGUAACUGUUAUACACCAGACAUAAAUACUUGCACAUUUAUAGAUAAUCUUUGAAGGUUGAAUGAAGCAAUUAAGCCAGGCAUAUUCCGUUCAUACAGAGGUCGUGUUUUGUCUGGAAGGCAAAGAAUGAGAAGGAUGAAGACGCAAUGCUCAUUUCUUCUGGUUUUUCUUAUUCUAUUUAGAUUGCCUCAAGUUAAAGGCUAGAAUCAUUUAUUAGAUCAAGUCAAUUAAAGAGAUUGGCCGUAUUGUUUAACUAGAGUAGAUAUAGAGGAAAAGAAACAAUCAUCAAGUUUAACAUAAAAUAUUAUUCUUUAGAGCAUCUCCGAAAAAACUUUAUAGCUUCAAAUACAGAGCUUGUUUCUAUCCAAAAACAAAUUUUAAAACUUUAAAUUUAGAUUUUUGAUUAGUGAAACUUCGUAUUUUUUUAGAUGCUCCAAGUUUAGAAUUUUAAAACUCUAUAAUAUUUUAAUAAUAGUUUUGUGACAAAAAAAUGAGUAGAAGUUUCACUACUCAAAACUCUAAAUUUGAAAUUUCAUCUUUUUAUUUGCAUUUUGGUCUUUAUAAUUAACUAGGGUCGGUCCGCCCUACGGGCGGGAAGUUAUAAUAAAGCAUACCCUUCUCAGGUAUACAUUAAAAACCCGACGCAACAUCAAGCUUUACCGGUCCACUGCUUUGAAGUUAGGUGCGAAGUGUGAAGAUGGCUCGUGUCCCUGGAGGGUGUAUUGUUCUUAUGAGAAGAGCAAACAGAAGCUGAUGAUCAAAUGUUAUGUGAAUGAGCACAAGUGUGAGAUAACAGGACACUCAAAGUUUUUGAAGUGUUCUACUAUAGCAAUGCUGUUCGCUGAGAGGCUGAGGUUGAAUCCCAAAAUCACCAAGCAUGAAAUUGCUUCUGAGAUCCAGAGAGAGUAUAGGAUGUUUGUGAGUGUGGAAGCUUGUGGGAAUGCGAAGACAAAGGUUAUGAAAGAAAGAAAAGCAAGCCACGAAGAACACUUCAACAAGAUAUGGGAUUAUCAAGCUGAGAUUUUUCGAACCAACCCUGGCACUACAAUGGAUAUCGAAACCAUCCCUGGACCGACAGUAGGAAGUAAACAGAGGUUUUUCCGGCUAUAUGUUUGCUUUCAUGCGCAGAAGGAGACUUGGAAGACUUCUUGUAGACCGAUAAUGGGUUUAGAUGGAGCAUUUCUAAAGUGGGACAUAAAGGGUCAUCUCUUGGCUGCUGUAGGACGUGAUGGAGACAAUCGGAUUGUUCCGAUUGCAUGGGCAGUAGUAGAAGUGGAGAAUGACACGAAUUGGGACUGGUUUGUGAGACACCUCGCAAAUGACUUGGGCUUAAAGGAUGGCAAAGGCUAUGCUAUAUUGUCUGACAAACAAAAGGUAAACGUCUGAUCUUGAUUUUUUAAAGCUUUUAGUGCUUAAAGCAUUACUGUAUCUUAGUGUUUUUAACUGUCUCAUGCUUGUAAUUGGCAGGGUUUAGUGAAAGCAGUCCACACCAUUCUUCCAGAGGUUGAGCAUAGACAGUGUUGUAGACACAUUUUCGAUAAUUGGAAGAAGAGCAGCCAUGACAUGCAGCUACAAAGACUCUUCUGGCGAAUAGCAAGGAGUUAUACAAUUGGAGAUUAUAAAAUGUGGAGUGAGAGGCUGAAAGAGUACAAUCCAGGCGCCUAUGCUACUCUUCAAGUCACCAAACCAGAAACUUGGUCCAGAGCAUAUUUCAAAUUAGGGACCUUGUGCAACGAUAAUCUCAAUAACCUAAGUGAGUCCUUCAACAGAACCAUCCGUGAAGCAAGAAGGAAGCCAUUAUUGGAGAUGUUAGAGGAUAUAAGGAGACAGUGUAUGGUUCGAAACUUCAGAAGGGCUGUAAUGGCUAAAAAUGCUAAGACAAAGUUCACAAAAAGGACGCAUCUUCAGAUGGCUAAAGUGGAGUCAAAGUCUAAGGAUUGUAUGAGCUUUCCAGCAGUUGGUCCAGUCACAGAGGUUGAUUAUGGUGGUGUGGCUUAUGCUGUGGAUAUGGAUGAGCUAAGUUGUGGGUGUAUCCAGUGGCAAAUGACUGGAAUUCCUUGCAUUCAUGCCGCCUAUGUGAUCCUUAAAGAUGGUAAAAAACUUUCUGACUUUGUAUCUCCUUGUUAUACCAUAGCUAUGUGGCGUCAAACCUAUAGUAUGGGGGUAAGGCCUGUUCAAGGGAAGAAGCUAUGGCCUGAGACUGGUAGAUUAGGUGUCCUCCCACCACCUUGGAGAAAAGGAAACCCGGGAAGACCAAAGAACCAUGAUAGGUUCAAGAGCAAGGGUGAGACAGAGAAGGGCCCGAAAGUCUCUACAACUGAUAGCACGAAACUAACUCGUGCUGAUCGAGUUAUUACAUGUUCUAAUUGCAAGCAAGAGCAUCAUAACAAGAAGACAUGUAAGAAUGACUUUGUUGAAAGUCAGCCCAAGAAACCACGAGGUCGCCCUAGGAAAAAUCAGGCAAGUUUCAAGAUGUUUUUGGUUUGUUUCUGAUCUUCUUAUGCUCACUUGAUUUUUUUUUUCAUUGUCAGUCUAAUGCAUCAUCGUCACAACCAAGCCAGGGACAGUCUCAUGCUUCAUCAUCACAACCAACCCAGCCACAAGUGUCAACACAGCCACAAGCCACACAUGCACCACUAAACUCAGAUGCGUCGGUAUGGGGUCGAUGGUUUUCGUGAUUUCGAAGUUAGAAGGGGCAGAAGCAGAAGAUAGUAUUUUCGGAUUUAGUGUUUUGAAGUUUUAGUGUUUUGACACUCAUGUUUCAGUUUUAGUGCUUUAACACUCAGGUUUCAGGUUUCUGUCUUGUGUAUCAGUAUUUUCGGAUCUAUUUUGUAGUGCUUUGACACUUAACUUAUGCUAUGUUUCAUCAAGCUUUAUUUAAGAUUGGUUUGUAUCUCAACCAACAACAACAACUUAGUUCAUUACUUCAAACAACAACAUAGUCAAUGAAACCAACAUAAUAGUCACUGAAUUAAGCCCCAAACAUAGUCAAGACCAAACAUUAAAAUUGUCACUUAAUCAAGUAAAUACAACAAGACACAAACACCAACAAUUUAGUUCUUCACCUCAAGCAAAUAACUAACUUAAUUCUACAUCAAACUAACUAGUAGGACAAUGAUGAUCACGCACAUGAUCACAAACAAGAUCGUCAUCAUCACCUUACACCUCUUCACCUCUGUUUUGGCUCUUACAACUUCUUCCAUCAACUCAGUGACCACGCCUUUCAAAUCUUCAAUAUCAGAUUUUUCUUUGUUAAGCUCAGCUUCAAGCAGUACAAUCUUUGGUAAGGCAUCUUGAACCUCUUCAUAAACAGCCUCCUCAACCCAUUUAAACAAGUGGUUCUAUGCAAAAACCAUAAGAUUUUAGGCAUAUUCCUUUAUAUUCAAUUUGAAUAAACGACAACAAUAUAAUCAAGAAGAUAAGAAGCUACCUUUCUUCUCGUAAGACAUCUGAAGAAAGGUCUCCCCGGAUUCUUGUUAGUCUCAGACGUGUAGAUUGUUGUCUUAGUCCCGCAAACACAGCUCGCCGGAAACCCGCGAAUACCGUAUGUGUUCACGGUUGAACUCUCAGCUGUCGAAUCCGAACUCAUCUUCGUGCUAAGGGAAGUCAAUCGUGUGAGAUUGGAGGAUUUUGAGUUGUAAUCGCAAUUUUUAGGGUUGGUGUGUCAAGAAAAUCCCCAAAUUGAUUUGGGGGAAAAUGAUAUUAGGGUUUCGGAUCUUAUUUUGAAGUUUAAGAUAAAAUGUUGUCGUAUUGACUAACUGUGCAAAUUAACAGGGUUAACAUGUUCCGUUAGUCUAAUUAACGUCGGGUCUAAUUUGAUCCAUUCAAAGAAAAGUUAGCUGGGUUUUUAAAGUCAAAAGAAAAAUUUAUUGUUUUUCAGGUCUUUCCAAAAGCUGGGGAUUAUAAUGGUCCAAAUGAAUCUUCCUAAACCUUUGUGAUCAGGUUCCGAUGUUUUGAAGAGCUGAUACUGCUCUCUCCAAGACUGGGAAAAGUUGUGAUCCAGGAAGCACAUUCGCUCGCUCCUGAAAGCUUGUGGGUUCUCCUGAUACCUCUGCCUUAGCACAUUAAUCCAAGCAUCUAUAUGCUGCAUAUUAAAUAUAACAAGUUAGAAGUUACAAGACGACUUAUCUUUAAGUAGACGACUUAAAUCGUGUGCAGAAGACUGACGCAGUCUUCCAGCCAUCCUCUGGCUGUCCGGAGGAAGUGGUACCACCUUGUUGGUGAUGUACGUGGUUUGUCCUUGGUGUUAGUUAAAUAAUGACUGCAAACAAAAAAGCAAUCAGUUUUGGACGACUAAAUCAAGCUAUUAUGGGUAAAGCAAUCACUUACGGAUCAGUUUUCAACCAAUCAGCGAGUUCCUUCAACUUAUCUCUGUUUACUGGCGGAAAUGGAUUAUAGGCUGCCACUUUAUCUUUUUUUUUCUCUGCCGUAUAAGGAGAUCUCACAGUGGGAGCAGGUUUCUUCGCUCGUUUACUCUUUGCACGCUUGUCCAAUACAACCAGGCUCGGUUCUGAAACUGGAUCGCUUGGCUCGGUGGAAGCGAGGCUCGGUUGUUGAUCGGUGGAAGCGAGGCUCGGUUGGUGAUCGGUGGAAGUGACAGCAACAAUCUCUUUGGAGGUGACACCAUCUGCUUUAUCCUCCGGCAAGAUCUUAUUUACCGAGUUCGCCUCGGUUGCUGUAUCCUCCGGCAACCAUCUCUGCAAUAAAAGUUGCACACAAGUUAACCCUGGACGACUUAAAUAAAAGUUGUCUGGACGACUAGUUGACCCUGGACGACUUAAAUAAAAAUCGUCUGGACGACUAGUUGACCCUGGACGACUUAAAAUUAAGUCUUCCGUGGUCAACUAGUCGUCCAGACAACUUACGUUUAAGUCGUCCAGGGUCAACUAGUCGUCCAGACAACUUUUACAGUCGUCUGGACAACUAGUUAACCCUGGAUUUGAUACUAACCUCUUUGAUUUGAGGAGGCUGUUUCUUUUGAGGAGGAGGCUGUUUCUUUUGAGGAGGAGGAGGAGGCUGUUUCUUUUGAGGAGGAGGAGGCUGCUGUUUGGUUUGAUGAGGAGGAGGCUGGUUACUAACCACGGUUUCAUUGGCAUGAGGGGUAGCCUGUUUGUUUCUACCCCCGGUUUCUUUGGCAAGAGGGGUAGGCUGUUUAUCUUGAGGGGUAGCCUGAUUGGUUAGAGGUGGAGGGGUAGCCUGAUUGGUGACACCAACCUUCUUCUCCACAGCUUCCAAUCUAUCGGACAACUUCCUAAACUCCCUCAUGCACUUAUUAAACCCUUUUUUCAUGCAGUCAGCUACGCCCUUGAACAUAAUUUCCAACUCCUCUCUGGUCACCCCUCUAGCCUCUUCUCUAGCCUCUUCACUAGCCUCUUCAGGAGCCUCUUUACGAGCUUUCUUCCGAGGUCUUGGAUUGUCUUCCUCCUCCUCCUCCUCCUCCUCCAACACAACCAUCUCUUUGGCCUUCUUCGAUGGAGUCACAACCUUAGGUUUUGUAUUGACCUUAGUACCAGUGACUUCCCAGCAAUCCAUGGUCCACUUCCACGGUCUCCGCUCAUACAUGACUUUAAUGAUGUUCUCCGCGGGCAGGUCCUCAACCUCAGAGUCCCAUUUUGGCCACAUUUCACUAAUGUCCUUCUCAACAAAGUUGAUCACGCGGGUCUGCAGUAAAUAGAAGAAUCGAGUUAGAUAUUUGAAAAAAAAUACUAAAUAGACGACUUAAUUAUAAGUCGUCUACUAAGUCGUCCAGCUGGAAGACCUUCCAGACGACUUAUAAUAAGUCGUCUAAUAAGUCGUCCAGAUGGAAGACUUUCCAGACGACUUAAUUAAGUCGUCCGAUAAGUCGUCCAGCUGGGAAGACUUUCCAGACGCCUUAUUAUAAGUCGUCUAAUAAGUCGUCCAGAUGGAAGACCUUCCAGACGACUUAUAAUAAGUCGUCUAAUAAGUCGUCCAGAUGGAAGACUUUCCAGACGACUUAAUUAAGUCGUCCGAUAAGUCGUCCAGCUGGGAAGACUUUCCAGACGCCUUAUUAUAAGUCGUCUAAUAAGUCGUCCAGAUGGAAGACUUUCCAGACGACUUAAUUAAGUCGUCCGAUAAGUCGUCCAGCUGGGAAGACUUUCCAGACGCCUUAUUAUAAGUCGUCUAAUAAGUCGUCCAGAUGGAAGACUUUCCAGACGACUUAAUUAAGUCGUCCGAUAAGUCGUCCAGCUGGGAAGACUUUCCAGACGCCUUAUUAUAAGUCGUCUAAUAAGUCGUCCAGAUGGAAGACUUUCCAGACGACUUAUAAUAAGUCGUCUAAUAAGUCGUCCAGAUGGAAGACUUUCCAGACGACUUAAUUAAGUCGUCCGAUAAGUCGUCCAGCUGGGAAGACUUUCCAGACGCCUUAUUAUAAGUCGUCUAAUAAGUCGUCCAGAUGGAAGACCUUCCAGACGACUUAUAAUAAGUCGUCUAAUAAGUCGUCCAGAUGGAAGACUUUCCAGACGACUUAAUUAAGUCGUCCGAUAAGUCGUCCAGCUGGGAAGACUUUCCAGACGCCUUAUUAUAAGUCGUCUAAUAAGUCGUCCAGAUGGAAGACCUUCCAGACGACUUAUAAUAAGUCGUCUAAUAAGUCGUCCAGAUGGAAGACUUUCCAGACGACUUAAUUAAGUCGUCCGAUAAGUCGUCCAGCUGGGAAGACUUUCCAGACGCCUUAUUAUAAGUCGUCUAAUAAGUCGUCCAGAUGGAAGACCUUCCAGACGACUUAUAAUAAGUCGUCUAAUAAGUCGUCCAGAUGGAAGACUUUCCAGACGACUUAAUUAAGUCGUCCGAUAAGUCGUCCAGCUGGGAAGACUUUCCAGACGCCUUAUUAUAAGUCGUCUAAUAAGUCGUCCAGAUGGAAGACCUUCCAGACGACUUAUAAUAAGUCGUCUAAUAAGUCGUCCAGAUGGAAGACUUUCCAGACGACUUAAUUAAGUCGUCCGAUAAGUCGUCCAGCUGGGAAGACUUUCCAGACGCCUUAUUAUAAGUCGUCUAAUAAGUCGUCCAGAUGGAAGACCUUCCAGACGACUUAUAAUAAGUCGUCUAAUAAGUCGUCCAGAUGGAAGACUUUCCAGACGACUUAAUUAAGUCGUCCGAUAAGUCGUCCAGCUGGGAAGACUUUCCAGACGCCUUAUUAUAAGUCGUCUAAUAAGUCGUCCAGAUGGAAGACUUUCCAGACGACUUAAUUAAGUCGUCCGAUAAGUCGUCCAGCUGGGAAGACUUUCCAGACGACUUAUUAUAAGUCGUCCGAUAAGUCGUCAAGCUGGACGACCUUCCAGACGACUUAUAAUAAGUCGUCUGCGCAGUCUUUUGGAUUGAAGUAAAUACCUGACUCAAGAUAGCAGCUUUCAUUGAUCUGCGGCCUCUGCUGCCCUCGUAAGCCAGUAUCGGUGGAGACGGACUGUCUGCUCUGGGACCACCAAUACUAGCACCCAAUUCCGGCAUAGCUGUGUACGUCCAGACCUGAAGAACUUGUAUAAACCCAUCCACGGUGUAACAGCCAGCAAUUUCUUUGUUCCACAAAGAGUCCAUCAGCACCUUAAACGCGACUCUCCCCCAUGGAUAAUUCUCAAACCGUUCUAAAUCCAUCACUAGCCUUGCCAGAGUAGAUCGUGUAGCGGUUGAAAACUUUCUCCCUUCAAUGAAUCCAGUGAAGAUGGAGAGGUACGCGAGCCGCUUGCGAUCUUCCCUGGACCAAUCCCCGCAUCUCUUCAGUGCUGCUAUUAUCUGAUCAGUAGUUGGCCCAGCUUCCAGAUGAACUCCCAGCAUCCCCCAGAAAGAAACCAUCUCUGGGGUAACGUCACAUUUUGGUGUCUCAAGGUCCUCGAUGUACUCGCAGUUUAGACCAGUGAGGUUUUCAAACUCUAACAGUGAAAACCUCAAAGGUUCUGGACCAACGAGAGACCACAUCUCAUACUUCUUCUUAAUGUCCAGCUUGAAACUGAGCAUGUAGUGAACCAGCCUUGAAGCCCAACCAAAUCCCUGCUCCUUGAACUUGAUGAAAACUCCCAAACUCGACUCCUUGAGCUCUUCAAAUUCGUCAUCAGUAAGAGCUUUCCUAAGAGCAGUAUGCAACUUGCUGUUAUCCGUAUGAUACGAAAUGCUAUUGUGGGCUUCUGGCUCUUCCCCUGAUGUGUAUAACCUACGGGGGAGUUCUGGAAUAUCCAUCCUUUUUGUCUGCAAAAUAAUCAAAGACAACAAUAUAAGUCCAGACGACUUAGUAGACGACUUAUAAUUAAGUCGUCUGGAAAGUCUUCCAAAUGGACGACUUAUAUUUAAGUCAUCUACUAAGUCGUCCAGUUGGAAGACUUUCCAGACGACUUAAAUUACUUACAAGUCUUCCAGUCGCAGAAGGAGUUGGAGUACUCGUCAUUGCGGUUAUAGAUCUGAAAAAAUAAACGUGAAACGGUGAGAAUGAGUAAAUUGAUAGAGACAACGUUUUAUGUUCAUCUUUUCCUCGAGAUUGAUGACUUAGCGGCGUUAGGGUUUACAGAGAAACGGCGCUAAGGUUUACAGAGAAGAAGCGGCGGCGCUAGGGUUUAGAAGAAGCGGCGGCGCUAGUGUUUAGAGGAAGCGGCGGUGAGAACGUUGGUGACCACGGUGGCGAGGGCGACGGUUUGUUCGGAAAUAGUGGAAGCGGCGGCGCUAGGGUUUAGAGGAAUCGGCGGCGCUAGGGUUUAGAGGAAUCGGCGGCGCUAGGGUUAGAAGAAGCUGCGGCGACAACGGUGAGAAUGAAGUGAGAUAGAUAGCCGACGUUGAGAACGAUGGUUUGUUCGGAAAUCGUGGGAAUUCGAAAUCGCCUUUGAGAGAGAACUGUUAGGGUUUCUGAAUUUCGCGAAAAAUGAAACAAAAAAAAUAAAAAUCACCUUAUAUAUUGGGUAAAUAAUCCGGUUAGCUUUAAAAGUACAUUGGUAAACUUUAAGGUUUGGUCCGGUUUAGACGACUUAUUCUGGCUGAUAAUGUACAACAGACGACUUAAUAUUUAGUCGUCUGUUUUCAGACGACAAAAUAUUAAGUCGUCCUAGACCCUAAAAUGAACCCCUAAACUAAAAUGACUAGAUUAACUAACUAACCACGUUAUAAAAUCAAAUUAUACUUAAAUAGUGUUUACUAUACACAGAAAUGAACACGCAUAAGUAAUUUUAAAAAUUUUCAAAAACGGUUUUAAUGCUUUCCAAAAUCUAACCCUAAGAACACAUACAAUACUACAACAUAUGUUGAUGAAACAUAAACUAAAGAAUAUCAUGACUCACUACUUUCACUCAUCUAUGCUGAAAACAAUUGAAAUUUGUUAUAUCUUAAUUUAUACCUCCUAAGACAUAUGUUAAUUACAUAAUUCCCAUUUUUCACUUAUCAAAAUAUUUUUUACAAAAUUUUUAAAUUAUGUUUAAGACUAACUGUCCAGACGACUUUCAGUUAAGUCGUCUGGACGACUUAUUUUCAAGUCGUCUAAACAGACGACUUGCGAGGGGUAGAAACGUAAAAAAAAUUCCGUUUUCUUGUUUGGUCACAAGGGGAUAGUUGUAAUUUCAAUAGCCUUUUAGGUUACUUUUGCCUUUGACCCAAGUUGGGGUAUUGUUUUGGGUUUGACUCCAAGUUUUGCGUCACACUUGGCAAUUCUCCCUAAUAAAUAUCAUUAUAUUUUUAAUAUUUAUUUUAGUUUCAAAUGUUUAGUUUUGUAAUAUUCUUCAUUAAACUAACUGAUUAAAGGUUUUUUUUUGCAAAUAUGAUUCAAAUCUUCAAAUCAUUCCUCAAGUAAUUCAUGCUUUUUUAGAAUUUUCUUUGUGCUUUACAGGUGAUGUAACUGUAUAUUUCUUUGUGUGUGUGUUUUGUAAACUUUUGAUAAGAGAAGUAUAUAAUAAUGUUUAUAGUUUUUGAGAAUGUUAGGGUGUUAAGGAUUAUGUAUGUUAAGAUUAGUUAUAUUUGAGUUCGAUAGAUUACAACAUAUAACAUAUUAUAUUGAGUGAAUGAGGUGUACGUGGUGCUCUCCUUGUAUGGUUUUUGAUAAUUUUGAAUCCAAAAUUGGUUGGUUAAUUAUGGUUUACUAUAUUAAAUUUUUUUAAGAUAAGUUCGUGGUUCUCAUGAUUAUCAUUUGUAUGAAUGGAUUGGGAUCAACAUGAUUGCAUUGCGUUACAGUAUAUGUUAGGCUAGAAAUAAUAUUUAAGAAAUGAGUAAAAUAGUGAAAGUAUAAGUCUAAUUAUUUAUAUUCUAAAUUAACACUUAAAUAUAUAAAUAUAAAAUUCUGUUUCAAACAUUUUAAUUCGUUUAAGGUCGUUGCAUAGGUGUAAAGAAUAUAUAUCUUUGAUGCAUAUGUAAUUUACGUCUUUAUAUCUUUGAUGCAUAUGUAAUUUACAUCUUUGUUUACUAUUACGUAAUUAGUUUAGUUUUAUUUUUUAUUUUUCUAUUAGUUUCUUAAUUUUUAAUUGAAUAUUUUGUAGUUCUUUGUAAAUGAAUAAAAUUAUUUUAGUUUGUUUGUGCUGAGUUCAAGUGAUUUAAUUUAGAAAAAAAAAUCUUUAUAUUUUUUUUAUUUUUCGAUUAGUUUCUUAAUUUUAUAGUUUUAGUUGAAUAUUUUGUAGUUCUUUGUAAAUGAAUAAAAUUAUUCUAGUUUGUUUGUGCUAAGUUUAAGUGAUUUAAUUUAGUAACUUUUUUUCUUUAUAUAUAGAUAUAUAUAAAAGGAUGACAAAAAAAAACAUAGAUAUAUAUAAAAAUUACUUCAUUAUACAUUGUAUUAUAUUUAAAAUAUGUUUUUUGAAGAGUGUCAAUAUUUAUAAUAUUUUGUUUAAUUUAUUUAUAUAGAUGAAAAAAAAAUUUCUAUUGUAGCAUGAAAUUUAUGAUAUUGUAAAAUGGAAAAAAUGUUAAAUAAAUCCUCAGCUUUUUCAUUUGGACCAUUAUAAUCCACAGAUUUCUAACUGACCAUUGACCAUAAAAACCUCAAACUUUUUGUCGAUUGGAUCAAUUUAAACCCGGCGUUAAGUUCACUAACAAAGCGUCUAAACGCAGUUAAUUUUCGUCGUUAAACAAAACGACGUCGUCUUCUCUUCAAUUAAAAAAACACAUCUUCCUCAUUAUCUCUCAAAAUCGAUUUGGGGGUUUUCUCAAUUAAGAACCCUAAUUUCACGAUUUCGCCAGAAAGAAGAAGAGAGAAGAUGGGUAAUGAAAAGAACAAGAAGUCUCGACAAGGGAAACUCGGUGGUGCCAGUUCUGUAGUGAAAAGAAAAGGUGGAGUCGGCGACGAAGCUGAUGUACGUAAGAAGAAAAAAAGCAAAACAGAUGUACUCGACAGGGAAGAAGAAGGAGAAAUCAGCGAGGAUGACUGUGGUGUUGUCGGUGACGACGAAGCUGAUGAAGCCCCAGACAACGAAGAAGUCCCAAACAACGAAGAAGUCCCUGAUGAAGCAAACGGUCAUGGUGGUAUCGAGGAAGAAACUGGUCGCGAUUUGACUGUCUUCUUCGGCGAAGUAGCGAGGAAUGAUGAUUCUGAGAAUGAUGAAGAUAGUGGGGACGAAUGGUAUUGGGAGCAUGAAAAAGAAGUUCCGGAUCCUCUAUCAUCAGAUGAUGAAAAUGAAGAACAAUCGAUUCCCAGUUUAGCCUACAGAGAAGAUGUGGAUCCAGAGGCAAUGCUUGGGCUGGGAAACACUUUCUCCACUGCUGAAGAAUUCAAGCAUACCCUUCUCAGGUAUACAUUAAAAACCCGACGCAACAUCAAGCUUUACCGGUCCACUGCUUUGAAGUUAGGUGCGAAGUGUGAAGAUGGCUCGUGUCCCUGGAGGGUGUAUUGUUCUUAUGAGAAGAGCAAACAGAAGCUGAUGAUCAAAUGUUAUGUGAAUGAGCACAAGUGUGAGAUAACAGGACACUCAAAGUUUUUGAAGUGUUCUACUAUAGCAAUGCUGUUCGCUGAGAGGCUGAGGUUGAAUCCCAAAAUCACCAAGCAUGAAAUUGCUUCUGAGAUCCAGAGAGAGUAUAGGAUGUUUGUGAGUGUGGAAGCUUGUGGGAAUGCGAAGACAAAGGUUAUGAAAGAAAGAAAAGCAAGCCACGAAGAACACUUCAACAAGAUAUGGGAUUAUCAAGCUGAGAUUUUUCGAACCAACCCUGGCACUACAAUGGAUAUCGAAACCAUCCCUGGACCGACAGUAGAAAGUAAACAGAGGUUUUUCCGGCUAUAUGUUUGCUUUCAUGCGCAGAAGGAGACUUGGAAGACUUCUUGUAGACCGAUAAUGGGUUUAGAUGGAGCAUUUCUAAAGUGGGACAUAAAGGGUCAUCUCUUGGCUGCUGUAGGACGUGAUGGAGACAAUCGGAUUGUUCCGAUUGCAUGGGCAGUAGUAGAAGUGGAGAAUGACACGAAUUGGGACUGGUUUGUGAGACACCUCGCAAAUGACUUGGGCUUAAAGGAUGGCAAAGGCUAUGCUAUAUUAUCUGACAAACAAAAGGUAAACGUCUGAUCUUGAUUUUUUAAAGCUUUUAGUGCUUAAAGCAUUACUGUAUCUUAGUGUUUUUAACUGUCUCAUGCUUGUAAUUGGCAGGGUUUAGUGAAAGCAGUCCACACCAUUCUUCCAGAGGUUGAGCAUAGACAGUGUUGUAGACACAUUUUCGAUAAUUGGAAGAAGAGCAGCCAUGACAUGCAGCUACAAAGACUCUUCUGGCGAAUAGCAAGGAGUUAUACAAUUGGAGAUUAUAAAAUGUGGAGUGAGAGGCUGAAAGAGUACAAUCCAGGCGCCUAUGCUACUCUUCAAGUCACCAAACCAGAAACUUGGUCCAGAGCAUAUUUCAAAUUAGGGACCUUGUGCAACGAUAAUCUCAAUAACCUAAGUGAGUCCUUCAACAGAACCAUCCGUGAAGCAAGAAGGAAGCCAUUAUUGGAGAUGUUAGAGGAUAUAAGGAGACAGUGUAUGGUUCGAAACUUCAGAAGGGCUGUAAUGGCUAAAAAUGCUAAGACAAAGUUCACAAAAAGGACGCAUCUUCAGAUGGCUAAAGUGGAGUCAAAGUCUAAGGAUUGUAUGAGCUUUCCAGCAGUUGGUCCAGUCACAGAGGUUGAUUAUGGUGGUGUGGCUUAUGCUGUGGAUAUGGAUGAGCUAAGUUGUGGGUGUAUCCAGUGGCAAAUGACUGGAAUUCCUUGCAUUCAUGCCGCCUAUGUGAUCCUUAAAGAUGGUAAAAAACUUUCUGACUUUGUAUCUCCUUGUUAUACCAUAGCUAUGUGGCGUCAAACCUAUAGUAUGGGGGUAAGGCCUGUUCAAGGGAAGAAGCUAUGGCCUGAGACGGGUAGAUUAGGUGUCCUCCCACCACCUUGGAGAAAAGGAAACCCGGGAAGACCAAAGAACCAUGAUAGGUUCAAGAGCAAGGGUGAGACAGAGAAGGGCCCGAAAGUCUCUACAACUGAUAGCACGAAGCUAACUCGUGCUGAUCGAGUUAUUACAUGUUCUAAUUGCAAGCAAGAGCAUCAUAACAAGAAGACAUGUAAGAAUGAGUUUGUUGAAAGUCAGCCCAAGAAACCACGAGGGCGCCCUAGGAAAAAUCAGGCAAGUUUCAAGAUGUUUUUGGUUUGUUUCUGAUCUUCUUAUGCUCACUUGAUUUUUUUUUUCAUUGUCAGUCUAAUGCAUCAUCGUCACAACCAAGCCAGGGACAGUCUCAUGCUUCAUCAUCACAACCAACCCAGCCACAAGUGUCAACACAGCCACGAGGGGAAUCAACACAGCCACAAGAGUCAGGGAGAUGGGAACAAGCCACACAUGCACCACCAAACUCAGAUGCGUCGGUAUGGGGUCGAUGGUUUUCGUGAUUUCGAAGUUGGAAGGGGCAGAAGCAGAAGAUAGUAUUUUCGGAUUUAGUGUUUUGAAGUUUUAGUGUUUUGACACUCAUGUUUCAGUUUUAGUGCUUUAACACUCAGGUUUCAGGUUUCUGUCUUGUGUAUCAGUAUUUUCGGAUCUAUUUUGUAGUGCUUUGACACUUAUGCUAUGUUUCAUCAAGCUUUAUUUAAGAUUGGUUUGUAUCUCAACCAACAACAACAACUUAGUUCAUUACUUCAAACAACAACAUAGUCAAUGAAACCAACAUAAUAGUCACUGAAUUAAGCCCCAAACAUAGUCAAGACCAAACAUCAAGCAAAUAACUAACUUAAUUCUACAUCAAACUAACUAGUAGGACAAUGAUGAUCACGCACAUGAUCACAAACAAGAUCGUCAUCAUCACCUUACACCUCUUCACCUCUGUUUUGGCUCUUACAACCUCUUCCAUCAACUCAGUGACCACGCCUUUCAAAUCCUCAAUAUCAGAUUUUUCUUUGUUAAGCUCAGCUUCAAGCAGUACAAUCUUUGGUAAGGCAUCUUGAACCUCUUCAUAAACAGCCUCCUCAACCCAUUUAAACAAGUGGUUCUAUGCAAAAACCAUAAGAUUUUAGGCAUAUUGCUUUAUAUUCAAUUUGAAUAAACGACAACAAUAUAAUCAAGAAGAUAAGAAGCUACCUUUCUUCUCGUAAGACAUCUGAAGAAAGGUCUCCCCGGAUUCUUGUUAGUCUCAGACGUGUAGAUUGUUGUCUUAGUCCCGCAAACACAGCUCGCCGGAAACCCCCGAAUACCGUAUGUGUUCACGGUUGAACUCUCAGCUGUCGAAUCCGAACUCAUCUUCGUGCUAAGGGAAGUCAAUCGUGUGAGAUUGGAGGAUUUUGAGUUGUAAUCGCAAUUUUUAGGGUUGGUGUGUCAAGAAAAUCCCCAAAUCGAUUUGGGGGAAAAUGAUAUUAGGGUUUCGGAUCUUAUUUUGAAGUUUAAGAUAAAAUGUUGUCGUAUUGGCUAACUGUGCAAAUUAACAGGGUUAACAUGUUCCGUUAGUCUAAUUAACGUCGGGUCUAAUUUGAUCCAGUCAAAGAAAAGUUAGCUGGGUUUUUUAAAGUCAAAGAAAAAUUUAUUGUUUUUCAGGUCUUUCCGAAAGCUGGGGAUUAUAAUGGUCCAAAUGAAAAAGCCAAGGAUUUGUUUAACAUUUUUCCCAUUGUAAAAUGGGUUUUGUAAACAAAAAAUGGGUAACACCAUUCACAAUAUGAUAAAAAAAAGUAACUAAAGGUUAUUUCUUUUAUUAUUUUGGGUAACAUUUUUUAUGAUUCAUGUAGUUAAUUCUGUUAAUUAAUGCAUUCAUGUGCUUCGAUUAGGCCUGGGACUUUUAUCCGAGAUCCGGAUUCGAUCCGAGAUUCGAUCCGGAUCCGAUCCGAAAAUCCGGAUAUCCGGAGGGGCCGAAUCCGGAUCCGGAUAGUAAAAUGUUGGAUCCGUCAAAGCCGGAUCCGGAUCCGGAUAUCCGCCGGAUAUUACACUUUUUAGGAGGAUAUCCGACACCCGGAUAUCCGAGAACCCCGGAUCCGGAUAAGGAUAGUAAAAUUAUGGAUCCGCCGGAUAAGGAUCCGGAUCCGGAUACCUUAAAAUUGCCCGGAUAUCCGAUCCGUCCCAGACCUAGCUUCGAUGAAUAUAAUUUUCAUAAGAAAUGGUCCUUCAUUCUUUCAUUCAAAACAAAUUUGAGGCAAAUCUAGUAGUCUAUUCCAUAUAUUUAACGAUCAAGCUCUCAUGACUGAAUUCAUUUAAAGUUCAUGAAAAUAACCAUGACCUUUUAUCUGUACAUUGAUAUAACAAAUAAUAGCGACAAAAAGGAUUAGAGAUUUCCGUGCAAGUGAGCAUGAUGGACAAAGAUAUAAUCAGUGCAAGAGGUUCAAACCAUGUACCCAUAAACUGAUUGUAUCAUUCAUCAAAAAUCUGAGACAGUCUCUGUAUACUCUUCUGAAUUUAAAUAUACAUGCAGUGCAUUGAGAAUCUAAUGACCACGAUUUUGUUGCUUUUCAUGCUCGUAACUAACAGACUAUUAUUUGAGCAUGUUACUUACUGAGAAAGCAUUGCCCAGCACCGGUUUCAUAGUCAAACUCUGCAAACAUAUAAACCUGAGCAUCAAAUUGAGAAUGUCUCUGCCACCGCCACCAUCAGCUCUACUCCAGAGAGGUUAGUUUGUGUUAAAAAGCCUAAGCAAUUCUUCCAUCACAGUAAAAGCAAUGUCGUUCAUAAGAGGCUUGUCCAUGUCUGAUAUAGUAGCCAAGUUAUUAGGCUGAGAAUGCAUAGAACUCGCUGGAAGAAGAUCAAAAUCCAGUGAAGGACCAAUCAUGGACAGAUCCAACGGUGAGAUGCGCAUUGGGUGUAGCGUUGCGAGGUGGGAGGAGAUUGGUCUUCCCAUGUACUUUGAUGCAACCGUUGACAUUCUUUCAAGCUGUGAAAUAAAGAUCAGAUUUAGAAAUUAGGAAGGGGGUUGAAUGAUUAAACCAUAAUGGAUAAACAAAACCUCGUCUCUAAGAUGUACAUUUUCGAUCCGGAGCUUACGCUCAUCGAAGUAAGGAUCUUCACUAACGGGAGGACAUCCACAGUUAGGGUAUAUAGCAUGCUUGAGUGCUUCUCUUAUGGCUAUGUUCUCACAUCGAAUCUUGUCGUUCUCUGCCUAUAGUGCAUUGUUAUCUGCUCUCUCAUGUUGCGCCUACAGAAACAGUAUCAACAAAUCUUAUUCAGACAACAUUUUAAACACACAAAAGAGGGAGAGAUUAAGACACAUAACCUUAAGCUGAGUUCUGCUGUUGUGGAACAGAACUUGAUUUGUCUUGGAGAGCCAAACCCAAUUCUCUGCUAAGUUGGUUCCUCUGCUUAUCAUCUGGAUGAUAACACUCCUUUAAACUCCUGCAAGAGAUUCAAACCAUUAUAAACACUAUGAUUAAGAGCUUUAAGAUCUGAGAAACCUCAAACGUUUCAAAAAGAGCAUUCAAAGAUUUUAACAAAAAUCGAAAUAUAAAAUUUGAUUAUGAGAUAAAUAAAAAUUUUGAUAAUUGGUCGCCGGAAUAGUUAAAAACAAUAUGGUUAUGAGAUUUAAGAUCUGACAAACCUAAGCAUCAAGGAGGAGCAUGUCCACCCCCAUCAACUCGCCACCACGGUUGACGCCAGAAUCUCAACAAAGAACGGGACCUCCACGGUGGAAGAACAUUGAAUAUGGUGAUGAGCAUCGAAGGAAUUAAGAUGUAUCUUAAAGGCGAUGAAUGUGGCUUCGAAACGGCUGUGAGUAAGGAAUAAACACGAAACGACUGAAAGGAAGUGUAAGCCUGAAACACGACGAUUCGUCUCUCUAGACUUUUAGAAUCUCCGUUGUUGAUACAGAUCGAGGAAGACGAUUAAAACCUAAUUUCCAAUAUCGACUCUAGCAGAAAAGACUCUAUCUAGCUAUUGGGCUGAAUACUCAAUUUUCUGAAGAGAAUAAUACUAACAGCCCAGCCCAUAAUAAAAACAAAUUAAAAUCAAAACGAAAACGAAACAAAUCUCACAAGGGAAAAGGACAUGUGUCAAGCCCUGGUUCUUCUAGUUAAUGACGUGUCUUCAUAGGAGAGACACAAACAUUUCUUUAUAUACAUAUAAGAUUAUACUUCACAUUUAUUAUUUUUAAGUAUUUUCUCUUUCAUAUUUUUAAUCUUUAAAACUUUUAUAUAUUUUAAAUAUUUCAAAUUAUAUUUAUAAAAUUUAAAUUUUACACUUAAAAAAAAUUAAACUAAGAUUUAUAAUAUUUUAAAAGUAGAAUUAGACAACAAGAAUAUUUCAAAAGAAAUUUAAUAGAAUUUUUUUUAUGAAGAUACAUGACCAUGAUUAUUACACAAAUUUAAAUAUUACAACAAUACUAAUAGUCUAGUAAAUUUUCUCCGGAACUUCUAAAAUAUUGUCCAAACAAAUUUUGUGUAACCGAAAAUAGAGCAUUAAAAAAAUAAUUUUAUGUAAUAAUAUGGUAUUUUUCUUGUAUUUUAAUAUUUAAUUAUGUAUUUCUAUUUAUAAUUUUAUAUUUUUUGUUGUAAGAUUUUAUUAAUUAAAAUUACUAUAAUAUUAUUAUAUAUAUGCUGGCUAACUAUAAAAGUUUUAUGGAUUUAUAUUAAUUAUGACAAAUAUAAGGAGUAUAGUAUAAUUUACAAAUAAUUUUAAAGUUAAAUUUGAAGUUUUGCUUUUGGAGAAGAACACCUUCAAACUUCAAAUAUAGAGUUUGCAAAACUAUAUAAUAAAGAAUCUUUUUGGAGAUACACUUAGAACACGAAGCAUGAGAUGUCGGUGACAACGCAAUGCUCAUUUCAUUUGGUUUUUCUGUCCUUGCCUCAAUUGGUUACUGUUACAGAUGUUAAUAAAUGAGUAAAUUACCAAUAGGAUACCCUAAGUUUUUCUAAACUUUCAAACCCAAAACUUACUGUAUUUGACUAAAAGCAUUUCUAAGAGCAAUUUUACUUUUAAAGUUUGGUGAACUUUAAAUUUGAGGUUUAAUGGUGACUUUCACCCAUGAUAAAACUUUAAAUAUUUUUUUUAAAGAAAUUAUUUGCAAUUAUAGUCCUUAAGAUUGUUUGAAGUUAAUAAGAAUUACAAAACUAUAAAUAAUAAAACAUAUAUGAAAAAGUAUUACAAGCAAUAUUUGUCUCACAUCGACAAGCUCGACGCAACAGUAUGACGCAACAAUAUAAUACUAGCUGAUAUCUUUAUGGACGCUUUCUCCGGAUAAAACUAAAUACUCAAGUAUCCAGACGAUCAUGAGAAAACGUUCUUUAUGAUGUCAGAAGGCAAUUUAUUACUGCAAGGUUAUGAAUUUUCGCUUAAAGAAUGCCGGCUCCACUUAUUAUAAACUGAUAAACAUGAUCGUUUGCAUAACAUACCAGACAGAGCAUAGAAGUUUACAUGCACGAUAUGCUCGUCAACUUUCUGGAAGUAGAAGAUCAUAUAGGCCACCUACAUCAAGCAUUCUCAACCCUGAGAAAAAAAAAACAGUAUGAAGCUCAAUUCCUCCAAGUGAUCUUCCAAUCUCUCUUACUCUGUCAUAAACUCGUCACUUCCUUGGCUUGUCCAUAAUCAGAUCACUAAUCUUCUGGCUCUCUGGAUUUAAGGUUUUACCCAUGAUACAGAUCUUGUUCCUUUUGCUCUGCAUUAGGGCAUUGUCUGGUAGGUUAAAAGGAAUUCCCUUCGCCUGCAAUGACAUUGCGUCAAUCACCUUAUCAGUAUUUAUACUUGUUCUGAAGAAAUUCCAAAAAACAUUUUCUUCAAAAAGGUAUAGAACGGCUACAUCAAAAUCAUAGAAAAACCAAUAGAAAUAGUAUAUAAUAUAUUUUUCCAAAUAUAGCGGUUCCAUGUUUUUGACACUCAGAAAAUAGAAAACAAAUUCUCAACCGUAAACACUGUUUUUCAUAAAGAUAAUAUAUUUGUUAAGAAAAAAAUGAAAACCUAAGCUAAAAAAGCCAAAUUACACACUUUUGAAUAGUUUAUUAUUGCGUGCAUUUGAAAUAAACUAAAUUAUAUAUAAAUAAGAGCAUCUCUACAAAUUUAAAAAAAUGUAGGACAAGAUGGUUUGACCGGUGGAAGCGUCUUAUUCCAGUAAUUUGACUAAUGAUUCAUUAACGUUUUUCCACCGGUAUAUCCAAAUUUCAAUUCCCAAAAAAAUAAUUUGUUAAACAACUAAAGAAAAAAAAGUUAAAAAGAGAUCUUCAAAAUUUUGCAAGUAAACUCGACCAUGUGUGAAUUUUUAUAGAAUGACUCAGGUGAAACAAUUAGACAUAGAUUUUCAUCAAACAUAUAACAUUGUCGGUUGUACAAUGAAUGCAGCUUUUGCGGUUGGUAGCGGUUGUUGGCGUUUUGCAACAAUCACUCAAACCGCUUCAAACCGUUUUAAACCUCAUAAUUCAAUAGCUGGUUCCCGCUAGCGUUUGCGGUUGCGGGAGAAUAUUUUUUUCUUUUUAAAAUAAUAUAAAUACAAAAAUAAAAAUAUUCAAUAAAAAAUUUAAAUUGGAAUUAUAAAAAGAAUAAAAUAUAUCUAUACAUUUCAAUUAAUAUUAUAAAAAAAUAAAUAAUUUAUUUUAUAAUUUUAAGACGUUUAAAACUAUAACUUUCUAAAUAUAAUUUUUAUAUUUAUUAUAAUAUUAUGAUUAUAUUUUUAUAAUUAUAAAAAAUAUAAAUAUUGUUAAUUUAUUAUUUAACCGCUGCUGCAUUUGGUAGUUAACCAGACAUAACUAUCCUGCAAACGUGCCAAUUUUUAACCACAAAACCAAUCAUACAAAUCUCUUAAAACCGCUAGAAACCGCAACCACCCGCAUUCGCAAAUUUCCACGACCGCAACCGCUGUGUUUGAACCAGUCAGACCCUAGACGUGAUGGAGUAAGCUAUAACAGUUUUUUUGUUGUUGAGAAUUUACCAAAUAAAUGGAUAUUUUAGUGAGUCAGGUUAUUCAUAUUGGUGAGAAUUAAUAUUAAUGUUUGUGUUUAGUAUGAAAAGGGUGAAAAGUAAUUAUUUUUAUAUAUUAAAGAUCUAAAAUUAUUAUAAAAUAUACUAUAACUAUUUUAUUAUUAUAUAUUUAGUAAAACCAUAUACUGUAUAGAUUUAAAUGAUAAAUAUUAUAUACGACCAUAAUAUAUUUAGUAAUAGAACAAUGAAGAAGGUAAAUACAGUAUGCAGUGUAUCUAACAAUACAAGAAAAACUCCAUAAAUUAAUAAUGUUAAUAUUAUGAUAUUUUAUUAAUUUAUAGAGUUAUUAAUAUAUAUAUUUAUUGAUUUAUAAAACUUUCCUUUCUAGAUUUUACUGUUUAUAUAUUAAUUAAAUUUUAGAAAAUCGAUUUUUUUCUAUUGUCUAAAUUUUUAUAGAUAUAUUUUUACUAAAUAUUAUCAAAAGUAUAUUGAAGGUUAAGAAAAAAUAGAGAUGAAUUCUAUUGUUAAUAUAAAUUAAACAAUAUUAUCUUUUGUUUGUAUUUAUAUGAAAUAUAUAUAUAUAUAUAUAUAUAAAAUAUUAAUUUAUGAUUUUAUAGGACCAUAUAUUUACAUAAGAUUUUUUUAAAAAAUAUUAUCUUAUUAUUUUAUUGAUUUGUAUCAUAUUUUGAAUCAUCUCAAUUCGGGAUUGAAAAAAUUAUUAAUUUACUGCGUUUAUUAAUUUAUAGAGUUUCUACUGUAUUAGUUUUUUUGUACCAAUUUCACUUUUUCAUUAAACAGUUUAACAACCAUUUUUAAUUUCAAACGGCUGAUCUAGUACUUAAAAUUAAGGUGGUUUAGGUAACUAUACAAAAUAUAAGAACCAAUAAAAUACAAAUAUCUGUGAUAUUUUCUUGCUAUCUUAGCUAAUGAGUCUGCUUAUUUGUUUUAAGAAAAAGGAUGAUAAACAAUAAACAAGUCUACAAAAAUCUACUCUUCAAUCUUGAAAAUUUUUUUAUCUCCAUUGAAAAGUUUGGCCCUGCUUAUAAAUCUUGUAUCAUCGAAACGAGGUCCUUGCAAUUUGUACUAAAGUGUUGGCACAACAACAUUUGUAACAUGCAUUCGAUAGCCCAAGAAAUGGCCAUAAGCUCUAAAUGUAUCGGUAACACACUUCUCGUCUGAUUUUUAGCUCCUCAAAGUUGAUUUUUUCAUGUCGAAUUUGUCUAAGCCCAUACAAAACCAAUAAAGAGUUAUUCAUGAGUCCAUGAUUUAUAGACCAUACAAAUUUCAUGUAAGCUUAUGCUGAUGACUCGGAUAGAUGAUGGACUAUGUAGUUCCUCAGGUUCCUUCACCUUUUUGAUAUUAGCCUCAAAGCAAGCUUGGUCUAUUAGGGAUAAAUGUUACAUAAGAUUUAGUUAUCUUAGCUAAUGAGUCUGAUUAUUUGUUUUUAGAAAAAGGAUGAUAAACAAUAAACAAGUCUACAAAAAUCUACUCUUCAAUCUUGAAAGUUUUUUUAUCUCCAUUGGAAAGUUUGGCCCUGCUUAUAAAUCUUGUAUCAUCGAGACGAGGUCCUUGCAAUUUGUACUAAAGUAUUGGCACAACAACAUUUGUAACAUGCAUUCGAUAGCCCAAGAAAUGGCCAUAAGCUCUAAAUGUAUCGGUAACACACUUCUCGUCUGAUUUUUAGCUCCUCAAAGUUGAAUUUUUCAUGUCGAAUUUGUCUAAGCCCAUCCAAAACCAAUAAAGAGUUAUUCAUGAGUCCAUGAUUUAUAAACCAUACAAAUUUCAUGUAAGCUUAUGCUUAUGGCUCGGAUAGAUGAUAGACUAUGUCGUUCCUCAGGUUCCUUCACCUUUUUGAUAUUAGCCUCAAAGCAAGCUUGGUCUUCCAUUUCGGCAUGCCUAAUAGUGUCUACGGAAUGCCUGUUAAUUCCUUUGAACAAUUUAUCAUUUUGCGCUUUUCAGAUAUACAAAAUAUCUAUAAGUAAGUGUUUCUAUCCAUUUCUGGAUAUAUACACAUGAAAUAGGGAAUACCAUUGGGUAAGAAGGUAUUGCUGCUAAUACCCAAGUUUAAAAAGUGGGUAGACAAUAAAAUAGCAUGGUUUAUGAAUUCAUCUUUUACUCUGGAUCUAAAACAUUGAUUAUCAUAUUUCAUAUGGCCGUGUUAAAUUCAUGGUUGCAUACAGUUUAACUACCGUGUUCAGUUACCAAUCGGACCCACUAUAUAGUAUUGUUUCCCUUCUUCGUUUAUCGACGUUAGCGUUAACAGUGUACUCAUUGCUCACAACUAAGUAGCUCAUAACUUGUAGUAAUAGUUACUAAAUGUGAUCUUAUUAAUUAACUGAAUCAAACUAAGCGAAUAAUUAGGAGUUCCACUAACAUUAAAGAUUUGGUCAUGUGUCUGAUUUGUCGUCUCCCAAUUAUGUAUGCAAAUUUUGUGGGAAACCUCGUUAUCAGGAGACGAGGGGAAGAGUUCCGAUCCCAUUCAAAAGAAUGUGGUAUUUGCCUUUGACGGAAAGAUUGAAGAGGUUGUAUCAGUGUGAGCGCACAGCAAAAGCAAUGAGAUGGCAUGCAGAGCAUUCCACAAAUGGUGAGAUUAGACAUCCUUCAGAUGCAAAGGCUUGGAAACAUUUCCAGUCAACAUAUCCAGAAUUUGCGGAAGAGAGAAGAAAUGUUUAUCUUGGAUUAUCUACUGAUGGUUUCAGCCCAUUUGGAAAGCAUGGAAGGCAGUAUUCUCUAUGGCCAGUUAUUGUGACACCGUACAACUUACGGCCGAGCUUGUGCAUGCGACGAGAGUUUUUGUUUCUCUCAAUUCUAGUCCCCGGGCCAGAUCAUCCUAAAAGAUCACUAGAUGUAUUUCUUCAACCACCAAUAUAUGAGUUGCAACAACUAUGGGCGCAUGGUUUUGAGACAUACCAUGUUUCGCGCAAAGAAAACUUUCAGAUGCGGGCAGUACUUAUGUGGACAAUAAGUGACUUUCCAGCAUAUGGUAUGUUAUCUGGAUGGACAACACAUGGGAAGCUAUCAUGUCCAUAUUGUCAAGAUGACACAGAUGCUUUCCAACUAAAGAACGGAAGGAAAACGUGUUGGUUUGACUGUCACAGACGAUUUCUACCACCUGAUCAUCCAUACCGCAGGAGUAAGACUUCGUUUACGAAGAACAAGCAGGUGUUUGAUGGUCCACCUGAGGAAGUUAGUGGGAAAGAUUUGUUGAAGCAGUUUAGGUAUUUUGAUGCAGAAAGGACGCCAGAUGUAGGUGGACAUGAAAACAUUCGAGUCAAUGCGGUUGGAGAGCUACAUAACGGGCAAAAAAAGAGUAUUUUCUGGGAUCUGCCAUAUUGGGAGAGUCAUCUAUUGCGGCAUAAUUUAGAUGUCAUGCAUAUUGAGAAGAACUUCUUCGAUAAUCUGAUGAACACAGUCCUUAACAUCCAAGGUAAAACGAAGAAUAAUUUGAAGUCAAGGUUGGAUUUAGUCGAUAUUUGUGAUCGUUCUGAACUUCACGUUGAUGAGAACGGUACGGCUCCUUUUCCCAUUUAUCGGCUGGAUGGUGCUAGAAAAGAAGAGUUCUUUGAUUGGAUUACAGAGAAAGUGAAAUUUCCUGACGGAUAUGCAUCAAAUUUGGGGAACUGCGUUGAUAGAAGCGAAGGAAAGUUUACUGGCUUGAAGAGUCAUGAUUGUCAUGUAAUUAUGCAGCGCCUCCUUCCGUUUGCNNNNNNNNNNNNNNNNNNNNNNNNNNNNNNNNNNNNNNNNNNNNNNNNNNNNNNNNNNNNNNNNNNNNNNNNNNNNNNNNNNNNNNNNNNNNNNNNNNNNNNNNNNNNNNNNNNNNNNNNNNNNNNNNNNNNNNNNNNNNNNNNNNNNNNNNNNNNNNNNNNNNNNNNNNNNNNNNNNNNNNNNNNNNNNNNNNNNNNNNNNNNNNNNNNNNNNNNNNNNNNNNNNNNNNNNNNNNNNNNNNNNNNNNNNNNNNNNNNNNNNNNNNNNNNNNNNNNNNNNNNNNNNNNNNNNNNNNNNNNNNNNNNNNNNNNNNNNNNNNNNNNNNNNNNNNNNNNNNNNNNNNNNNNNNNNNNNNNNNNNNNNNNNNNNNNNNNNNNNNNNNNNNNNNNNNNNNNNNNNNNNNNNNNNNNNNNNNNNNNNNNNNNNNNNNNNNNNNNNNNNNNNNNNNNNNNNNNNNNNNNNNNNNNNNNNNNNNNNNNNNNNNNNNNNNNNNNNNNNNNNNNNNNNNNNNNNNNNNNNNNNNNNNNNNNNNNNNNNNNNNNNNNNNNNNNNNNNNNNNNNNNNNNNNNNNNNNNNNNNNNNNNNNNNNNNNNNNNNNNNNNNNNNNNNNNNNNNNNNNNNNNNNNNNNNNNNNNNNNNNNNNNNNNNNNNNNNNNNNNNNNNNNNNNNNNNNNNNNNNNNNNNNNNNNNNNNNNNNNNNNNNNNNNNNNNNNNNNNNNNNNNNNNNNNNNNNNNNNNNNNNNNNNNNNNNNNNNNNNNNNNNNNNNNNNNNNNNNNNNNNNNNNNNNNNNNNNNNNNNNNNNNNNNNNNNNNNNNNNNNNNNNNNNNNNNNNNNNNNNNNNNNNNNNNNNNNNNNNNNNNNNNNNNNNNNNNNNNNNNNNNNNNNNNNNNNNNNNNNNNNNNNNNNNNNNNNNNNNNNNNNNNNNNNNNNNNNNNNNNNNNNNNNNNNNNNNNNNNNNNNNNNNNNNNNNNNNNNNNNNNNNNNNNNNNNNNNNNNNNNNNNNNNNNNNNNNNNNNNNNNNNNNNNNNNNNNNNNNNNNNNNNNNNNNNNNNNNNNNNNNNNNNNNNNNNNNNNNNNNNNNNNNNNNNNNNNNNNNNNNNNNNNNNNNNNNNNNNNNNNNNNNNNNNNNNNNNNNNNNNNNNNNNNNNNNNNNNNNNNNNNNNNNNNNNNNNNNNNNNNNNNNNNNNNNNNNNNNNNNNNNNNNNNNNNNNNNNNNNNNNNNNNNNNNNNNNNNNNNNNNNNNNNNNNNNNNNNNNNNNNNNNNNNNNNNNNNNNNNNNNNNNNNNNNNNNNNNNNNNNNNNNNNNNNNNNNNNNNNNNNNNNNNNNNNNNNNNNNNNNNNNNNNNNNNNNNNNNNNNNNNNNNNNNNNNNNNNNNNNNNNNNNNNNNNNNNNNNNNNNNNNNNNNNNNNNNNNNNNNNNNNNNNNNNNNNNNNNNNNNNNNNNNNNNNNNNNNNNNNNNNNNNNNNNNNNNNNNNNNNNNNNNNNNNNNNNNNNNNNNNNNNNNNNNNNNNNNNNNNNNNNNNNNNNNNNNNNNNNNNNNNNNNNNNNNNNNNNNNNNNNNNNNNNNNNNNNNNNNNNNNNNNNNNNNNNNNNNNNNNNNNNNNNNNNNNNNNNNNNNNNNNNNNNNNNNNNNNNNNNNNNNNNNNNNNNNNNNNNNNNNNNNNNNNNNNNNNNNNNNNNNNNNNNNNNNNNNNNNNNNNNNNNNNNNNNNNNNNNNNNNNNNNNNNNNNNNNNNNNNNNNNNNNNNNNNNNNNNNNNNNNNNNNNNNNNNNNNNNNNNNNNNNNNNNNNNNNNNNNNNNNNNNNNNNNNNNNNNNNNNNNNNNNNNNNNNNNNNNNNNNNNNNNNNNNNNNNNNNNNNNNNNNNNNNNNNNNNNNNNUUGAAUAAAUCUCAUAGGAGUUGGCAUGAAGAAGUUAUCCCACUUUCAAAUCAGGUGAUCCCAGUUUCCCAGUUUGGGAAUAACACAGCUUCUUCUCUACAAUUUUGAUACAAAGGUUGUUUUCCUGCAUCCAACAUGUCAAAAAAUCUCCUAGACUCGGGGUUUGGUUCUUCCCCUCUAUAAUGAUCAUGUACCAUCUGCUCAGUACCUACACCAUAAUCUAUAUCCGUUCUAGAUUCUUCUAACCUAAUAUCAGGCUGAGGUUCACUAACAGGCUGAGGUUCGCUAGUACUACCAUAUUCAUAACCAGUUUCCCCAUGAAGGUACCAAACUUUAUAAUUACGUGAAAACCCUUUCAUAUACAAAUGAGUCCAAACAUCAAAUUCUUUUAUAACCUUAUUAUUAUUGCAAGAAGAGCAGGGACAUCUUAACAUACCACUUUUUGCAUCCGGUUGCUGUUGAACAAGCCUCAUGAAUUCUCCAAUCCCUUGAACGUAUUCUUCCGUAAGCAAAUUGGUGUUCGGAUCCAAAUGAGGUUUAUCCAUCCACGAACGAUAAUAAACUUCUGAAGACAUGAUUUUCACGGAAUUGUUAUGACUAAAGAGAAUGAAGAGAGAAUGAAGUGUGAAUGAGAUGAAUGAAGAGGGGUUAUAUUUAUAGGAAAUUGCUUACGGACCUCCGAUGACUUUCCGACGGAUGUAAGCAGUCCGUCGGAAUUCCGUCGGAAUUGUCCAAUCUCAUAGUUCGUCGGAAUUCCGUCGGUAUUUUCCGAUGGAAUUCCGACGACUUUGCUCUUAAUCGGAAUGUCGUCGGAAAUUCGUCGGAAUAUACCGACGAACUUCCGACGACUACAACGGUUACAUUUUUUAUCGGAAUGUCGUCGAAAAGUCGUCGGAAAAUUCCGACGAACCAAAUUUGGUCGGAAUUCCGUCGGAAAUGGCCGACGGAAUUCCGACGACUUAAUUUUUUUGGAUUUGGUCGGAAAUUUGUCAGUAUUCCGUCACAAAUUUCCGACGACCUUGGUGUCCGUCGGAACCUCCGUCGGAAUUCGGUGUGUUUUCUUGUAGUGCAAGGAACCAAAAGCAUCGCCUCAAGUGGAGGCCAGCAGUAAAUCAGUAACCAUAUAUACACAUUCAUACAUUUUAAUGCAAGAUAAGAUAAUAGCACUUCUGCCACGUGGCCUUAACAUAGUGGUCAGUAUCGAUAAGGGUCUUAACACCUUUCUUUAAUCAUGUGGCAGUUAACGACGUUAUCAUGAAAUCUGGACCCUCUGGUUAUUAGGGCCUUUUCCUCUUGCGGUUCUCGUUAUAUAUAAUAGAUAACCAAAGCUAUAGACAAACAAGUAAGUUAAGAGAAAAGAAGAAGAAGAAGAAGUAGUAAUGGCUUCCUCUAUGCUUUCCUCCGCUGCUGUGGUUACCUCACCGGCUCAAGCCACCAUGGUCGCUCCAUUCACCGGCUUGAAGUCAUCCGCUGCAUUCCCAGUCACCCGCAAAGCAAACAACGACAUUACUUCCAUUGCAAGCAACGGAGGAAGAGUUAGCUGCAUGAAGGUAAAUAUCACUAGAAUAAUUGCAGGCAUGUCCUUUAUUACACGCAACUGGUGCAUUCGAACAUGAAUCCCAUUGAAAAAUGUAUAUAACGUACCUUGGAUCAAUAAAUGUCCAAAACAAUAUAUACAAACUUGACUUAGUAUUCACCAACUGGAAAUGUGAUUUAAUUUGUAGGUGUGGCCACCAGUUGGAAAGAAGAAGUUUGAGACCCUCUCUUACCUUCCUGACCUUACCGAAGUUGAAUUGGGUAAGGAAGUUGACUACCUUCUCCGCAACAAGUGGAUUCCUUGUGUUGAAUUCGAGUUGGAGGUAAUAAAGAAAAAAUAAUUUUUGGAUCUAAACAUCCUUUAUUAGACCAUGUGAAUUCUUAUUAUGAAUGGUACUCUCAUGUUUGUGUAGCAUGGAUUUGUGUACCGUGAGCACGGAAGCACACCCGGAUACUACGAUGGCCGUUACUGGACAAUGUGGAAGCUUCCCUUGUUCGGAUGCACUGACUCUGCUCAAGUGUUGAAGGAAGUCCAAGAAUGCAAAACGGAGUACCCUAACGCUUUCAUCAGGAUCAUCGGAUUCGACAACAACCGUCAAGUCCAGUGCAUCAGUUUCAUCGCCUACAAGCCACCAAG
rnacentral:lncRNA from 1 species